UUUUUUGUACUUGUUCCUUUGUCAGUACACACCUCUGAUUCCCUGAGCUGCAUGGAAAUUUGGUAUACAGUUUACAGUAACAAAUUAAUUCUCUCUCUAGAUAAAUCCCACAUCGAAAAAAUAUACGAAAGCUUAAAGUAUACGACGUCCACCAUCUACCAACAAGUCGUGUUUUGAACGUUGUAAGAACUUUGAAAUUAAAUACGAAAGAGUCGAUCAAUGACCAUAGGCUUGGCAAUCAUGACCGUUUAAUCGACCAUAACCUCAUCGGAUUUGAUGAUUAUUAUCAGCGGUGACCGGAUAUAUUGAGGUUACAGUUAUAAUUGUUACAUAAGUUUUGUAAUUUUAAAUUAAAUCUACACCCUCGAAUUGUUUUUGUUUGUACACAGAAUCGUAUCUCUUAAAGAAUAGUACUGUGGCCCCCUAGCAACUACGUACAUCACUAUCUUGUACUUCCUUCUUUACUAAUUUAAUUUAAUUUUAUGGGUUGUUGAUCGCAUUAAAUAUACAGAAAAUAAAAUAUUACCCAUUCCAGAAAAUAAAAUAUACAGAAAACAAAUAUAGAUUAGUGUAAUAAUUAAAUAGCUUGAUAACGUUCAUUCACGCUGCCUUAAGUUUCUUUAUUAAUUAGUUUUAAUUUUUUUUUAAAUAUGUUAGUGAAUUUUAAAAAUUUAUAUCGUUUGGCAGAUAGAAUGCGAGACGAAGUUAUGAGUGUUUUUUAUAUUUAAUCGAGAAAUUUAUAUUUUUAAAAAGUGUAUUUUGAAAGCUAAUUUUCUCAUUUUCUUACAAAUUUCAUUUCACAUUCGACCUGCCAAGCAAAUCAUAUAAAGAAAUAUGAUCAGUGGAUGCCAACUCUGUAUUUGUUACUAAACUAGGAACUAGAUACUAUCAUGUGUGUGUCUCGACAUGCGAAAUCGAUGAAGGAGAGUACAUGUUAAUUGUGGAUAAAAGUGUAGACAAACUAAAAUAGUGAAGAAGAACUAUGUAAUAAAUGUACCCUACGAAAUUUAUAUAUGAUAUUUUUAGCUUUCGACCAAAAUUUUUAGGUGUUGUGUUUAGAUUUCCUUCUAUUGAACUAUCUAAUCACCAUCUAACAUCUCAUGAAAGUUGACGGUUAAUUAGUGUAAAACACUGCCCAAAAGCACCAUUAUUCUAACAACUAGAUGAAACGACUAGUUAUUUACACUUUCGUCAGGACGAAGGCAUCGCCUAAUUUAACUUCUUUUGUUUUUACGAUUUUAAUGAGAAAGUAUAUCGUUUGAAGGUCAAAUGGAGGAUGAAGUUAUGUCCAAAAUAGUUUUUGUGCUAACUUUCGAAAAAUUUAUAGUCACCAAACUCUAGUGACGAAAACAAUUGAAUGUACAGAAAAGCAGGCCUUUAGAGUGCAUCAACAGAGGCUCCAGCAGCAGGUAUUGGGUUGCAAAAUUAAAGCCCAAAUUAGAAAGAAAAGCCCUGAAUGUGAAGCCCAAAUAAAAAAAACAGCCCAAGUCAAAGAAAUAUCCAAAAAAGGAAAACCAAUUCACCAGAACGACGCCGUGGCAUUCACGUGCUGGACCGUGAAACACGUCACCGAUGGAAAUAUCUCGCCUGAAAAGUGAGGAAAGCCAUCUCCUUCGAUUCCGGGAAAUCGGCAGCAACCAGAAAUCUCGCCAUGUCUGCUCUCCUCCGCAUAUCUCCGCCGCUUACUCUCUCAGCCAAACAUCACCUACCAAGCUCCCGAAUCCUGAAGCCAUCCUCCUCCUCCUCCACGCGGUUAACAGUAACCGCCAAAUCCAACGGCAGCAGCAACUCCGUCGACGCAGGGGACCGGAUAAUCUCCGCGGUCACCUACUUCUACCCGUUCUUCGACGGUGUACAGUACGGGAAGUACGUAAUCAUCCAGUUCGCUCCAAUCCAGACGCUAAUCCAGCCGCUUUUCCCCGCGAUUAAGGUCUACAAAAGCUUCCCGCUCAACGGCGUCCUGGUGUUCAUGGCCCUCUACUUCGCGGUGGUGAGGAACUCCAACUUCAGUAGGUACGUGCGGUUCAACACGAUGCAGGCGAUCGUGCUGGACGUGCUCCUGAUUUUCCCUGAUUUGCUCGAGAGGAGCUUCAAUCCGAAAGAAGGCGUUGGGUUGGAUCUUGUGAUGAGCCUCGAUAGCACUGUUUUCUUGUUCCUUUUGGUUAGCUUGGUUUAUGGAUCCAGUUCUUGCUUGCUCGGCCAGCUCCCUCGAUUGCCCAUUGUUGCUGAUGCCGCUGACAGGCAAGUUCUGUGAAGUCUAGAAAUGAAAAUAUGAAACUUUUCCUGGUGGAAUUCGAUUUCGAAUUCUGCUUCUGCUACUAGUAGUUGUAAUGAUAUGGUUGAUUUCCAUUGUAUUCAUGAUGGUUUCAGGAUCAACUUUCAUGAUUGAAGCGUGGAUAGUCGAAAUUAAACGAAAUGCUCUCGUCGUUUUUCCAGAAUUUUCGAUGUUUUCGUUUAUGAUUCGGUUUUGUUAACCAGUCAGCGAAUAAAGUCACUUAGCAUAUCACAUCUACAGAUACUAGCAUUGCAUCCAUCAUACGACUGGAUAAACUGCUGCAACUUGUGCAUAAACUGCAGUAGCUUGUAACUGAUUAGACUUCGAAUUGUAAUCUCAAGGGGUUACAUAGCAAUAACAAAACUUGAUUAGACUGCAAAUCUGGAAAUGCUAGCGUUUUGAUGUCGUUCAGUCGCAGCAGACCUCGAAUGCAAAGCAGCAGCAUAUGGCAGCAGCGCUGCAAAAUAUUGCGGCCGAAGAUGAUCAAGAAGAAUCCGAGAGCAUUGAUAACAGAACAGGGAAGAUAUCUCGAAUUUUCGGAAGAGAUUCAUAAUUAGUUGAGACUUUGUUACUUCCGUUUGCAUAACUCGAGUUAUUGGAAGAGGUUUGUAAUUAGUUGAUGUAGCAUUUCUUAAAACGCUCUCCUGCUCAUGAAAGGGGAUUGAUGUUUGCAAUGGUUAAUAUCGGGGGCUAUGAAGAUUUGAUGACAGGAACUCUCGGUCAAAUUGGACUGUAAAAAGGUUGUGAUGUCAUAUAUGUAGAAAACCGUGUGCAUUCCAAUAAUUUGAAUUGUUAGGAAGAGGUUCGUAAUUAGUUUAUAUAUACUGUUGCUUAACAACACUCUUUGGAGGAUGCAGUGUAAUGUAUACUUACCAUCCUUUCAAAAAGCCAUCGCCUUUACUUUGAGUGUUGGCAGCAGGCGGCUGCUGAUGUCCAUGAUCUGCCGGAACCGGUGGGUAGCCGGCUGGAGGUGGAGCAGCAGCAGCAUGUGGAUUAUGAGGGUAGUAUGCUGCCUGUUGUGGCGGCGGGUAUGGUUGAUACUGUGGCGGCGGUGGCGGCGGGUAUUCCGAACCUUGAGGAGGUGGGUACGCCUGACCCGGUGGUGGAUAUGCUUGCCCCGGUGGUGGAUAUGCUUGCCCCGGUGGUGGAUAUGCUGUAAGUUGUAUAAACAGUUUCAAUUGAUCAAACAGUCUUUAGGAGGACAAUAUUUCAAGUCUGAGUGCCUUUCAAACCAUAGUGAGCGAAAUUUGAACAUAUAUUAAGCAAAAGCUUCAACUUUUAGAAUCGAGAGACCCUCUACGCCCAUUUCUGAUUCCGCCAUUACUUAUUGAGAUUGCCUGCACAUACCUGGAUUAGCUGCAACAGGGUUAUCGACGUGGUGAGCCAUGAUCAACAAAUUUCGGUUACGGUUACGAAUUCGUGAAUCGGUAUUUGCUGGAGGUGAUCCUUGGAAGGUAAGAGUUUCGAGCAAGGCUAUUUGUAGAGGUUGGGGGAAUAGAAGAAGUAGAGUUGGAAGCAAAGCUGGCAUUUUGAUGUCGAUGUUUACCAUCCAAGACAGACAAAGAGUGGAAUCGGCAUUCAGCUGCCAGCCAGCCACGGAUGGUGUGAAUGAAGCUUUUCGAAAUUCCGGCUUCCAUUGGUGCUUAACAAUGUCUUGUUGUUUCAUCUUUCGACAAUGUUCCAAAGCUGAGAAUCUUGGAGUACGGCUCCCGAUCGACUUUCUAGAAAUAAAAACACCCUCAUCGAUCACAAAUUGGUCACCAAUUUUUCUAUCUUGAGAUAUUUUAAAGUGUGACUAACGCUCCGUUCAUCUAAAGACUUCCUAUCCUCUCUAUCCCAGUCUGAUUGACCGUGACUCGAUCGAAGAUACAUCCACCAUGCUUAUCUCAACUUCCUAUUCCCUUUAUACAUAAUUUACAACAAAAUUAUUAACAAAGCCAUGAAAUUUCCCAUCAAUUAGUAGGGAAAACAUCAGGGCAAAAAAAACCUCAUUCAAAGAGUAUAGAAAACCCUAAACGAUCUUUACAUUACAUACAAAUACCACGAAUCGUAUCGAAAUCCUAACACACGAAUCGGGCCCAUUAAUACGAUACUAUCUCACAAAUACGAUUCAUGGAAAAACUCAGAGCGGAACCAUGGUUAUACCGAGUUAGUAUGCCGAGUUUGUUUUCAAAUUGUUGGUGUAACGUUAUGUUUAUGCUAUGCUCGCCGUGAUCUGCUGGCAUUCGUCGGCUUUUGCAAGGUGGAGCUGCUGCUGCCGGCGGUAGUUUUCUUAACACCUGAAAAAAUAGGGUAAAUUUAUGAUCAAUUUGGAACUCUGAAUCACUUAUUCAAAAUUUCAAUCCCGAACCAAAAAUCCCUGAUCAGAUUCGGCUUCGGAACAAAAAUUUGCAUAAGAAAUUUAGAAACAUGUCUCAUUCUCAUCCCAAUUUUCAUUAUACGAAUAUAGUUAAAAAAGUUAAUUAAUCAUACGUGCAAAAUUUUCGAAAAAUAGGACGACGAAUAACAAUUCAGUAAAUUUAUGAUCUAUCUCCUAUCAAAUUAAAUGGUUAAUCAAUAUAAAAAUUAGCUCUUACUUGUUGAUCCUUUUAGGUGGUCUCUCGAUACCGUAACCGUCGUCGACGGCCUAGUCUCCGUCAGCCUCUGCAAGCUCCUCGCCUUAGUCAACCCUUUCGGCCCCGUACAAUUAUCGGCCGAGGAAGCUCUCCCUCCUCCUCCGUCUCCGUCGUCAUGUACGCGGACUCCGGGUCAGUCCCCACCGAAGCUUCCCCGUCCGACAUAUAAUUAUUACUAUACCUACUCUCCGAAUCGCCACCACCCAUCUCCGAAUCCUUCUCCACUGACCGCCUCGUCCGCAGCCUCCCCUGCUGCGGGUGUGCGGCGCCGCCUUUGAGCACUUGUAGCCUCUCGAUCUCCUCGUCCUUGUUGGCGAUGGUGUCCUUGAGUGAUGCAAGCUGCUCCAUUAGCUCCUUGACGUCCCUCCCUGGGUUGCUCUUCGCUGCUCCGAGCUCGAAUUUCAGCGUGCUGAGGCUUUCCGAGUAGGAGGUGGCGUCUGGGUUCAGCUGUACGAACAUUAGUGUUUUUGCUUGUCCGCCUGCGCUUUGAAUGCAUGCACACGUGAGAACCAGAGGUUAGGUAGUUGGUUAGAAUCGAAACCGGUCUGGUCAAAAUUCUAACCAAUAUAUGAGUAAAACUAAAAAAAUGGUGACGUGUAAAUAUGGCUAUAUGGGUAGGGAAUGGAGCAUUAGUGGAACCGGGAUGAUCGGAGAUCGUGAUCAAUAGAAUUUUGAGACAAUAGUUAAUGAACCAAUUGAUAAGAUUAUGAGACUAAUUUGUAUAGAAAUUAAAAGAAAAUGACUAUAUUGUAGUGUUGAGAAAUUAUACGUACCUAGAGAGCUUUGAAGCCGCUGAGUGAGUUUACGGUUCCUAUAAGGAACAUGAGUAGACUUAUGAGCAAGGGCAAAAAUGACGUGGCCAAAAGCGGACAAUGAUUUGUUGAUAUGCUGAGCUUUCUUGAGCCGGUUUUUGAUGACUUUACUUCUGUCGAUCCUCUCGCUUCUUGUCAGAUUAAUCAAAUGUAGGUUUUCGAACAGCGUAAUUCCAACCUGCAAGUCCUUCUCCUUGACGUGAACGCUUAAGCCGCUGUGAGACCGACUGCUCCUCUCGUUCAUGACGGUGAAGCUCACCGCCCUGUUGUUGAGGCCGAAAUUAGGUCCAUUAUGUCGGAUGUGGUGAACACGGGGAGCAUGGUCGCGUCUGGGACCGCGACCCCGUUGUUUGGUAUGGUCGUUAGUAUCCCAAAUGUGUUGGCAAAGAAACAAAUGAAUCAAGGAGUAAAAACAAAAAAAGAAGAUAUUUUGUUUAUGGAGGACUAAAAUGAAAUUAUGUAAAAGUUGAAGGGUAAAUAGUGGUGUAUCUUAAAAACCAAUAUUGGUUAAACCAAUGCCACUUUGGGCAAGACACAAUACAAGUGUGUCUUGCCAUAUCAGCUACUUUUUAUAUUUCAUAUUUUCGAAAUCCUGCAUAAAAAUCCGAAACACAAACAUGUAUAUAUGCUUGAAACGUUGCAAAAGGAUAUUUUUACUGCGAAUCAUUAGUGAGCAAGUCUUGAACUUGUUCGUUGUAGAUCUCGACCAUCUGAACUCGUACGAUAUAGAGUCGCUUCUGCCCUUUGACAUGUUGAAGAGAUCCUUUAGAGCUCUGUAGUUGACUCCCCAUUCCUCUUCUUUUGCUCCACUAGGACCCAGCUGUACAAGGUUAAGUCAGCUAUGACUAUGAGUCAACCGGUCACAAUUCAUCAAAAUAUUAAAUAAUUUGGAUGGUGAGAAUCGGUUGGGUUAACCAUGGGUUGACCAUGUUACAGGAUAAUGAGUUAUUCAUCGAAACAUAGGCAAUUUGGUACAAGCAAGUGAGUCACGGUCCAUCGAACCAUUAGAAAAUUUAGAUUCGUGAAUCGGGUUGGGUUGAACAUGUUAGAUGAUAUGAGUUACGCGAUAAGUGAGCUAUGAGUCAACAAAUCACUGAUCAUCAAAACAUCACAAAAUUUGAAUCAGAGGUUAAUGACUUCCCAAACAAGUCAUGAUCUACGAGUCAACAUGUCACAGUUCAUCGAAACAUCGGGCUAAUUGGGUUAUAUAUCGGGUUAGAUUAAACCUGUUGGACGGGUUGACCGAAUCGGGAAGAGAAACAAGUACCAUUAUGUAAGUUUUGCCUGAACCAGUCAGUCCAUAAGCAAAUAUGCAGACAUUGUAGCUAUCAAGCACAGACUGCACCAAUGGCUGUGUGUCCACGUAAACCUCACCCGCAAUUUUUUUCCCACCAGAGGUUAAGUAUUAAGUAAGCAUCAAGUAAAGAUCACUACACCAAAGAUGGAAAUGAACAGCUAUAAGGUACCUUGAGUAGCUCCAGGACCAUACACCUUGUUGAACCGGAACAACUUUCGAGCAUCUUUCCCAGCUUUGGCAGGGUUCCCAACUACCAGCUCUCCUUUGUCACCAAUGUGCUCCACAACUGACUUGUUUGACCCGCUCUGAUGCCCUGGCAAGAACGGCCUCACUCUGCAGUACACUCUGAUGUUACCUGUAGAUAUACCGACAAUGUGAGGAAUUCGUUACGAUCUUGAAAGCUCGUUCGAUUUCCGAUCCCUCUUAAGUCGUGUAGCUCAUUGAAUAGCCUCCUGUUGUCAGCAAGAACCAAGUAGUAGUUCUCACUUGCAUCCACCAAUGUCUUGAACUUCACUCCUGAAAAUAACCAUGGUACCAAGUAAAGACUCAAUCUUUAACCACUACUGAUUCUAUUCGGUUGAACCGAACCGAUUAGUUGACACAUACCUAGGCUGAGAAACUUCUCAGUGUAGUCUUGCUGCACUUGCAGGACCUCUUCUUUGAUGCUGGUGGAUGAAAACCUUAGCUCCUGUACAAUUUACUUCCACUGGUAUCAGUAAAUAACACAGAAGUUCAAGGACCAAUCUGCAAAAGGGAAAGAACAUCUUACAUGAAGUGCAUGGAACUGCAGAUUAACAGAUUUGAGAACACUCUUCUGUUUCUUACUCCAACUCUAUUGAUCUGACUGCAUUUUACCCUUUUACCAACUCAGUUGACUCUGGACCUCUUUGAGUUGACCCUCAAGUUGCAAGUACUUCUGUUCUUUUGCCUUGUCAGCCACCUCUAGCUCUUGGAUUGACAUGGCAAGUCUAAGGUCUGCCUGGUCUUUCUCCUUCACCAAUCUAGCCAUGUGGUCGAGCUCCCUUUUCGCCGAAUCCAUCUCUUGCUGCAAUUUCAAGAGCUGAUAAUGGCUUGUUUAGUCUUUCUCCUUCAUCAAUCAAUCUGGCCAUUUCCUCAUGUUCUUGCUGCAGAGUUGUGAGUUGCUUGCUAACCAAGUCUCCUUCUUGCUGCGAAGAUGAGAUCUUUAGGCUCAUUUCCUCAUUUUCCUUCAUUAAUCUAGCCACGUCAGCAUCAUUGUUAUGUCCCUGUGUUAAUGUCUCUAUUUCUUGCUGCAAUUUGGACAGUCUUAGACUCAUUUCCUCCUUCUCCUUCACUAAUCUAGCGACACCAACAUCAUUAUCAACAUCCCCUUGUGAUCCCUUCACCCUUUCGAGCUCUUGCUUCAAUGUCGCGAUUUGACUGUUCAAGUCCUCUUUCUCCUUCACUAAUCUAACCACAUCACCAUUCUCCACAUUUCCAUGUCCUAAUUGCUUUUUUCUUUCGUGUUCUUGCUUCAAUGUCGCGAUUUGGAGACUCAUCUCCUCUUUCUCCUUCAAUAAUCUAACCACAUUAUCACCGCCAACUUUAUUCAUUUGGUCCUUUUCCUUCAUUGAACCGAAAAUUCCAUCAAGCUCCUUUCUCGUCGAAGCCAGUUCCUUCCGCAAUGCUAGAACCUCAGCAUUGGUCUGCUCAUUCUUCGUCCGGUCUGUCUCCCUAACCGAGUCAACUAUGUGGUUGAGCUCUUUCUUCCCUGCUGCAACUUCCUGCUGCACCGCUGAAACUCUUUCUUCCCUGCUUCAACUUCUUGCUACAAUGCUGAGAUUCCGGCAUUCGUUCUCCGCUGCUGGUUUGGAGAUGAGAGUUUGAGGCUAGUUGUUGUCUCAUCUCUUUGUCUCAUUAGCUUCACCAUAUCAUCAUAUAUGGUCUUGGUUGUUUCCAGCUCUUGCCUUAGCCUUGCAAGUUCAAUGCUUUCUUGUUCCUUUUCUUUCAUCAACAUUGCUAUCUCUUCAUUCACCUUGCUUCUCUCUUCCAUCUUCACCUUCACACCGUAUCAAAAUUCGGCCCCAAAAAAGUCGCUCAUUUCGAGAGUACAUAGGUUUCUUGCGGCGGAAGCAAGUGUAACUACGGAAAGAUUUCUUACCUUAAUUGGUGGAAGUUGGUAAAUGAUGACCUGCAAAAAAAAGUUCAUAACUUGUUAUUGCAAACUCAGUUUCAUCAAUGUGAAAAAGGAAGAAACUUUUUUCGAGCUGUUCAUACUGCAGGUUCUUCACCUGUACCUGAAGCAAGUGUCUCAAGAACCCUAAUUCUGGACUGGUACUUCUCCUCUCUAGCUUGAAAAGGUUGUUUUGCUAACAGAUAUAACCAGUUAUUUUAUCAGUAAGAAACUGCAGCAUCAUUAAGUGUCAAGAACAGAAGGGGGGAAAUUGGCCUUACUGUUCUUAAGUGUUCUGCUUGAGUUGAUAUCCUCCUUUCAAUCUCUUGCACUACCUUCCUUAACAAGCAAGCUACCCUCUGCGAAAACGAAGCACGUUUUAUCUAACGAUUCAAGGUUCAACGAUACGAAAAACUAGUAAGUUUUGCAUUACAUACAUGAGGGAUUUCACCGUACUUUCUGUCGAUGCUUUCAUCCAAGAUGCCAUUGACAACACUUAGAAGAGACUGAGUUGGAGCAUUCUACACACACACACAAAGAACAACAACAACACAUCAAUUGGUCCAUUUUAUAAUUCAAGUUGCAGUAGAAAAAGGGGGAAUAAUUACAUCUAAGCUGGUUGAUUUCAUCAUCUCGGAUAUCUUCGAAGGCGACAGGUCAGCGUACCGACCUUGUCUGACCUGGAACACCUCGUGGAACCAGUGUCCAGCGUGGUGCAUCCACGCGGAAAAUGACUCUACACACAUUUAUACAGCCAAGGUCAAAAGAGUAAUGAGCAAUAGAUGUUGUUUACUAAGCAAGUAUCAGAGAUAAGACCGGUGAGACUUAACGAACGAAACAAAUCUGAAAGGGCGGGGUUGGUACGCAAGAACUGCUGGAAUUUCGACUCGGAGUAGAGUGGCUGCUUUUCGGCAGCGGGAGACGAGAGUGAGGAUGAGAAUGUACCAAGGUGGAGGCUUUGGUAUGGUGAGAACUCCCUUAGGCUACCACUUCUAGUCAUUCUACCAUUUGUUGAUGAGAAGUCGUUCCUCCCUGUUGGGUACCUUACUCUUAUUGAUAGAAGGCAAUCCACCACUCUCUACAUCGAGCUCUGUAUAGGCCGACGAAUCGAAAAGUUUAGUACUUUGUCUAACCCUACUUACGAGAUCCAAUUACGCUAAUCCGUAUCGAAUUUACCUUCUCCAAGUCUCCCAUCUCAAACUUGGGGAUGCCCCUUUCAUCAAUGUUGUCCAAGAAUAAUACUAGUCUCGCUACUGAAUUACAAAUGUUCAAUUAAAACCAAAUUUACGAGAAAGUUAGCCAUAUUACCUGACUAUCUUACUAACAAACGCCAUACGAUACCUAUCCAUUGUAAAAUCAGGGGUGGGCGAAUCCGCGCUACUAUCUACGGUCUCGAUUUUCCUACUGUAGUGGUUCCACCAUGGCUCUUAGGACAAUAGAGUCCAAAAUUUACCCACCUUCUUUUUGGUUUCUUGAAGUGCUCGUAGGUAAAAGACAAAACAAAAAUGGCAGAGUCCAAUGAAGGAGUUCCACUUAGAGCCAUGUUCAUUGUACUGUAACAUGAAGAAAGAAGUGAAAAGGACAGUGUUUGAAGCAAAACUCCACUUAUGAGUCUUGUCCCUGAUUGGAUUGGUCGCCCACAUCAGACUAGAGAGCCCCGCUAACUCACUUCUCCAUUAUUCGGGCCGACCCAAAAGCCAACAACUCGUAACUCACUCGGAUCGAAUACACACCAAGUUCAGCUAAGCAAGUGAACUGUGAUUCGAUCGACUUAGAUCGAGUCAUAAGUCGUUUGGUUUGUGACUCAAUAAACUAACUUUAUUGGUCAUGCUCGUGACUUGCUUAGCUAGCUAAUUCCUACGACAUGCAUGUAGAAAGUAAGUCAAUUUGAAAAUUUUCAACACUAACAUAAAAAUCAGGUAAAACUGAAUUUUAACUUCAUUUGAACCAUUAUUUACAGAAGUUAUAUAGUAAAAUUUGAUUUUUUAGUCAUUUUCAACAUAUAUGUCAACUAUUAGUUGAUUUGAAAUUUUUUAAAUUUUCAUGUCAAAAUGGCUCAUUUCCAUAGGUAUUUCCCUUUGGAAAUUGACCAAUUUUGACAUGAAAAUUUUCAAAUUUUCAAAUUGGCUAAUAUUUAACAUGCAUAUUGAGAAUGACUAAAAAUUGACGUUUCACCAUAUUAACCUUUUCAAAUAAUAGCAAAAAAAGUUAAAAAAACAUUUUCCUAAGUGUUUUGAUUGUUGUUAGUGAGAUGUAUGUAGGGUCAUGGUUGAAACAAAACUCCACUUAUAAUCGGAUACCUACAUCAGACAACAAAGAGCCGAAAGCUAACAACUCGUAACUCACUCGGAUCGAAAACAUACAAAAAUCUGCUAAUCAGGUGAACCAUGAUUCGAUUGACUCAUAAAUUGUUCGAUUUAUGACUCAAUAAACCUAGUGAUCAAUUAAAUUUAUUGAUCAUGUUCAUGACUUGCCUAGCUAGCUAACUUAGCUAUCCAUUUGACAGUUCUAACCACGAUCAGAGCUGUUAAAAGCUGACCUGAAACCCUAUCCGAUUCAUAAUUUGAAGAAGCUAACCCAACCUAGCCAUGUUCCUUCCAUGCCUAACUUGAUUUGUAAUUUGAACUUAGCAAACACUAACAUACCAUCACUUGCUGAACUCAAAAAUCUAAAAAGCAUGUAAACCAAGUGAAUCAUGAUCGAUUAAGUCGUACUUAACUCGAUUAAUUAGUAACCAACCAAAUGAGUAUGUGGUCAACUCAUGACUCGUAGCCCAUCACUUGCCCAACUCAAAAAUCUAAAAAAAAUCCUGUAAACCAAGUGAAUUAUGAUCAAUUAAGCCGUAACUCGGUCAAUUAGUAACUUAACCAGAUGAACAUGGUCAAUUCGUGAUGAGUAACCCAAUUGGUUCGGUUCGUGGCCCGCCCAACCCACAUGCGUUUGGCAACUCUGUAUAUAAACACCUUUCCCACUUUUCCCUUUCAUUAAACUAAUGCACGCAUGGCUAAUUCCUUUUUUCCCUUCUCUUUAACUUUACCUUCCUUCCCCCAUUGAUUCUCCCACUUUGGUUCCUUGUUCCAAUCCAGUUAGACACAACAGCUCCAUGUCUUCUUCUUCUUCUUCUUCUUCUUCUUCUUCUUCUUCCUUGGUUUCUGCACCAGUCCCCUGUCUCUAAGCAUCUGCAAAACUUCAAAGUGAGCUCCUUUAAGUUCAUACCUCUCUCUCUCUCUCUCCCUCUGUUUCUUCCAUGAAAGACUCUUUCUUUUCCAAUUGGGUGGGUUUUUGUGUGGAUAUGUCUUUCUUUUUCGUAGUUUGUCUUCACUUUUUAGUACCCCUUUCCUAGGAUUGGAGUGAAAAUCAGGUGAUGUUUGAUGGUUUUUUGUCUUUGUCCAUGUCUAUGCUUCCCCUUAGUCUUGGAAACUAAUGAUGGGAUUGGGGGAACUAUUAGGAAAGUCCACACCAAUAGGAAUACAUGAUACCAUAACCAAAAUAUAUAUAAAAAAUGAAACAACAAUCUCGACGAGAUUUCACACCAGAACUCAGUUGAGGUCGUCAUGUCAUGUGAGUUGCUACCUCAAAAGUAGAGGGUUGAUCGUUGAGCACACUCGUCAUAGUUUUCUAUCUCGUGUCUUUCAUUGUGUUUCGGGUCCUAGACUUGUUGAUCAUUUGCUAUAGGACUCUCUUUGAGGUUGUAGGUGAGUUGCUAGCUCGGAAUUGGAUAGUUGAAAAGGUUGAGCACGUCUAUGGGGAAGGUAAUUAUGCCGCUGAUUGUCUUGUUGGCAUCAGACAUAGUUUGUAUCCCGUGUCCUCACAAUGUUUCUUAGGACCCUAGACUUGGUUAUCGUUUGAUGUGUGGCUCUUUUGGUCUCUCCGAACCUCGUUUAAUUAUGAUUGAUAACUAAGUCACUUCGAACCAUAUUUCGCAAAAGUUUUUUUUUUUGCUGAAGCCAUCUAUUUGUUGAUGCUGAUAUCAACAAUUCCCAAUCAGGUGAUCUUAUCAUAAGAAAGAACCAAUGAGGCGAAAUGGGUCGACAGCAUCAGAGGAUUCAGCAUUGGAUCACACAGAAAGAAACAACAAUGGAAACAACACUAACAGUAUGCCAUCACUAACACUUCAAACAACUCUCCACCCUUACUGCGAGAGCAAUGCUGCAUACUUCUCCUGGCCAACUUCGAGCCGCCUCAACGAUGCUGCUGAGGAAAGAGCAAACUACUUUGCCAACCUGCAGAAAGGAGUCCUUCCUGAGAGUACUCUUGGCAGGUUGCCACAGGGGCAGCGUGCCACCACGUUGCUCGAGCUUAUGACCGUAAGGGCAUUCCACAGCAAGAUCCUGCGGUGUUAUAGCCUCGGGACUGCGAUUGGGUUCCGGAUACGGAGAGGAGUUCUCACUGAUGUCCCAGCCAUUCUUGUCUUUGUUUCCAGGAAAGUUCACAAGCAGUGGCUCACCCCUAUUCAAUGCCUCCCCAAUGCUCUAGAGGUAAUACUAUCAGAGCCUCCUCACUGUCGAAUUUGAUCGAGCGUUCUUGAUAACGCCCCCCUAAUAUUAACAAUUUCACUUGCACAAGGCUUAGUGCAACCUGUGCAUGUGCAAGCUUCAAUCCCCGUUUAUAGGCUUUCGUUUGAGGGGGUAUGUUAACUGUUAAGUGAUGUCUCUCCCAACCGCAACACAUUUUGAAAUAAAGAUCACUCCUUUUUGGCCGGUUGAUGUGCAACUUGGUGUAAUUAGGGACCUGGAGGAGUGUGGUGCGAUGUCGAUGUGCUCGAGUUCUCCUACUUCGGUGCACCGGAGCCAACUCCAAAAGAACAGCUUUAUACCGACAUUGUCGAUGAUUUACGAGGGGGUAAUCUCUACAUUGGUUCAGGUUCGCAGGUAAGAAAACACAGCAGCAAGCUAUAGCUGUUGCAGCAGAAGUCCUAUCUGGGUUCGGAUUAAGUAAAAUGACGACGUCGCAGGUUGCAAGCCAGGAGACAUAUGGAACACUAGGAGCCAUAGUGAGGAGCCAGACAGGUAGCAGGCAAGUUGGUUUCUUGACAAACAGGCAUGUUGCAGUUGACUUGGACUAUCCUAAUCAGAAGAUGUUCCAUCCUCUGCCACCAACACUUGGCCCUGGUGUUUACCUUGGCGCUGUCGAGAGAGCCACCUCUUUCAUCACUGAUGACCUUUGGUAUGCCAUCUUCGCAGGCUCCAAUCCCGGUACGUUGAGUAGCGUUAUAUCACACUACCUCUCCUAACAACUCGAAUUAUUGGGAGCCUUCUCAGAGUUCAAUUUGGUCUUGACAUCGAAUCAUCGAAUCCUGUUAUACCCCAACAUAACAUUUUCAUAUGUACAAUGAUUGGUAGACAUAUACUACUUUGGGUGAAUUUUUCGGUGUACCUGGUAUAUCCAAGUUUUUGGUGAAAAAAGUCUGUUAAAAAUGUGUUUCGUCUAAAAAAUCACAAAUUUUUAAUUGAUUAACUGACCAAAAUUGGCUGAUUAAUUAAUUUUACUCAUAUUAACCGUAACGGAAUAUCCACCCCUACUUUUUUCGCAGAGACGUUUGUGAGAGCCGACGGGGCAUUCAUCCCAUUCGCGGACGAUUUCGACCUCUCGACGGUGACCACAUCGGUGAAAGGCGUCGGAGAAGUCGGCAGUGUGAAAAAGAUAGACUUGCAGUCACCAAUAAGCAGCCUGAUAGGGAAACAAGUGAUGAAAGUUGGGAGGAGUUCUGGUCUAACCACAGGGACAGUGCUGGCCUAUGCACUGGAGUACAACGACGAGAAGGGCAUAUGCUUCUUCACCGAUUUCCUCGUCGUGGGGUCUAACCAGCAGACGUUUGACCUCGAAGGUGACAGCGGGAGCAUGAUCAUGAUGAAGGGUGGUGGUGAUGAUGCAGGCGGUGAGGGUAAUAAGGCUAAGCCUAUUGGGAUCAUAUGGGGUGGCACUGCUAACCGUGGCAGGUUGAAGCUGAAAGUUGGGCAGCCUCCUGAGAAUUGGACUAGUGGCGUUGAUCUUGGGAGACUGCUGAGUCUCCUUGAGCUGGAUCUCAUUACCACCAAUGAAGGCCUUAAAGGUUUGUUCUUUUCCCCCGAAAUUUUGUCGAGAUAUCCUUGUUUGUUUAGUGUUCGUUGGAGGCAGUCGGGGCGGUUGAUAAUCGAACACGUUUGGCCGAUUAACUGACCAACAUGAUGAUGAUUGGUUAAUCAAUCAAUCGAAGUAGGUUGGUUACGGUUAGUUUUGUUAAAAGUACGUAUAAGUAUGAAAAGAGCCGGUAAAAGCUUUAUUUCAUGUAAACAAAAUUUUCAAAUCCUUAAUCGAUUAACCGACCGAAUUAUAUUAGGUUAACCGAUUAAUUGAUUGAAGUCGAUAAUAUAAUUGAUUCUAAUCAUUAACCGUAACCGAAUUUCAACCCCUACGCAAAGCAACUGAUUGCCUCCGGAUCCGACUUUCUCUUGACAAAGUUGCGUGCUUUGGCUAUGUUGUUCUUAACUCCACUAUUUUCUUUGUCAUAUGCACAUACGAAACAAGAUAAUCUAACUUCUUUCAUCUUCCAACAAGCUCACUCAUAUAUAUUGAAUUAGUCGAGCUAUCGGUCGUGUGCAUUCAUGUUUUCAAUUUUUUGAAUCGUGAAUUACUCGAGUUAUGAAUCAAUCAGAUCACAGUUCCCAUAGAUAGCCGAUUUCCCAUAUUUUCUAGUAGUACGAACAACGAGUUGCUGGGUUUUUAGCCACUUUUGAGUCAUGCAUGCAAAAAGUUUGGUACCUGUUACCUUUGACCAAAAUAAUUGCAAAAAGUUUGGUCGAACCAGGACCGAAUCGGGUCAGAUUUUGACUGUUUUUUCGGUUUGUUGGCAGUUGCAAUUCAAGAACAACGAGCAGCAUCAACAACUGGAAUUGGAUCAACGGUGGAGGACUUGUCACCUAUUGAUGGCGGAAUGCUGACGAAGGACAAAGACGAAGAGACAUUCGAAUCACUGGGAAUUCAAAUCCAACACAUAAUCCCUCCUGCUGACGGCCAUAAUAAUCAAGAGACCAAACCACCCCUCGAUCAAGGCGUGGAGCAUCAGUUCAUUCCGAACUUCGGCGAGCAAUCCGCACUGCAUCAGGAGAACCAGAAGCCUCUUCUUCCUAAGAAUCUGGCUUCGUUGCGGAAUGGAGGUGAUGGUGAUGAAGAAGAAGAAGAGAUGAUCUCUGUUUCGUUGAAGUUGGGCGACAUUAAUGAAAGUAAAAGGAAGCGUUCAGAGGUUGCAACCGGAGAUGAUGAUGAUUGAUUGAUCGAGAGAUUUUGGUUACAAACCAAAAUGGUUGGUUUUAUGUUUCGGAUGGUUCUUUCUUCACUGUUCACUGAUGCUUGUGUGUAAAUGGGAAGGCUUUUGAUCUUCAUGUCAGUUAAUCGAUUAUCUUUUGAAAAGGGUAAAUUAUCUAUUAAUCGAACCGAAAUGUAAUACAACCCAUUCGUUACAAACUACUGCUCUUUUGGGUUCAAUUCCAGUCGGGACUUGGAAUCGUCGAUUUCACUACUAUAGUCUGGGUCGACAGAAUCUGCAACUGCUGCAUAUUACAAGUCGAUAAACGAAUGAACGAACAAUGACCACAUCGACGAGUUUCUUACUGCAACUUGAAAGAAGCGUAACGCCAGAAAACUCAGUAUCAGCCACCUAAAUGAACUAUGUCUCGAAUUCCAAUCCAAACUACAAAAGACAAGAAAAUAUGGCAAUACAUCUAGUCUGUGAUUUCAUUCCACUGUUUUGGCAACCUCUACCGCACGAGACAAAGGGGGAAAACUUCGAUAGAGCGAACACGGUAAGAGACGAAAGUACGAGAGUCUAUGGCCUUCUAGUUCGAGGUGGCGAUCUGCUGCUGCUGCUGUUACUGCUGCUUCUUCCUCUCACGGGCCUGCACAAUCAAAAUCGGUAUCAGUCACAGUAAACGAAAUGAAUCGCCAAGUCGCUCAGGACGCCAAAAAACUUGAUAGCGAUUUCUCGAUUACAAAAUUUUGAAGUUUAUAAUCAUUGAUAACAUAGCAUGAAUCAUCUUAGAUAGCUACAGAGUGGAGAGCUAAAAUCAAUAGGAUUAGCAUCACAAGAUUAUGCAAACAAAUGCCUAAACAUAUUUUACCUUUUAGGACUGCGGCUCCUUGAAAUCUUACGCAGAGGUGCCUGUUGAAAGAAAUCAGAGAUCCGUUACAUACUGAAAAUACGCUACUUGUUUAGCUGAUCUUGCUGGCAGAUAAUUGAACAACAAAGCACAAACCUUGCGCGGACUAGGAGAGUCAGAUGAAGAUGACGAUCUCCCACGUCUUGCAGGUGGUCCUCGGCCCCUGUUGCAAGAAACACGAAAAAUAAUAAAAGAUCUGAAGAAUACCAUCAACGGUUCUUGCAAGAAUUCCGAACUAGGUAUUACCUCCGUGGAGAGAGCGAUCUAGACCGCGAGCGGAGAGGCCGACGAAUCGGAGACCGGCUAGGCCUACGGAGUGGUGACCUUCUUGGAGGAGACCGGGGUCGCCUAGGAGGUGAACUGAUAUGUGAAAAGAGACAUCAAUCAAAAAUCAUAUUAUUAAUUCAUUAUAGCAAAUUUAUUCGUAGACCAGAUAAUGGAAUUCCAUUCGAUGAUUCGCAAACACAUACCGCCUCCUUAGAGGUAGUGGAGAACGCCUACGAAUGGGACUGCCACGUACUCUUCGUGGAGAAGUCCUAGAGAAGCAACAGUUAGUAAACUAUAACUAGUUACUUCAACAUUUAACAAAUCCAGUGAAAAGAAGCCAACCUUGGAGGGGAUCGGUAUCUUCUCGAAGGAGGAGAUGGAGACCGACCCCUACCUGGGGAUGCCGGUCUUCGUCUAGGAGGGGUAUCCCCUCGACGGCGGCGAACCGGAGAAUCAACGCGCCUGCGUGGAGGAGGAGAAGCACCUCUUCGAGGAACAGGAGAUCUUCUUUGAGGAGAGGCUAAAAGUAUCCAAGAAAACGCAGAGUCAGUUUGUUGAACCCAAAACAAUAAAGGAAUCAUAAUUAUCUCCAAACAGUUCAUACGUUCUCUUGCAGUUUUUGGUCCAUCCUUCUCGACAUCACUGGCCCCAUCAGUUUUCGGUACAUCUCGUUUCAGAGCAGUUACUGAAGGCUUCGCACGUGGUGAAACAUUCUGCCGUGGAGGUAAUGUAAAGCGAAGUCGAACAACAUUACCAUCUAUUUGGGCCUGCAUCCAGAAAAACGUAAUGAGAAUCACAGUUUAUAUGAGUUUCAUUUUCAAGCGAUGCAUUAAUGUAUAUAUGUUAGAGCAACGUACCCCAUCCAUGUACAACAAAGCCUUCUCAGCAUCUUCUCUGACCUUAAACUCAAUGUAUCCAAAUCCUUUUGGAAGAUUCACCUACUCAUAGUUUCAAAUAGACAAGAAGCUCAGCAACGGGAUUAAUACGGAACCAUUUGCAUUUUUUCUAUGUUCAUUUACAAUGUCUCAAGAACAAUAUCACAACUUACAGCGCGGUCCAUCGCCAGAUCCACAUGCACCACUUCACCAUAGUUGCCUACAUUAACACAAAAGAGAUAUAAACAACCACCCCUUGACGAAAAAAAAGCUUGGUUAAGAAGAUUUGAGAUGGAAAGCUUGGGGACACAGGAGGAGAAUGAUGAAGAACUUACUGAAUAUUUCUUUCAAAUGGCCCUCGUUUACAUUCCUACUCAGUGAGUCGACAUGGAGAACCAGAGACUCGCGGAUUGGAGAAGCUUUUCUGGAACAAGUAAAAAGUAUCAGCAUACAUUCUCAAAAUUCAAUCAGCAAGGCAGUAACUGAGUAAGUCUGUAAGAGAGCAUUUAGAUUGGAAAGACAUAUGUUAAUCUCAAGACAAACCACGAAAGAAACUAGAUACUGCAAAAUGCCAUAAGCCGAAGUUGAAGAACUCUAGUAACUGCUGCAAAGACUCACUCACCUUGGUGGCGGAGAUGGCUUUCUUGUUACAGGACUGCGGCCUCGUUUAGCUACUUCGGCAGAGCUGUGAAUCCAAUUACCGGGAUCAAAUCAGAAGGAAGAUAAAUAUAUAGCAUUCCUCUUCUGGCAGCGAUAUUAGGAAAUGAUCGAGAGAACGCAAAUUGGAACUUACCUCUUCCGUUGUGGAGGCGGACUGCGAGACGGAGAAGAAGAAGAGAUGGAUCUCGCCGGCGACCUAGAGCGGGAGCUGGAAUCUGAGCGGGUGAAGGAGCGCGAGCGUGAGCGCGAGCGCGAAGAGCCUGAAUCGGACGGAGACGAACGUCGGCGUCGAGAUGGUUUCGCCAUCGGAGCUUAUGGAUUGGAUUGAGAGACUCGUCGCCAAAGUUGUCUGACGAUAUCAAGCCCUAGCUAUAAGCUAUACACUAAACCCUCACUCCCGAGUCAGUGUCUUGCUGACAUUUACACAUCAAAGCAGAGACUGUUUCGAGUCAAGAAAUUACCUCGAGGUUGGCUGAACAUCAAGGUCGUUGUAGUAUAGUGGUAAGUAUUCCCGCCUGUCACGCGGGUGACCCGGGUUCGAUCCCCGGCAACGGCGUUUUUUUCAAAAUUUAAACUUUAUUGGUUUGAUUGGGCUCUACGAUUCUGGGCCUUUCGGAAUGCUAUUGGUUUGAUUGGGUCAAGCUAUCUCUAACCCAUAAUGGGUUAACCAGUUUGGUAGAGUUUUUCGGUAACCCACAAUGAACACAUGUACAGUUCGUAUAGCUACAGAUUUGAAUAAUUUUUUUUUAUUGUUAAAAUUCGAAAUAAAUUAUUUGGAUGGGUAAUUUUGAAUUUAAUUAUUAUAAAGAGAGAAAAAUAAUAUAAUAAAAAAAAUAAUAUAAAAUUCGAAAGAAAUAAUUUGGAUGGGUGAUUUUGAAUGUAAUUAUUAUAAAUAAAGAAAAAUAAAACAAUAAUAAAAAAUAAUACGAAAGUGUCUUUAGUUUAUUUAUGAUCAUGUCAAUUAUAAAAAAAAAUAUAAAUCCCCUAUAGAGUAGUAUAGUGAUUUUGUUGUGUGGUUGGAGACCCGAAGGAUUCGAAUUCGAAUUCAGCCACACUCCACAUAUGGAUGGACAUCUAUAUUAUAUUUACUUUAAUUUUCUCUUCGAUUAAAAAAAAGUUACAAAAAAUAAGGGUAAUUUUGGUUAAAUUUUUUAAAUAUUUCUUAUUUCUUCUGAAAUCUUUACCUCUUUAAUUCUCUAUGGACUUAUAAGGUGAUUUUAAAUUUUUCCAAAUCUCUUUUUUUUAUGUCCCAAACAGCUAAUUUGAGACGAAAUCUUUUCAAAAGUUCAAAUCAUCCGUCAAAAUCAUCUAUCCAAACGAUCCAGUAAUGUUUAAUUGCUUCUCUCUUAUUGAGUGAAUCUAUCAAUUAUGUGUCACGUCGGAUUCUUCCGUGCGUAUUGAGCCUUUUGUUGUCUUAGGUUCUCCCGUACGAACUUGUAUGGUCAACAUCAUCCACGUUAGCUCUUCUAGAAAUUUAUUUGAUACUUUAAGUGAGAGUUUGAAAGGUGGAUAAGGAGGGGUGUUGAAAAUGGUGUUUUUACAAACUAGUAUAUUCGAACACUCAAUAAAUGGCAGGAGACAGAGUAAUCACAAAAAUCUUAGCUUUUUUGUUGAUUUUUUCUUGUCCAAAUAUGUAUGUAAUAGAAUUAUUAUCCAUUAAGUGAUGAGACAAAUUCUUACAUAUCUUAUGGAUUGUAUUAAUAUCAACCUUUUAAUUUGGAUAAAUUUUUAACUUUAUUUAUUCAUAUAAUAUUUUAAUUUCUCCCAUAAAAAAUAAAUAUUUCAAAACUUUCACAUAGUGUGCAACAAUCUCAUAACUAUAACGUUCGUACGCCUAAUUGUAACUUGUAAGUUAAGAAACUGAUAUGCAACAUAUAAAAAUAUUAGAACCCAUAUACAAUCCGGGUAAAAUUACAUGGUCAAUUAUGUAAUUGAUCGUAUCUUCCUCUCCAAACCCUACCAAAACCCCUUAACCAGCCAACUCUUCUCCCCUCGGAAAAAUAAGCGUUUUUUUCUUCUGGUUCAAGCAAGAAACACUCACCUCUAAUCAAUCCAUCACCUUCGUCCAGUAGACGUUGUGCAUCUUCCAGCUUAGGGAGCUGAAACCUGUGCCCCUAGAAGCCGGAAACAAAAUACAAUGGCGAAAGCGGCUGCAAUCGGGCUAGUCUCCGCCAUUGCCGCCGCUACCUCCAUCUCUCAAUCCACCCCAGUUGCUUACGCCGACGGCCCUUUCAAUUUCUCACCCUUCUCCGCCUCGCAGAACGCUGCUCUUCCUCCUCAGCCUUCUAUGGCUUCGUCGUCAUUGCCACCAUCCGGUGGAGCAGAAGAACUCGCGGCGGCGGUCACAAAUAAACCUAGAAAUGACAACCCCAGAACUUCGUCUUCUGGAUUUGACCCUGAGGCGCUCGAGAGAGGCGCUAAGGCCGUCAAAGAUAUCGCCUCUUCUUCCCACGCCAAAAAGGUUUGUUCUUUGUUAUGUUUAGUGUUUGUGAGUCACAGUUAUUGGUUGUGAUUGGUUUGGGAGUUAGACGGCCAUCUCGAACUAGAGAUGCAAUUGUGAUAUUGUCUAGCUUUAAUUAUCUUAAACUUAAUUGAGGAAUAAUCGAAACUCUUAAAAUUUUAAGAUACUAUGUUUCUUUAGCUUUGACUCGUAGAUGUUGGUUAGUGUACACACAUCAAAUGAGCGAAGUUCGAGUUCAGCUCGAGCUUGGCUCAUCAAGGUCUAGUUAACGAGCCAAGUUCGAGCUGGAAACGAGCUAUAAUUUCUGUGGCUUUUAAUGAGCCAAACUUGAACACAGUGAAGUUUGGUUUGGCUCGGUUCGCUGACAACCCUAAAGGUUUUUGGUUUUCUCUGCUGUUGGUUUGCAGGUGUUUGAAUAUCUGAAGACACAGGAAGAAACUAGACAAAAGGAAUUCGCUGCAAAAGCUGCUGAGUAUAAAGCAUUGCAAGCACAAGCUGAGACUGUAAGCUUGAUAUCUUUGAGUUUUGAGGUUUUUGUGAAAUUCUCCUGAAUAAACUUGGUUCUUAGGGUGUCCAAAUUUCCCACUACUUGGACAGGAGCGGCACAAGGUAGUAUAUGAGGAGCAGAGGAAGUUGGCUCAGCAUCAAGCGCAGACCAAGUCCCAGAUGGCGCAAUACCAGGACGAAUUAGCAAGGAAGAGGAUGCAGGCAUGCAGUUAUAUCUUCAUAUGAGUCUAGUUUUGAUUGAUUGAUUCAUGGAUGGAAUUUGAAUUAUUGGUCUUUAUUUGCAGGCAGAUAAUGAGUACCAAAGAGCUAGAAAUCAGGAGCUGGUGAAACUUCAAGAGGAAUCUUCGGUCAGGCAGGAGCAGGCUCGGCGAGCUACUGAGGAACAGAUUCAAGCCCAGCGACGUCAGACAGAGAGAGAGAAGGCCGAGAUUGAAAGGGAGACGAUUAGGGUGAGGGCUAUGGCUGAGGCAGAAGGGCGAGCUCACGAAGCGAAGCUGGCAGAAGAUGUUAACAGGAGAAUAUUGAUCGAUCGAGCUAAUGCUGAACGGGAGAAGUGGGUUUCUGCCAUCAAUACUACCUUUGAACAUAUUGGAGGUAUGGAAAUGUUUUAUUUUAACACCUUAUGCUAUAUUUCAUAAUUCCUGAACAACAAUUUGCACAAAAGAGCAGAUCUUUCCCCAUUUCCUUUUAAUGGUUGGGGAUAGCGUAUAACGUUUAUGAAUUCGAUUUUCGUAGGGGGGUUGAAAGCUGUAUUGACUGAUCAGAACAAGCUCGUUGUUGUGGUUGGCGGCGUGACAGCCCUCGCAGCAGGCAUCUAUACAACAAGGUAAAACAUUAACUGGAUGGCACCCAGAUCAUUAAAUAUGUUACGAAUUGUCUUAGGUCAAAGUGAAAGUUUCGCCAUUGAUUACGUAGUCAGAAAUUAUCUCAGUUUCCAAAAUAUGUAAGAAGUUUAUGAAUUCUGAUUAGGUUUGACCAUGUGUCUUAUUUAGUUUACUAGUUCAGAAUUUACCAGGAGAUUAAGCUAGUGGUUUUCCUAUCCGAAGUUUAAUGUUCGUAAACUCGUGGCUUAUCCUUUGUUUCUGUUACGGAUAUACAGGGAAGGGGCGAAGGUGGUGUGGAGCUAUAUAGAUAGGAUACUAGGCCAACCUUCGUUAAUCAGAGAGUCAUCGAGAGGGAAAUAUCCUUGGUCCGGAGUUUUCAAGCGUGGCUUGAGCACUCUGUCGCGCGAUUCUGCUAGCAAAGGCCUCACAGAUGGUAACGGCUUUGGAGAUGUGAUCUUGCAUCCUUCUCUUCAGAAAAGAAUUCAACAGCUGGCUAAUGCAACUGCUAAUACCAAAUCUCAUCAAGCGCCGUUCCGAAACAUGCUCUUCUAUGGCCCCCCUGGAACCGGGAAGACCAUGGUUGCUCGAGAACUUGCUCGCAAAUCUGUACGUUUCCAGUCCACGGGCUGUGCUUUUUUCUUCGCUUUAUUCUUCGCUUUCUUCUUCCUUGUAAUUGCGAUCUUAAUACUUGAUAUCGAAUCUUAGCAUUGAAACUUCUCUUGCAGGGAUUAGAUUAUGCUUUGAUGACCGGUGGUGAUGUUGCACCAUUAGGAUCACAGGCUGUUACAAAGAUACACCAAUUGUUCGAUUGGUCCAAGAAGUCGAAGCGAGGCUUGCUGCUAUUUAUAGACGAGGCAGAUGCAUUUUUGUGCGAGUAAGUGUCAGCUUUUAGUCCAAUUGAGAAAAUCUCCAUUUGAUAUUCAUAGACUAAUGCUUUCUUCCUGGUUAGAAGCUCUUUUGGUAUGUGAAAUUUAAAAUUUUGAUCAAACUUUUGCAGGCGGAAUAAGAUCUACAUGAGCGAAGCACAACGAAGUGCGUUGAACGCGCUCCUAUUCCGGACCGGCGACCAGUCCAAAGACAUAGUGCUAGCCCUUGCAACUAACCGUCCAGGAGAUCUUGACUCGGCUGUGGCGGAUCGUGUGGACGAGGUCCUUGAAUUCCCCUUACCAGGGGAAGAGGAACGGUUCAAGCUGCUGAAGCUCUACCUGAACAAGUACAUAGCUCAGGCAGGGUCGAGCCAGUCCGGAAACUGGCUCAAGAGGCUGUUUAAGAAGAAACAGCAGCAGCAGAAAAUCGAGAUCAAAGGAGUGACGGACGAUAUUGUAAGGGAAGCAGCAGCGAAAACAGAAGGGUUCUCCGGAAGGGAGAUUGCGAAACUGAUGGCUGGUGUUCAAGCGGCAGUGUACGGAAGCAAUGACUGCGUGCUGGAUGCGAGCUUGUUCCGCGAAGUCGUGGAUUACAAGGUCGCGGAGCACCAGCAGAGGAUCAAACUGGCGUCGGAUGGGAAGGGUAAUUGAUUUUUAGGGGGUUCACUCAGGUUAUAUCUAUGAUAAUAGUUCACAUUUGGUCCGACUUCUAACCAUCUGAGGAAGCAUGUUAUUUUUUUGCCUUAUGCUUAGUAUUGAGCUCUUUUUGCAAUGUGAUUGAAUCUGUUCUGUAAUUUCUGGAAUCAACAGUCCAAUCAAGAGGCGUCUCCCCCAUAAUAAACAACACUAGAAAUAGUGAUUGGCGAGCCAGUUUGUAAGCAACCACGUUUCGAGUUUUCCUAACCCAUACAACCUCGAACAAGGGUCUACCAUUAAGUAUAGUUUGGCAGCCUCAAGUAUCCCAAUGAUGCCCUAGUCGAGGCCACGACCUAUCUUGUAGUAGAUGUAGACAAAGCUACUAGCUAGAGUUGAAGCAUUGAUAGCAAGCCGCUUUCAGGAAAAGAAUGUUCAACCAUCUCGUUUGUUGACCAGUCCUUGCACAGGAUUAGAAUUUAAUCAUGUCGGAUUGUCCAAAGAGUGGCACACCGAAUCAGGGGUUCCCCGAAUGGAUAUAUCCAUGAGACAAGUUCGGGUAUUGAGAUAUUCCCAACCUUUAUUUUCUCUAACAUAAACGGCUCCCGCAAAAAUGAUUAAGAUAGUUAAAAUCAAAUUCUAAAUAUUUAUAGGCCUCUACACAAUUCGAGAGAUAUCUACGGACCCCAAAUCGAAAACACCCAACCCGGCCCAUUUCAAAGAUCCAUAUUAUACAUAAACAUCACAGAAAAAAACCAAAAGAAAAGAAGCCACUCGACAGUAUUCUAUUCUCACCCACCACUUCGUAGAAAUCUGAAUCGCUGCAAUAAUACAUAUAUUUUCUGCGUCAUUAUCUCAAAUUCCUCAGGGUUCCUCUUCAGCUUCCUUGAAUUUUUCAAAUUUCAUCUGGGCCAGUUGUUGGGGUUCUUUUCCUGAUAUUUUUCUCCGAGCGGAAUUAUUGGUACUCAAUUCUUCACUGUACAGAUCGUCUCUGCAAAAACCCUAGAAGUUUCAGCAAUUUUAGGUUUUUCAUUUUUGUCUCAAGUCCGAGCUUUCUCUCAUCCGGUGUAGAUUCAGUUUUCUCCAUGGAUUUGAAGCUCUGAGUAGAGGGUACCAAGUGUAGUUAUGGACAGGUUCAUGAACGGAGGCGGGAUUCCGCAGGGUUCCAAGAUGGAGGAGCCCAAACAAUUCGGAGUUAGCGCUUCAGGUAACCCUUGUUCGUCUUCUAGGUUUUCUCUGCUGAAUUCUUCCGUUUGUGUUUUAUUACUUGGUUGAAUCUGAAAAAUGGGGUUUCAAGUGUUUGCUCAAGUCAACUUCAAAUGUCAUAUAUGUUAUUGAGUGGAACAGUCUCCUGAGCUUCAUAGUUACUCUGCAGUUUUUAUCGAUUGGGACUUACAGUUGUUUGAUUUGCUUGUGACUAGUGUUUCGUGGAUUUUUUUCUCUUGUGGUUGAGCUUUCAUGCGAGAAUUGUACUGUUUAUGAGGACUAUUGGAGUAACUGAGCUGAUUGGUUUUCUCACUGGACUUCUUUUGGUUGCAGGGGAUGCUUUGUUUGAUGCAUCUCAAUAUGCAUUUUUUGGGAAAGAUCUCGUUGAGGAAGUGGAGCUGGGUGGAUUGGACGACGAGGGGGAAGAUUCUGUUUCUGCUCCGGUUGAACUGGAAGAAGAGGAGUUCUUGUUUGAUAGACAAGAGGUAAAAUCAUGCUCUAUACUAUACUCUUUAAGGAUUUAUUUUGGUUUUUUUUUUUGAGGUCUUGGUCGGUCUCUAUUCUAAUUUCCUUAUUUUCAGGGCGACGGUAUAGGAUCUCUAUCGGAUAUUGAUGAUCUUAGCAGUACGUUUUCAAAGGUUAGUCUGACAUUUUCUGGUCGAUGUUAGGGAUCUUAGUGUCUUGGAUGAUGAAAUUAAAGAGCGGGAACCAUGGUCGUCAAGUAUUACAUCUUUUUUUGUUUCAAUUCCACCUGUACAACCUUGUGUUUUUCUCUAACUGCUACUUCUUGACUCGUAUGUGUGUUUACUGAUCCUUUGGUUGCAGUUAAACAAGGAUGUAGGUGGUCCAACAAGAUUAGGUGUGAAUUCUGACAGGGGUUCAAGAGAAAGUAAGUAAGCCAUUAGAAUUGGUUCUAUUUGUGAUUGAAAUUAUUAGAAUUGGUUGGUGUUUUGAGCUCUAGUGAUAGGAUCUACCAGCAGGAAAAUCUUGUCAGACAGUUGUUUUUGUGUGAAAUCAUCAUUAUGUUUUACGGUUUUCAGUAUAGUCUUGUAAGGUUUAGAAUAUUUCAUCUUUUGGUACCCCUUGUUCCACAUUCACAUAAUUAUGUGUUGGAUAUUAUUUGGUGUUUUGACGUCUGGAAGUAGUCGUUUUGUCUAUUGUAAUGAUGAGUCAAAUGAAAAUUAUAGGUUAGGUGCUUUAUGUCUUCUCUAAUAUACCUGCAUCAUAUUACUAUUUCACCAUAUUCAUACAUGUAUCUAUGAACAAGAUGCCCUCGAGGAGAUGAUGUUAGUCAUAUAAAAUGGUAAUAAUUCAGCUCACUCAUCAGGAUAUGAUGCUUGACUGCCUUGCUUUGUCUUAUACCAGGUUUAGGGUUUCAUCGCCACUAUUAUGUUUUGCAUAAAAGUUCGGGAUUUGUUUACAAUAGGAAUAAUUUGAUGCUACUGAAAGUACUAUUCCGUGUCAUGUCUGCAUCAUUUUACUUCUUAACAUGUUCCUGUUAUAUAUUUCUGAAUAAGCUGGAGUAGGUGCUAUAAUAAUAUUACAACAUACUGUUGUCAGCUUAGACAGUUUAAUAUAGCUACAUUUCCCAAGCCGAAGGGAGAUAGACAGAAUUGAAUAUGCUUAUUUACAAACAGUAAAGUGGCACUGAAUUUGAUUUUUUCCUUUUAGGUUCAUCUGCUGCUGAGUGGGUUCAAGGGGAAGAGGUCCCUAAUUGGUUUGAUCAGCAGACAUUUGAUGCGGACAGCUCUCAAGAUGGAAAGAAGUGGUUGUCACAUCCCUUUUCCUCUUCUGCUUGGCCAGGAGAUCCUAAAAAUCUGUAUCGAACAACUUCAUAUCCAGAGCAACCACAGCAGCUCCACCAGCAAACACACCAACAGUUCUCAAGCGAACCGAUUCUUGUCCCAAAAACAUCUUAUCCUUCAUAUCCUCCUCCUGACGGGCAAUCGCCACAUGCUUCACCAAAUCAUAGUCAGCUAAAUACUCCAUACCUCACUGGAAACUCCCAGAUGUCACUAUCUCCACAAAACCUUUCCCCUUUCUCGAAUCCUCAGCUUCAAAUGACUGGUGUGCGCCAGGGAUCACCACAGUAUGGCAUAAACUUGCCGCAGUAUGCCUCUGGCCUUUCUGGUAGUAAUCGUCCACCAAGUCAAUGGGCUAACCAGUCUGGAAUGUUUCCUGGAGACCAUAACAACCGCUUGAACAAUGUGCUGCAAAAGCAAAUGCCUCAUCAAAAUGGGUUAAUGCCUCCACAGCUGAUGCCUCACUUACAGCAGCAGCCACACAGACUGCACCAUCAGGGGCCACCAUCUUUGAAUCAUUUAUCAGGUAUGCAGAGUCAGCUAUUUGGCACUCAUCUCCGCCCAUCGCGUCCAAUGAUGCCAAGUGCAAUUCUUGGUGCUGGUGACUCGAGAGAUCAAAUGCCAACAUCAGCUCAGAGAGGUAGAAUGAAUAUGGGAUAUUCUCAAAUGGGUUUUGAUGCAAAUAGGCAGAGAAUGGGCUGGCCAAGGUUUAGAUCCAAGCAUAUGUCAUCUGAUGAACUCGAGGGUAUUCUGAGAAUGCAGCUUGCUGCAACUCACAGCAAUGAUCCCUACGUGGAUGAUUAUUAUAACCAGGGUCGUCGUGCGAAAAGAUCAGCUGGGGCUAAGCUUCGACAUCAUUUCUGUCCGACCCACUUGAGGGAUCUUCCUCCCGGGGCACGUGUGAAUUCAGAGCCUCAUGCAUUUCUAAAGGUUGAUGCACUUGGUAGGGUUCCUUUCUCAUCCAUCCGUAGGCCCCGUCCUCUUCUCGAGGUUGAACCCCCAAAUUCUUCCGAUGGAGGUGAUGGAGGUAAUAAUGAGCACGCCAUUUCUGAGAAGCCCUUAGAGCAGGAGCCUUUGCUUGCUGCUAGAGUCACAAUUGAAGAUGGUCUUUGCCUACUCCUUGAUGUAGAUGAUAUUGACCGGUUGCUUGAAUUUAAUCCGCUCCCUGAUGGUGAGCUAGCUCACUUGAGACAGCGUCGUCAGGCUUUGUUAGAAGGGCUGGCAACCUCUCUGCAAUUGGUUGAUCCACUUGGAAAGAAUGGACAGACAGUUGGGCUUGCUGCAGAGGAUGAUAUUGUUUUCUUAAGGGUAGCAUCUUUGCCUAAGGGCCGGAAACUUCUCUCGAGAUACCUGCAACUUCUCUUCCCAGCUGGUGACCUCUUACGGAUCGUAUGUAUGGCCAUCUUUCGUCAUUUAAGGUUUCUUUUCGGUGUUACCCCCUCAGAUGCCAGAGCUGCCGAAACUACAAUCCACCUUGCGAGGACAGUAUCGUUUUGUGUCCGUCGGAUGGAUCUCGGUUCACUUAGCGCGUGCCUCGCUGCUGUGGUGUGCUCUUCUGAGCAGCCUCCAUUACGCCCACUUAGUAGCUCAGCUGGAAAUGGGGCAUCUGUCAUCGUAGUCUCAGUUCUUGAGCGCGCCUCUGAAAUGUUGACCGAAGUCCACGAUGCUAGUAAUUACGGUGUCGCGAAUCGAGCUCUUUGGAAUGCCUCGUUUGAUGAGUUCUUCGGCCUCCUCAUCAAGUACUGUGUGAACAGGUACGACAGUAUCAUGCAGUCUCCUGGAUUAGAUCCAGCUGAAGCUAUCAAGAGGGAACUGCCAAUGGAGCUCUUGCGUGCAAGCGUUCCGCACACGAACGACUAUCAGAAGAAGAUGAUGUACGAUCUUUCUCAGCGAUCUCUUGCUGGCCAGGACAAAGGCAACGUCGGCCUAGGAGUGUGAGCCAGAUACAAUUACAGCAUUCACCACUUUGGAGGAGGUAAUCCAUAACUCUUGAGCUUCCACGCUGGUUUUCGCAUAUUGGCGACGGAUUCUAAAGUCGGGAGCAUGCAGGAUGCACAUCUCACUUGGUGCAAUUAGUAUUUAAAGCCCUAAUGCUCUUAGUUUUUGUAGAAGGUUUUGGUCAUUCUCAUUCAAUCUUCAUUUUGAACCGUCUUUGUUCGAAUUUUGUUGUAGUUGUCGGGUUGUUUCGAAAGCUUAUUUUGGUGCUCCCCUGUGGAAUCUAGAUGUACAGAAGGUUUACUUCGAUGCUAAAUCAUCUCCUCCUGUGCCUAUCUGUACUAUUUUGACUGGAUGGAUUGAAGGAUUUCCUUCAGUUCUGAAUCAUCUUUGCAGUUUAAUAUCGUACUGUGGCUGUGGUGCACAAAAUGGGAACAAUAAAAGCUGAACACGUUUGUUUUUGUUGAUGUUGGUUUUCUGUAAUCUUAUUUUAUUUCUCUCCUAUUCAUUUAGUUAGAAUGGUUCACGAUCUUGAUUUUACGAUCUUGAUUUUCCUUCCGACGGGAAAAAUCUUGUAGAGACAUAGUAAUAUAUAUCCUCGAUGAUCGAACUACGAACAGUGAACAAACUUUAGGCAAAAGCUUGCAUUGACCCUUUCAAAGUGAUGCGGAACUUGUGCUCGAAUGCUCGAUAAACGUUCUAUUCGUUCUUUCGUUGGUGUGUGAUGAUUUAAGCAAUAUGUCCCCUUCGUAAGCCAUUUCAUUAUCCGUUAAUUUUGGACGGAAAAUAUGACGGAAGUAAACAGAAAUAUUACUACGCUAUGGCUAGAUGGUCAGGAUCGGAUGAGCCCAAGUCAGAACAAGUCAGUGGCCCACAAAACUAAACCCCCACAGGCCCAGACUACACGGUACACAAAGCCCAAGCGAGAGAAUAAGCAAAAAGGGUUUUUAUUUUCAAUUUUUUGAAUUUUUGUUUCAAAGAAAAAUUUGCAGAUAAACGCACUUCGCUUCUCCUCCGUUCUUCCGAGUUCCAGAAAUGGCGAGAACAGCUUGCGCCAACUUCAUUCCUGCCUUAGCACUUCUCCCUACGAAGUCAUCUCCUUCGUCCAUCUUCAAUGGCUGCGUGGCGAUUCGCCGGAGACUUUCGUCUUCGUCUUCCAGGAUUAGCAUGAGCUUGAAAGCAGGUAUCGUCGGCCUGCCUAACGUCGGCAAGUCCACUCUCUUCAACGCCGUUGUAAGUAGUAGUCGAACUUCAGCUCUAAGUGAGUAGUUACGUACGCCUAGUUUAGCCUUGUUAUAUAGCGUAGUCAAUGUCUUGUUAUCCUCGUAGGUUGAGAACGGGAAAGCUCAGGCGGCGAAUUUCCCAUUCUGUACUAUCGAACCGAAUGUAGGAGCUGUUGCAGUUCCAGAUCCUCGACUGAACGUGCUUUCUGAUAUCAGUAAAUCGCAAAAGGCAGUGCCAACCUCUAUUGAGUUCGUUGAUAUUGCUGGUCUUGUUAAGGGAGCAAGCCAAGGCGAGGUUUGCUUGAUUUAUUCUUUGUAGGAGCUGUUUGCUGAUUUUUUAAUCUAGUUCCGUCACUGCCACUAGAGGAUCUUUGUUUCUCUUCUUUUCUUUUCUUUCGGCACAUAUCAGGGAGGUGGACUCUAUAGUUCAGGUUACAUACUUGCAUUUUAUCUUCUUUAUAUGUCGAUUCCAGCCGUAUAUUUAUCAGUAGAGUUUUGCAUAAGUGAAUAAUCGACUUCGUAGAUACUGAUACUUAAAUUGACCUACACUGGAUUUGGUUGCAAAUUCCUCUUUUAAUGGAAUUUGAGAUUUCUAUUUGUUACUUUCCAUUUCGAUACACGAGAAUGACGAGUGGGUAAGAGUUUGAGAUGUUGUCUUAGGUUGUACGAUGCUUCGAGGAUAAUGACAUUGUUCAUGUGAAUGGGAGAGUGGAUCCCAAGGAUGAUAUUGAUGUGAUAAACUUGGAGCUUGUAUUCUCAGAUGUAGACCAGGUAUGCCAAACUCUUUUGGUGCUUGGUGAUUACAUUUCGUAUGGCUUCAAAACUUUCAACUUCUCUUUUAGAGAUGGUGUUGUUUUAGAGUGGAUAUGAUUGGUUGAUGAGAUGGUGUUCUUCCGAGACAAGUUGAUAAAACUAAGACUGAUAUGCUAUCCAAGAAAUGCAGAUUGAAAAAAGACUGGAGAAGCUAAAGAAAGGGAAGCCGAAGGAUUCACAAUCUAAAGUCAAGGUGAAUUAACGUUCUUCUAGUUAGUAAGUAGAAAACUAGUAGCUCAUCUCAUUUUAAGAGGCUAGUAGCUCAUCUUAUUUUAAGAGAAAGAUUUUGAUACAUUUUACAAAAACCACGGCAGGAUUGAGUAUAUAUUUGUGGAUUACCUUUUUCAGGAGGAAGCAGAAAAGUCUGCCUUGGAGAAAAUCCAAGCUGCUCUUAUGGAUGGAAAACCAGCCAGGUCUGUAAGUUUAACAGAUUUUGAGAAGGAUGCUAUAAAGCAUCUCUGCUUGCUUACCAUGAAACCUAUCAUAUAUGUGGCAAACGUCGCGGAAAAUGAAUUAGCUGUUCCUGAAGAUAAUCCUCAUGUAAAAGAAGUGAUGAAUGUAGCAGCCAAAUUGAAAUCUGGAAUAGUCACUGUUUCAGCACAGGUACGGCCCUAAGGGAGUAGGCUUAUUUUCAUUUUUCAUAUGAGGAAGAUAACUAGGGCCUUCUUGUAACACAGGUUGAAUCAGAGCUUUCAGAGUUGCCGCUUGAAGAAAGGUCGGAGUACUUGAAUUCACUUGGUGUAAGUGAAAGUGGACUGGGCAAUCUUGUGAGGGCAACAUAUGACCUUUUAGGAUUGCGUACAUACUUUACGUCGGGUGAGAAGGUAAGGAAGAAAGACUACAGAAACUUGUUUUGGGAAUGAUGGUUCUAUUUGGUAUUGAUAAAACAUUUUCAUGGUCUUUGUAGGAAACUAAAGCAUGGACCAUUCGCACAGGUUAGCUUACUCAGCUGGCUUCCCAUUUUUCUUACAUUUCCGGCCCACAUAUCAAGUUUGUUUAUAGUACUGGAUCACUCUAUAGUUACGUUAAAUGCUUAUGAACCUUACGGUCUUCCCCUAAUUAAAAAAUUAAAAUACUUGAUGUUGUAAGUUGGGUUUAGUGGAAUGAUCAUAUAGCUGUACAAUUUGAAGAUGGUUUAAAGCCUCUCAUUACUGUGGCUAUGGAGAAGUGAUUAUUUUCUGAGUCAAGUUCCCUCUCUGCCUCUAUUGGGUUAGGAAUGACUGCACCACAGGCUGCUGGAGUCAUACACUCAGACUUUGAAAGAGGUUUCAUUCGAGCUGAGACGGUAAGGACCAUCAAGGACCCCUUUGUUUAUUCAGGCUUCCUUUGUUGACUAACAGUAACAUGUCUACGAUUUUAUUACCUUGUACGAUUCCCUGACUGCCACCUGUCUCUCAUAUCGUCAGGUUGCAUACGAUGAUUUUGUUGCUGCUGGCUCACUUUCAGCCGCAAAGGAAAAAGGACUUGUAAGUUUCUUUUACUGACCAAGCAAUAUAUCAUAGAAACAGUCUUCAUGAAUGUAGCUUUCCCUCAUCUAUCUCACCUUGUAAAUUUCUCUGCACAAACUGUUUAAAGCCUCUGAUGGCUGAGAGAUCUGUGAUUGACGGGUAAAAGCACAGUUCAGCUAGCUUCUAGUGUACAGUAGCUACAUAACAACAUCGUUACAUCAUUAUCAUGUGAAUUUUUUUUUUUACCUUGUACCCAUGUACUAUUCUCAUGACUCUUCUCUGGACAAAAAUGCUGACCUAACAAGAAGCUUUUUGACAGUUGAGAUCAGAGGGGAAAGACUACAUUGUUCAAGAAGGAGAUGUGAUGUUGUUUCGCUUCAACGUCUAAGUGCAAUGGCACGGUAUUUCAAUCCUAUAUGAACUUUCUCCAGCUUAUAGCUCAAUCAAACACAGAGCCGGAUCAUGAGAUAUUCCGCCGAUCCUUUCAUCCAUACACAGUUAAGUACACUUCCGCCCUGAUUUUGUACGAAAAUUAUACACUGAACAUUCUUUACAUAACGAGAGCAACUUCGUGGACCUGCGACGUGGAUAUGGUCUGUUAAUUCAACUUCUUCAGACUCGAACUCUUUUCUUUCCGGUUCGACUGAAAUGAAUCUCAUUCGUCCACUUCAUUCUCUAUGAUUUGGAUAAUCAUCUUGCUAUAGUUGAGAAGUAAUCUCUUAGAGGUUAAGCUGUCAUUUCUCUCAGCAACUGAAAGGAAAUCAUUUCAUAUAUGAUGUGAUAUACGGUGGUUUUACUUCUAAGCUAACCCAAAUUAAGUUAGAAAAAAGAACUCUCAAGUAGGUUCGUUUCACAUUGGCUAGACAUACUUUCUAAUGAUUCAUGUCGGUAGUUAGGUACUCAGGUUCCUAUUGCUAUCUUAAUCGUCGGAGGUUAAGGGGUCUUAUCUUGUGGUCUUAGUUGUUUACGGCUUCGAAUAAGCAUCCAUAGUUAAGAUGAUUAGUCAUUGUUGUCGGCGAUAGACACUCAGAACUUGUUAGAGAGAUUAGUCAAUGUUCUAUGUUUUUUUCUCUUGCGACGGUCGAAAACUCUUUAUCUCGUUACAAAAGAAGCAUUUUGGGUACACAUACGUAGCAAUUGACGAAGGAUCCUUUGCGGGUAGACCGGGCUACUACAUAAUCAGCCUUUGAGUUACCAAACCUCGGACCCAAUUGUAGGACAAAACGUGAUGGCACCUCGAUAUGAGGUAACAUAAGUAAUCGGGCAGCAUAGAAGAUAGCUUCGUAUGCUGCACGGGCUUCAAACACAAUGACCGAAUUCAAAAAAGGAUCGAUUAUUGCUACGAGCAACGGUAACUCGAGCAAAGGGAUUUCACCAUUUUAGUUGACGUGAACAGAAUCUUUAGUUUUGAGAAAAAAAUAUGAUAAAAAGAGGAGACACAAACCACUGUAACUUGUUUUUUCUGUCAGUGUGAGUUGGAACAGUGACGAAACAGAAGUGAAAAAAUGUAGCAGCAACUGCUAACACUGUUGGUUUGUACCUACAUAAAAAAAAUGUCUGUCACAUGUGGUAAUGUGAGGGCUGGUUCGGCCUAAAAAACUUGGAACCCUUUGUUCGAUCUGAUAUUAUUUCAUCGUUAGAUAUGUUGGGUUAUCCCACAUUGGUAUGUGGAAGGACGGUAUUGUUUGUGAGGAAAACCUCACUCACAAGUUUGCUUUUGAAAUGAGAAAGACUAAUAGCACCUAUAAACAACCUUCAUGGGUGAAAAUUGCUAUCGACCUAUGAAGUGAGUGGAAUGAAAUCUCCAGAUAUUGUCAAACGAGUAGUGGAUACAUACGAGUAUAUCCAAAUGAGUAAUGGAUACCUACAUAUAGCGUAUUGAAAUCCUUGUAAAGAAUGAAAUGCAAUCACAGAUAAAAAAUACAAACACAUGAUAUAGGGAACUUUUAAACACAAUUUUCUGUCCCCGAGAAGAGUACACCUGGAAGUGUUACCAAGAUAGAAAUAUUAACUAUUAUGUUUUGAUGAUGCCAAUUACAAUGAUCAAAAAUCAAAUUAUCGAAUCAUCCCCUAAUUCUCUAUUGAAAUAAAGUCUUGACAUAUUUGACCAAAUUCAUAAUAUAGUUCAAAAACCCGUCAAAAACAAAUGUUAAAACACGAUCUAAUUAUCGAUUAAUAUUUAGUCCAUCAAACUCCAUAACUGGAAUGAUCCUUCCCCCAACUCUUCCCACACUCCACAUGUCGACCACUAUCUACUCUCAUUAAUGUUCAUUCCCCUCGUUCCAAUUGUCUUUCUUAUCGUUAUUCAUCCCAUCACCCUAACAACACAAAACCCACUUGCCCAACCAACUUAUGUUGCAUGUUCUUUCCUUGCACAUCUUCCAAUGCUCAACUUACUGAGGUAUGGGCAUUUCCCCACCGUUUUAUGUCGGAAUCGAACCGGGUGUUGAAGCGGAUGAGACAACGUGUGCAGACUUCAAACCCUUUUCACUAAUUUUCGUUUAAGGGAACAUAAUUGAAACGCAAUGGUUCAUUGCAUAAUACAACACCGAUCAAGAGGCUCUUGAUUUCACAUCCUGAUAACCCCUAUUUAUUGUAGAAAAAUUAUCGAAAUUGUGCAAAUUUCAGACUCUUCCGAAACCUCCGUAACUAAUGGGGGAAGGCUUUACUGGUUUAGGCUGCUAGCUGAGCUCCUCCCAUUACGCCAUGUGCAGUAUGUCUACGGAGGGGAAAAAAACGGCGGUUUGGAAUUUGUGGAUCAGAUAACGACAAAGGUCCACGUGUGUUGAUUUGUCGGUUAAUUAACCAAAUUCACUGACCAGACAGUUGGUCAAGCCUCCAUUCCAGGUGGGGGCUACUCGAAUCGACCCUUCUCCAAUAUGCUCUCAUCUUGUUCCUUUCCCACCACCAUUUUCUCCCCUUAUCUUAAUCUCGAAAACAAUCGGUAAAAAUCGAAUCACAGAUCGAAUCGACGAAUUAUUCAUUGUGUUGUAUUACUAUAAUCAAAUAAUGACAUGUUCGUGUCAAAGCAGGAAGGUCAUUAUGUUCAGUUUACGAGCCCCGCUAGCUUUCCUUUUCGGCCAUGAAGUGUGCGAUACGGACCAAUUGUACUAUUCAAUUGUAUGUCACCUAUUAUAAAUAGCUCUUAUUUAGUCACAGGAGAUUUGAAUUGUUGUAAAUCCCUCCUACUAAUUGUGGUAAAUGUUUGGAUUAGUUCAGAAUUUUAGCACCGUAAAUCGAUACCCGAUUACCAUCUCUAUCUAGGAUAUUUUAAUGCAUGGAGCCCAAUUAUAUAUAAGUUAAAAUACGCAGGACUUGCAUAUAAAAAAAAUAUGUUACUCAACUUUUAGCUAUAAGAAAACUUACAUAUUAUCUGAAUUUCGGACUCUCGAAAGUAGGCUGGCUGACCCCGUGGCCUAGGAAACACCCCCUCUGUAUCCGCCACUGACGUCAAUUCUCGUAACCGAUUACUUAAUCCGAUUCGUGACCAUACACAUCGAUAGUAAUGCAUCAAAACGUCUCAUCCUAGUCCACUAGUGUCUGUUUUAGUUUGAUGAUUCUCAGGUUCUAGUUUCUGAAAAAAAACAGUGUGCUAGCAGUUUCGACUGUGGUUUCUGAUGUCAUGUCAUUAAGCUUUGUACAUAUACCACUGUUGUUUUCCCCCCAAUGCAUGAGAUGUGUACUUUGAGAUCGGCUAGUCAAUUUUCGCUUUUCAGAUUUAGAACUUCGAUAAAAUCUAUCAAUCUCGAUAAUACCGCUUAAUGGAUGUAUUUCUUCAAAUUGUAUACAAUUCGGCCCAGUAUAAUAACCUUCAGCCAUUAUGAUCUACUGUUAAUAUGAUCUACUAGCUUUAUUUUGUAAAUAAGUCUUGUUAAAAAAAACAAAACAGUAGUAUUUGUCUUUUCAUAAUCUUUUUCUUUCUUAAUAAUCUAUUCUAAUGUUUUAAUUCGAUAAAUAAAUAAUAUAAUAAUUUUUUUUUUAUAACGAGAACCCUCUUAGUUGAAUUUCUGAUUUCGCCACUGCUCCCACCCCUAGUUACGAGUUUCUAAAAGCUAGUGAUCCUAUCGUAAACCGAAUUGAUUCGACCCACUAAACCGGGCUAGCUAGGCCCCACCAAUAACAAUACCCCCCACAUAUUUUCCUAUAUAAACAAAUUACAACGACAUCACACCAAACAACACCAUCUUUCCCUAACCAUAUACUUGAAAAGAAGUCUUGAAGCCUAUUCCUUCAUCUUCUUCUGAAGAAAUCAUGAAGAAGAUCAACUUGCUACUCAGAAAGUGUAAGAGCCUCUCCAAGCAGCUCGGAAGAUCUUCAUCCUACAGCAGCUUAAGAUCAUCCAAGAAUGAUCACCACCACCACCAGCAGCUAUGGAGGUCUCAAAGUAACAUUUAUCAUCAUCAUCACCAUCAUCAAGAUGGCGGUGAUGAUGAUGAUGAUCGGCAGACGGUGUUUGUCGGGAGCACGAGGAAGAGGUACGUGAUUAGCUCCAAGUGCUUGAGCCACCCCGUCGUGAAUGCUCUGAUCACUCAUGACGACGGUGGUAAUGGUGGGACGGCUGUGGUGAAAUGUGAGGUGGUUCUCUUUGACCACUUAUUGUGGAUGCUAGACAAUGCUGAGAUCACCGACGGUGAUCUCAGCAUCGAGUCCCUGCAGGAACUUGCGGAUCUCUACGUGUUUUGAACCCUUUUUUUUUUACUUUUGUAAUGGAUUGUAAUAUGGGUGGUCUUCGAUUCUAAAUCUGUGCUCUCAUGGUUUCGUGAUCGAUCGACCGAUCAGUGUUCAUAAUGACAAAAGGACAACCUUUGUAAUGACCAAGUUUCUGUCGGUAUUAUGGUUCCAUGUGAAGUGUGUAUCAAGGAUAGGAAAGUUCAUACCUAUUAACCUUCAUUUUGUGCAGAAAAAGACUAGUAAUUUGAGUGGAAGAAUUGUUAUUAUGUCUACCUUGUCCGCAUAACGAGAGAGUGGUUUACCGGAUAAACUAACUAAAGGUUGUUUAGCGAGAUAGGAUAUUCGCUCUUAGGACGGGGAUUGAAUGGGUGGAUUGGAUAGAUAGAACAUAGAAGUAAGUAGUCAUAACUAACGAAGUGCACACCUUUUAUUUAAUGCGGAAAUCUCCAAAUACAGACAAAAUUAAGGAGAAUAUUUAUGAUUUUGAGAAUCAGAUGAGAGAGAUUUUCGAAGAAGCAAAUAUGGUGGAUUGAUGGACCUCUCGGGUGGAUCUCCUUAAGUUUAGGGAAUUUUUUUUCAAAUUACUAUUUUCUUGAAAUUUAUAAAGUUGUCCUACAAAUUUAGAUGGAUUAAUUUCCUACAAAAUUCAAUAAAACAUAUUGAAUUGUUGUCAUUAGACUCCGAAAGUAGUAACAAACAAUCGUUUGAAAGUCAAAAUAUAUUUUGAGUAAUUUAUAAAAUGUUAAAGUGAGAAAGAACGAAGAUCAUAACGUUGAAAUUAUUAAAAAUCAAUAUCAUNNNNNNNNNNNNNNNNNNNNNNNNNNNNNNNNNNNNNNNNNNNNNNNNNNNNNNNNNNNNNNNNNNNNNNNNNNNNNNNNNNNNNNNNNNNNNNNNNNNNNNNNNNNNNNNNNNNNNNNNNNNNNNNNNNNNNNNNNNNNNNNNNNNNNNNNNNNNNNNNNNNNNCUUGAAGACCCAUCUUCUAAAAACCUUUACUUCCAAUUGGUGCUUUGUUGUUGGCUGCAAAAGGGAAUGUUUGAGCAUAGGGAGAGUCGGUGGACUCUAAUUAUAUAUAUUAUAUUUGAUGGAUUUGGUGUUAAUUUAAUUAUUAGUUGAUCAUUUUAAUAUAAUUAGUAAAUUUUUUUGGCAUUCUUUUCGAAAUUUCUACUCAAUUCAUCGGAAUUGCUUACACUAACCUCAAUUCCGCGGAAUUAAAAGUUUAGAAUUGAGAACAAUUUCUUUUACUUAUCAAACACAAAAACAUUUCAUUUCGAAAUAAAAAUUUAUGAAAUUCAUUUAUAUCAAACACUAUGAUAAUCAUAAUUUAAUUAUAAUUUUAUCGAUUUAAAUGAUUAAACCAUAUACCAUUACUCUAAUAUAUCGAUGGGUUUGAAUUAGUUUUUGGAUUAGGCUGUAAAUUUAUUACCUCAAUAAAAAUUUGGGCUGGAUUUUGUUAGUCAGUUUUGGGCCUCAACCUGAAAACCCUGGCCCGCCCGCUCAAAAACCAGACAAAACAAAACAAAAAAUAGGAUUUUGGAUAACAUAGAAAAAAAACCAGUAAAGCAAGCAAUCCUUUGUUGUAAAGAUUGAAUCAAUGGAUAAUGAGUCGCCGUGUCGUCGUCGUCUUCUCGCGCUCUCCUUUCACCGGCGGCGUCACUGACUGAACGGAUUCCGCUUCACCGCCGGCCACCGAACCUUCCAUUCUCUUCGGUACGCAGAAAACCUUCAGCUACCUCUCUCUGAGCAUAUAUUCUUCAAAAGCCAGAUUUUGAAUUCUUAUGCGGUUAGAAAUUGCUUUUGGUGCUCUGGGAAUCUGUGGCAAUGAACGUUUCUAGAAAUGUACUGACACCAUUUAGUUACAAUACUACAAUGGCUGCUUGUGGAUUGCUUUCCCAUUUCCCUAAUAAUCUCCGCUCGCUCUCACUCAACAAUGGCUUCAGCAAAGCUUUAUCCACUACCCACAUCACAAUUUCCCGCAAAGACUCUGCCUUGACACCACCCAUCUGGAGGAAGACCGCCAGCAGCAGAAAAAACAGCAGCAAAGAGGAAUCCAGAUUGAAAAAGGAUUCAAUAGUUUUCAAGGGGGAAACUUUGGAUAUUUCCCAGGCAAAGCAGCUGAUUUCAGAUUCUUGUAAAACUGACAAAUGGAAGAACGCUUUAAGAGUGAUGGAAAUGCUGAUUGCAUCAAAGAUCACUGUUGAUUCCGGUUUUACUAAUCUGUUAGUAGACGAUCUAUGUCGAAGAGGAUGUAUAGGGCACGCGAUGCAGCUUGUGAACAAAUUGGAGAAACUGAGCUUUCCAACUGAUGCAGAUACUUAUGGCUACAUUGUAAAAUCACUUUGUAAGCACUGGAGCUUGGAUCAAUGCCUGCAGUACACAAACCGGCAGGUACAGAAAGGAUUCGUACCGAAGACAUUCGCUCAUAAUAAUCCUUCGUUGCUUCGAUUGGCGUGUAAAGAGAGAGGAGCUGACAAGGCUAUGAACCUCUUUGAUCAUGAUGAUGCAAAGGAUUUGUCUACUUGUUACAACGUGUUGCUCUCCGGUUUUUGCAGCGAAGGCCGGUUACACGAUGCGAUUCGUUUGUUCCGUGAUUUGCAGGAUCCGAACGUUACUAGCUAUAACAUCUUGCUUAGCGCUCUUUGGAACGACGCGAAAUGGGAAGAGUCGAAUUUCCUGCUCGACGAGAUGAAUGGAGACGGGAAAUUUCCAUCGGAUGUCACGUACAUUGCGCUGAUUAGAUCACUGGCGGUCCAUGGCAAGACCGAUCUUGCGAUCCGUAUGCUGGAUAGAAUCGAGGAGGAGAAGAAGACUGCAUCGAUGUACAAUCCGGUCAUAGCUCGUCUUUCGCUAGAAGGUGAUGUCGAUACGGUCAGCAGCGUGAUAUACAGGAUGAGAUACGAGAACGUGGAACCGGACAAGUGGACGUAUAGCGCGAUAAGUCUGCUCUUCUCCUGCGACGACGAGGAUGCUUACUCGAUUUUCUACACCAUGGCAUCUGAAUCAUCCUCGAUCAGCUCGAUCAGUACGUUCUUCAACCGUGUGAUUUCGAGUUUGUGCAGAACCGGAGACACCUAUGCUGCAUUCAAGCUUCUGUAUGAACUGGCUAAGAAGAAGACCGAUUUUGCGCCCGAUCCACCGACGUAUUCGACGAUGAUGAAAGGGCUGUGUUCCGAAGGGAUGGUGGAAGCGGCAAUGAAGGUGUUGCCGGUGCUGGAAGAGUACGGAGGAUAUGUACCGAACAAGGACAACUACAACGCGCUUAUUCGAGGCCUGUGCAAGGCUAGGAGGGCCAGCUUGGCGUUGGAGGUUUUCGAGACGAUGAUCGGGAAAGGAUAUGUGCCGAAUGCAGCGACAUAUACUAUUAUCGUUGGUGGGAUUGUGUAUGAAGGUGAGAUGGAGCUGGCAGCAUCAGUUCUUGGAGAUUUGUAUCGAUGUGGGUUGGUUAAACGUGAUACUGCUGAAAGGCUUGUUUUGCAGUAUGGCCUGAAAAGAGUUUCCUUGUAAUAGAGAUGUAACAAUCGAACCGGUUCAAGUGUGACGAGCCAAACCGAGUUUUAUCCCGGUCUAACUCGACUUUUUUGUUUGUAGUGAGCUUGAACCGAACCAUGAUAAUCGAGCUCGGCUCAACUCAACUCAACUCGUGAUUGGCUCAUUUGCAAGUCCUGACGAGCUCGAGCUAGAAUUUGUCUUGUUUGCAAGUUCUUAACGAGUUCGAAUUGUAUAGUCUAAUUAAACAAUUAGUCAUUAAGACAAAAUCACGCACCAUCAUAUUCUUCGGGCUUUUAGACGAAAUAAGAACUUCAAAAUCAUAUAAAUCUCUAAAACCAACUCAUGAGUUGAACUAAUCGAGCCAACUAAUAAACCUCAACUGAACAGAUGAAUCAAGCCAUGAUUCAAGCAACUCUCGAGUCUCAAUUAGGGCUAGCUUCUCGGUUGGUUAAUUGGUUAAAAUCGGCUAAUCGACUGCAUUGGUUUAAUUGAAAUUAGGUCGGUUGGUGAAACGGUUAAUGUAUUGUUGAAACCGCUUCAUUGGUUAAAAGUCAGUUAACCUUAGUUAACCGAAAAAAUGGAAUUAUCCUCAAAUGUUAAGUGAAAUUGCCUCAAAUUCAAUUAAAACAACCCCAAUUUAGGUAUUGAUGUAUCGGUUAAAUUAGUCGGUUGGUUAACUUACGGUUAUUUAACCAUAGCGGUCGGUUAACGGUCGGUUAAUUAAUCUCCUCCUAGAUUCUGUCAGAUAUGAAAUUUUAAUUUUAACCGAUCGAAUCCGAUGGUUAAUAAUCGAAUUAACCAAUUCUCAUGCCUAGUCUUAAUCGAGCCUCAAACGAGUUGGGCAGUUGGCUCACGAGCUAUGCUCAUUGAGCUGGCUUACUCGAUAAUUAUCAAGUCUGCUUGAAACCGUACUGAUUUUAAUUAAUUUUUCUCCAAAUCAAACACCAAACUUCUCACAAACCGCUUGUUUAUCGAACCCCUGACCGAUGAGCCACACAGCCCAUUUCACACCUCUAGUUAAAAACACUAGGAGCCCAUCGAACAAUAGCCCAAAGUCUGGAGUCAUCAACAAGCAAAGUGAGCCCAAGCCCAGAAACCUGGCCUUUGCUCCAAGAACAAGACAAAAAAAAAACAUAACAAAAAAUUUGCGGACUUUGGAUAACGGCAGGAAGAGGAAAGCAAAGCAAAUCCGUUGUAGUAAAAAGAUUGAAUGGAGAGAUAAGUAGAUAACUCAUCUUCUCCGGCACCGAGCAAAUUACCACCGGAAAGAUAAACUCUUCGCCGGCGGAGUAACAGAGAAAUACCCAGCUGGUACGUUCAUCCUUCACUUAAACUUCUUUUGCGUUUUCAAAUUCCACGAAGAGGAAAGAAAUCAGCUUGAGCUUCUGAUUCAGUAGUAGAGAGUAUGUGCUGUAGUAGAACUGUCGCCAUGAAUGUUCUGUUCAACAGAGUGACGAACUUACCGACGCCAUUUCCAGCUACUGGAGGGAAUAAUAAUAUAAUUCGCUCUGUCUCGCUCAACAAUGGCUUCAGUAAGGUUUUGGCUUCAACCCACAUCACAAUUCCUUCAAAGGACUCUGGUUUGCCAUUAUCCAGCUGGAUAAACAAAGAGGUUAGGGUUAGGAUUACAGAAGAGUUUGAUUCGAUGGCGAGCAAGAUUUCAAAAGGGGGAAAGCCUGAUAUUUACGAGUCAAUGCAGCUGAUCUACAAUCUGUGCAAGGAUGAAAACUUCGAAAAGGCCGUGAGAGUGAUGCAAUUGCUAAUUGAAUCGAAGAGCAUUCCUGAUUCGCGGUCCUGCAAUUACUUGGUGAGCAAUCUCUGCAAGAGUGGGGAAUUUAGGUAUGCAAUGCAGGUAGUUGAAAAAAUGGGAGAGUAUAAAUUUCCAAUCAAUGCCAAUACUUAUAAUUCUCUUGUCAAAGUGCUUUCGACGCAAGGAGAAUUCGAGCAAUGCUUGCAGUUCAUCAACAGACUGAUCCAGAAAGGUCUCGUACCGAACACAUUCGCGCAUUCCUCCUUACUCGAACGAGUUUUCAAAGAGAGAGGAGUUGACGAGGCGUUGAAGGUCUUCGACGAGAUCAUGGCCAAAGGCUGGAAGCCUAAUUUGGUCAGCUACAACAUUUUACUCACCGGACUUUGCAACGAAGGUAGGGUUGAUGAAGCGUUUCGUCUGUUCCGAGAAUUGCCUUUGAUCGGUUACAAUCCGAAUGUUGUGACGUACAACAUUCUUCUCAGAACUCUUGUGAAAGAUCAGAAAUGGGAAGAAGCAAAUGCGUUGUUAAGUGAGAUGAAUGCACAGGGGAAGUCACCAUCUGCUGUAACGUACAACACACUGAUUACUUGGCUUGCAAGGCAUGGCAGGACUGAUCACGCGAUUCACGUUUUCGACGAGAUGGAGAGGAGGAAUUUUCUUGUUACGACUGCUUCAUACAAUCCGAUCAUAGCCGGUCUUUCGAGACAAGGAAAAAUCGACAAAGUUGUGAAAUGUCUAGACCGGAUGAUGUCUCGUAAAUUGGGGCCGAGCGAUGGCACCUAUGGCGCCAUCGCUCUGCUCUGCGACGGAGGGAAAGUGGAACAAGCAUAUACCAUGAUUCAGUACUUGCGAUCGAGGCAGAGCCACUCGACUCAUAACUUCUUCAAAGGUGUGAUUGCGAGCUUGUGUAGAAAGGGAAGCACUUACGCUGCAUUUCAGCUGCUGUAUAGGAUGACGAAGAACGAUGAUUUCACGCCUGAUCCGCAAUCGUAUUCGAUUUUAAUGAAGGGGUUGUGUCGAGAGGGAAUGCUGGACGAGGCUUUCGGGGUUUUUCAAGUGCUGGAAGAGUAUGGAUAUGUGGCUAAUUUGGAGAAUUUCAACGCGUUGAUUCAAGGUCUCUGUAAGGCGAGGAGAACCGAUCUUUCGUUGGAGGUUUUUGAGGUGAUGGUCGGGAAAGGGUAUAUGCCGAGUUCGGCUACUUAUAGUAUGAUUGUGAGUGGGAUUGUUCAUGAAGAGAUGAAGGAGUUGGGAGCUGAAGUUCUGAAAGAUCUGUAUCGGAGGGGGGUGUUGAGUCGCAAUUGUGUUAAAAAGAUUGUGGUGCAACAUGAACUUGAAGGGCUGCCCUUGUAAUAACUGGUUAUCUCGAAAUCUUCGGCGUUUUUACUUCAUGAUCAUCAUGGUUCGUGAUGAACUCGCAGUGAUUGCUUGCGCCCUUCUGCUGCGAAUGCUCUCGAUCGAUGUGUCGCAUCGUGAUGCUGAAAUGAUUAAUCGGGUGGGUAUGGUGGCAAUGUGAGGUAGUUUUGUAUGAUAACCCGUCUGUGGCUGUGCUUGAUAAUGUCGAUUCCUGCAGUGAGAGCUCAGGUAGUUUGUAAAUGGUUUGAAUCAAAUAUGCUGUCGUUUAAAUGAUCUUCCAAUUGAAUCAUUUUGGUUAACUGACUAACCAAUCAAAUUCGGCCGGUUCAUCAUUUUAAUCGUUAAUUGUAAUCGAAUGUUAGCCCCUAGUUACAUCGAGAUAAAAUUCGAUACUAACUUAUAACCGAAAGGUUAAUCACAACGACUCUCCACGAAUCAGAAAAAAAGCGACCACAAUGCAUAUGUCUGCACCGUUCACACCAAAUAUGAGUGAUGACACAUUCUCGAGAUUCUUAAUUUCGUGGCCGGUUGAUUUUUAACUCUAAUCGGUUUGGUUAAUCCAUCACGGUCUCACCAAAUUAACCUCAGAUUUUAUAAGAAGAGGAAAGGACCAAUUUGCAAAUUUCUAAAAGAAAGUGGUACUUUUCGUAAGACCAACAAAACUGUUCUGGAUGUAGCGAUAAGAGUAAAGCAAAGCAAAACCGUUAGCCGAUUGAAUGGACAUUACUAGUGGAAGAGAACCCUUCGCCGGCGGCGACUGAUAUACUUUUUUCCGGUACGUUCAUCCCGUCAUUUUUACUUCUCGUCCAGCAAUGAAUCUACUAGCACCAUGUCCAGAGACGAUAAUGGCGUCUAAGCUCUUCCCCUUCCACGCCCCCAAUCCCCGAUCCGCCUCCCUCAAAACCGGCUUCACCAACCUCACAACGUCCUCGCAGCACAACACCGNNNNNNNNAGUUGAGAAUGCCUCCUCCGGAUUUACGGACUUGCAGUUACUUGGUGAACAGUCUUACCAGGAGCGGCUAUGUCGGGGAAGCGAUGCUGAUAGUGGAGAAGAUGGAAGAAGUUGGGUUUCCGACGAAUUCGAAUACGUACAAUUGCAUAAUUCGAGGGCUUGCCAUGGAUGGUGGGAGCUUCGAUGAGUGUUUGAAAUUCACAAACAAGCUUGUGGCGAAGGGGGUGUUGCCCAGUACGUUUACUGAUUCCUCUUUGCUUGCGAUUGCUUGUUAAGAGAAGGGAGUUGAUCAUGCCAUGAAGCUUUUCGACGAUAUUGUUGCACAAGGUUGGGAGCCUGGCUUGAUUAGCUACAAUGUUCUUGUUACCGGACUCUGCAACGAAGGUAAUUGUAGUUGGAAUCUCCUGUGUUAAAAGGAGGGGCCGGGAUUUCGAUCCAUCUUUAUUUCGUUUCUUGCCUGUGACAGGUAGGCUGGAUGAUGCAGUUCGCUUGUUCCGGGAGCUUCCAUCGAAAGGCAUCGAUCCGACCGUCGUUAGCUACAACAUCUUGCUGAAGAGCCUCUGCCAUGAAGGCAAGUGGGAGGAAGCAAAUGCAUUGCUGGCCGAGAUGAACGCCGAAGCGAAAUCUCCAUCCGUCGUCACGUACAACAUGCUGAUAAGUUCCCUGGUAUUCCACGGUAAGACGGAGGACGCGAUUAGACUGUUCCGCGAGAUGGAGAGAGGGAAAUUCAAGCGCAAGCUCGCCACGCCAGCUUACGACCCGAUCAUAGCUUGCCUCGCCAAACAAGGUAAGGCCGAUAUGAUCAUCGAGUUUCUAGAUCAUAUGAUAUCUCGAAACAUAGCUCCGAAAGAUGAAACGUACGCUUCGGUCAGCUUGCUGACCGAUGCAGGGAAGGUCCAAGAAGCGUAUUCGAUUAUCCGAAGCUUGGCCUCGACAAAGAAGUGCUCCAUCCACAACUUCUGGUAUUACGUGCUCUGCUGCCUGUGCGAGAAGGGAAGAACGUACGCUGCGUUCCAGCUUCUUUACGAGAUUGUCAAGGACGAUAGGUUCGUGCCUGAUCCACCGGCGUAUUCGACGUUGAUGAAAGGGCUGUGUGUCGAAGGGAUGCUGAGCGUGGCGUUGGAGAUCUUUGCAGCGCUGGUGAAAGAGUACGGAUAUGUUCCCAAGCCAGGGAACUUCAACACUAUUAUGCUCGGGCUAUGCAAGGCCGGGAGAACCGAUCUGUCGUUGCAGGUUUUCGAGGAUAUGAUCAGGAAGGGAAUCCGGGCUAACGACUCGACUUAUAACAUUUUAGUUCAAGGGAUUGUGAAUGAAGGUGGGAAUGAGUUGGCAGGUGGAGUAGUGAAGGAUUUGUUUCAGAUCGGGGCAGUAAGUCGCGAUGUUGUCCGGAGGUUUUCCCUGCGUUAUGACCUGGAUGUGUAAACCAGUUGUACAGCAGCGGAACCAUGGUUAGACCGGCCAGGGAGGAGCCUUCGAAUCCGGCUUUGGAUUUCUCGUCGAGGUUUAUGGAGACACGACAGUAUAACAUUUUGGAGAGUGAACUGUGAAGUCUUGGCCAAAUGGGUGAGAUUUUUUCAUUGUUUUUAGGCUUAACCCAUAAGAGAAAGAUGUGUACUUCCCACUUGGGAAAUCAUUCCAUUUGACAACACUAACAGCUCGUCCGGUUUUCAGCUGCAAAAUGUAAGCACGCCAAAAGCUCGAACCAACUCUAGCUCCGCUCACAAGUUAGCUCGUUUAUAGCUCGUAAACUUCCUCUAUUAUGAACACAUUGGUUUAACAUCUUCAAUCUAAUGUGUAAACAUACAGAUCACAAUCCUUAUGUAGGAGCCAAGAGGAGUGUUGAAGUUUCGAAUUCACGCAAAGCUCGACCUGCGAUUUUUAAACAAGCAGAGCUCAAGCACUGUGGUAUAAGUUCGAGCUUGAGUUCAUCUCGACUCGGAUAACCAACAUAGCUAAAAGUAAAUACUAAGUAGACUGCUUAGGGUAGUUCAAAGAACAUCAUCAUUCCAUUGUAAGAUAAGAGAAAGAUCAAAGGAAAUACAAUUCCCAAAUGUUUUAAACUCUACAGAAGAGCAGAGAUAAACAUGAACAUAGACUGAGAAUCGCUACUUAAAGCUAAAGUUCGAAAGAUCGAUAGUAGCAUUCCUAUAACAAGAGGCCAUCCACUAGGUGAACAGACUGUAGAGAAAGGAACUCGAGAUCUUCCAGGAUAACUAGCCAGAGGCCCUCUACUUGGAUCUCUGUCUCAUCUUUCGGCGCUUCCUCUUAAGCCUCCUCAUUCUCUUCUUCUUCCACUGCACAAUCAACCAAGCACAAUUCAGCUUAUCGAAAUUCACAAAGUGGACAAAAUCGAGACGUGAAAUCAACUUAUAACUGUUAAACAUUGACACAACCAAGCCAGACCCAACUCGGCAAUGAUUUGAAUUGAACAAAUAUUCAAUCAACAACAACUUUUGCAAUGCAAAUCUAUCAGAACCUCUUAAAACUAAGUGAAAAGUGAUCAAAUUGGCCAAAAACUCGAUCAAUUUGUGACCCAACGAGUCUACAACCACUUUCACUCAAGAGAGAUCAACCCAACCGAUGACUUUGACAGCAAUAAUCGAGCUGAUAAUCACUCCAACCGAAUACUGUGCUAGAAGAAACCAAGCAUUUCCAGAAAAAGAAGGUUUGAGCUUAUAGGAAACCAAAGGCAGAAUCUGAAAUUACGAGCUACAAUAAUCAUACAAAUCAACUGAUGAGCCAGCAAACAGUUUAUUCAUCUGAUAAUCAACGGCGAAUCCACAGGGAAAAAGGAUUGAUAGAUCGAUUCAAUUCGUCACGUAUGAAAAAGCACAAUCUCAGGCUACUCAUCGAGACAAAGAAUCUAUAGUUUAAAAUUUCGACUAUCAGUGUAGGAUACCUCCAGGGUUUACAGCAAAUCGAGCUACGUUCUAACGAAUAAACAGAAUGCAUCAUGAAUUCAAAUCAUCGCAAUCAUGAACAUAGAAGAUUCGACACAGACAAAAACAGCAGAGAAAUCAAGGCAAACACAGAACAAUCUACACAGAUUCGAGAACGAGAUCGAUGAAUAGGAAACUGUGUAACCCACCUUAGCCCUCAUCUUGCUUCAAACUCGUGAAAAUCCCAACUUCUCUCUCGACGGCGAUUGAAGACGACGGAGAAAGAAAAAAUGGCAGCCGAUGGUGAAACCUAAUGGCCUUCACUCUAGAGUUUAUAUAGUCCUUCAGGUAAACCCUAAUCCGUAUCCUUACCGUAUUGGAAUCAAGGGACAUUACCGUCUUUUUCAGUACCUACGUCCAGCAAUGUUUCGACGGUGUCGUAUCCUUACUAGCCGAGUUGAACCUCACCCGAUUCAAACUCGAUUAGUUUAUUUUUCACGACUGCUGAACCGUCCGGCUCUGUACUUUGGUUUGGUCCAUUUGGACCCAUAAGUUCGUCACUGAAAACGACGAUUACCGUCUUUACAAUCUACUGUGACCUGGCCCUUACAAAUCCCAGGUCAGAAAUGGAGAAUCCUCCGGCCAUCGCCGAUUCCAACGAGGAAACUAACGGCGUCGAAACAACGGAAGCGACGAAUUCAACUCCGAUACCAGAAGACACCGACGUCGAACUCGAGAAGAGCAGUAGUACAAGUAGUGCCGACACACUUUCCAAGGCGCUAUCGACGAUCCUCUCGAAUGUGAUUCGGGACUUCGAUUCCGAAGCUCAGAACACGCUCAAAAGCCAAGAUCAGCUCAACUCCGCCCUCGAUCGCCUCACCGGAGGUAAAAUUUAUCCAGUAAUCCCUCUCGAAUUUGAUUGGCAAAUCUCAUUUCCACUCCGAGCUAGUUGUGAGCAAAACCUUUGUGUUUGGAAUUUGAAAAUUCUCGUUUCCAGAGCUUGACGGACUGUUGGCAGACGCGCCGCUACCGUUCAUAAUGCAGCACGCCGCGAAGAUAACCGCCGUUAGGAAGAGAGUCUCGUCGUUGAACUCUGUGCUGAAAUCCAUACAGCGGCGCAUUGAUAACAUGGACCGUGCGAUUUCCGUUGGCACGGCGCAACAAGGUAAAAUCAAAUCAUUCCAAUGGUUUUGUUUCACAUUUGCUUGAUUCAAUUUUCUUUGAGCUAUGUUUAUGAAGCGAAACCAUAUUGAACUAAAACUGUGCAUCACAGUCUUUCAAUUGAUUGAUAUGUUAUUGCUUGCCAACUGAUUUAGCUUCUCACUUUGCAGAGAAGACCAACUCGGGGACUCCUUGAGAUCUUCAGUGUCCGUCUUUGAUUUGAAAGGUACCUUGCCUUAGUGCUUCAUAGAUUAUCUACGAGUUCUUUAGGUACCAUGACUUGUGCUUGGCAUCGAAUCUUUGUUAAUGCUGCUCCUCUCGAAUCGUUCUUCGAAUCGUGCUUUUCUUUAUGCUUGAUGAUCAUGAGCCGUUAACAUGAUACAAUCUAGAUUCUAGUCUCUGAAACACUUCACCGCAUCUUUUUUAACCAGCACUUCCCUCUAUUGAAAUGUGAGUUUGCCAGAAAAGUGUUACUGACAGAGGAUUGCUGCUAUAUUCUGAUCUCAAGAUCACUUUUUUUCCUGAAGAGCUUGAUAUAAGGAAUACUCUCUGGGUGCAAUCACCUGUUUGAUUAAACAUUCAUCUUUGCAUUAGGGUGUUACUACAAAGGUUGAAUCUUUUUGCAUCAAAAUCAGGCAUUAAAGCUCUCAUCUUUGUUACAGGAACGGAAAGAACUACCUGACAGUGUAUAUAUAUUCACAUGCUGGGAUCAGCAAUCUCGGAAGAAAAGGAAAGAUCCAGGUUGGUUCAGUUCAGUUCCGGAUGAGAAUGCCUUGCUCGGUUGGAACAACUCCGUCCUGAUGCUCGAGGUUGUGGGAAGUGAAUCGUCAUGACGUUGCAGACAUGGAAUCUGAUCAUGUUUCUAUAGUACAGGGUUUCUGGUAGGAUAGUCCUUAAUGUAUUUGUUGAUUUGCCCUUGAGAUAAAAAUCUUGUACUGAUUUCACUGUCCUUAAGACAAUCCAACAUCAAAAUGGCCGAACUUGGAAGCAAUGGCAACUGGCGUACCGGAUGCCACUUAUGUUCUGACAUUGGGCCGUUCGUUCUGAUGUCACUGAACCAUUAAAAACCUUAGCAAUCCUUCCAACCAUUUAAGCCAAUUUACAGAGUUUGUUGGAUCAACUCAUGACGAAGUGAUUCAUUCAUUCGUCGUAUGACCUGUUAGCACGAACUAUGAGAUGCACAAGUAUGCAAUGAUGUCAAAUUACUAUCGUUAUUUUAUUAAAGAUUCGAUCUUUGUCACUAGGGUUUUAAAACGAUUUUCUUAAAGAUUCGAUCUUUGUCAAACUCUCGCUCACCCGGUUCAACCGAGUUUUGAUAAAAUGAGAGGUAGGCAGCCAGAUGGAACUGUAUUUCACCGGCCCAGCAGGCUUAAAAUCCAAUAGCCAUUGUUGGAUCCUAACCAGAGAGAAAGAAGAAGAAGAUCCAGAGGAAAUGGAUAAGACUGAAGAGGGAUCCCCCAAAAACCCUAAAGCUCCACACUCUCCGCCUCCUUAAAUUCUACGCAUUACACCCAAAACCCCUUUCCAUCGCCGCAACUGUUCCACAAUUCAAUCCAUCAGCUCUCUAAUAUCUCUGCAUCUCUUCUUUCAUUUUUUUCCUUCUUCGUUCUCUGUUUUUGGAUUUCCAUGGAUGGUGUGAGGAGGGGAAGGAGGAUAUGAUGAUGUGUAACAAUGAACAAUCCAAUUCUGGAUCUCAUUGCAGCAUGAUGAAACCUCUAUAUACACCUGAUCUCUCCAUUUCUCUCCCACCACCGUCGAUCUCUAGUUCGUCAGUUUUUCAGCAGAACAAAAAAAGUCUGGAUCUUUCUACCUGAAAACUUCCCAAUAGUCUUCUCCUCCUACCUUGGGAAUUUUUUUAAUCAAAUUUUGCUUCUGAUUAACCGUUCUGCAUUUUCGUCAAUUCUGAUCGUUCUGGGUUUUCUGUUUUAGCUUCUGAUGAAUUGUUGAUUAGUAUGCCGGAAUGUGGAAUCCUUGUUGGAAUUGUGAGUUAGGAACUUUGGUUAGGAAUUGCUUGAACAAUAAUUCAACCAUUUUGAUGAUCGACAUUGUUGAACUUGAAUAGGUUGGACCAUCCACACAGAUUGUGUUAACUAGUUUAAAAAGAUCGAAACUUUACGGGCUUCAUUCAAUACCCGCCACAAGUUAUAUGCUAUCAAAGAUCUAGCUCAAGUUAUUUUGGCUAGAUCCACCACAGAUGAACCAAACCGUCGAACCAAACCAGUACCAAAGUAGGUUCUUCUCUAGGUGUUUCUGUCUAGCUGGUUCCUAAAGAGGGUUACGGGUUACUUAACUGACGCUUUAGAUUUUGUAAAGACAUAAUCGUCCUAGUUGACGAAAACUCCUUUUACGGUAAAUUUUUCUAAAGAAAUCGGUAACAUGUAGUCUGCUGGAUCGGAAUUCCGGCCGAAGAUACUUGCCGCCUGGACCGGAAUUCCUGCCGCCACAAGGCCCCGUCCGGACGGUGUUUCCGGCCACGAGUGUUCAAAACCCAAGAUCGCCUAAAUGCCUCGAGCAUCGAAGUUAGACCCUUUUACUCGCUCAGAUGCCCCGUAACUCUACUCAUCGACAGCUUUACCAGCCGGGUUAGAUGACUUGCCCUAUCACUUUCCUUUCACCAGGCAUUUAGUCGUGUUCAUGUGAAAGUAGUUGAAAGAAAGGGAGGAGUUACUUACUUUGUAUGAAUUGAAAGCGAUAAUGUGAAUGGGUAGGGGGCAUGAUUAGAGGCAGAGACACACAGAGACAGAAGCAUAGCAGAGAUCAUAGCAGUGAAAAGUUAAAAUGAAUGGUUCAUACAGCAAAGCAAUAGGGCCUCCAGUUUGCCAGGAAACAGAGCAUAGUGGUAAAAAAAAUCAGAUUUAGGGAUGUGGACAAAAGUUUUACUUGUUUUGGCAAAGGGUUGGUCACGUGAGAAAUAGAGAGAAAAAAUGUAAGCAUAACUAUGAACAUGACUUCGGGGUAGGUUGCGACGGGUAGUUGGCAGUUGUCGGGAGGCAGUAAAAAGUAUGAACUCGGUAUGUGCUGGUGGUGGUUAUCUGGAGUGGGAUCGAAGCAUGACAAAGAAUGGGAUUUGAGAUGGUAAAACUUUGGGGGCAUGUACUGAUGCGGGAUGUUAUAUUUGGAGUAGGAUCGAAGCAUGAAAAAGAAUGGGACUUGAGAUGGUAAAAAUUCGAUAUGUAUUGGUGCGGGAUUUUGAAACUGGAGUAAAAUCGAAGCAUGAAAAAGCAUGGGACUUGAGAUGGUAAAAAUUCGAUAUGUACUGGUGCGGGAUUCUGUAUUUGAAGUAGGAUCGAAGCAUGAAAAAAAAUGGGACUUGAGAUGGUAAAAAUUCGAUAUGUACUGGUGAGGGAUUCUGUAUCUGGAGUAGGAUUGAAGCAUGAAAAGGAAUGAGACUUGAGAUGGUAAAAAUUCAAUAUGUAUUGGUGCGGGAUUCUGUAUCUAAAGUAGGAUGGAAGCAAGCAUAACAAAGAAGAAGAUUUGGCGUGGGUUGUUCUUUACUCAUCGUCUAGCGGGGUUAGAUUGAUUGAAGAGUAGCAUAUCUGGUUGGGUAUUUUCAACGUCAAAAAAUAAAAUGAAGAACAUGAGACCAUAAUUUUACUAGGGAGGCAAGCCAAGGCCAAUUCAAAACGGUCGAAAGGUGUGUGACAAAAUUUCUGUUUAUUCUCUAAAAAUUUUUGUAGUAUCGCACGGAUAAUUCUAGUAUAAAGAAACAAGAAGUAGCCAAUAGACUUUUAAGUUUGACCAUUAAAAUUUUUAACUUGGAUUUCUAACUGUUUCCACCAUACAUGCAGAAAGUAAUUAAGUUAAUUUGAAAAAUUAUUUUUUAACUUUAUUUGAUUAUUAUCUAAAGAACUUAACAUGGUAAAACCUCAAUUUUUAAUCAUUCCCAAUAUGCAUGUCAAAUAUUAGCCAAUUUAAAAUUUUGAAAUUUUUCAUGUCAAAAUGGUCAAUUUCUAAAAGGAUUAACCUAUGAAAAUAAGCUAUUUUGACAUGAAAAUUUCAAAAUGUUUAAAUCGAUUAAUAUUUAACAUGCAUUUUUAAAAUUCAAGUUUUCUUAUGAUAAAUCCUAUAAAUAAUGGCCAAAUAAAUUUAAAAAUCCAAUUUUCCUCGUUGUUAUGUUUGUGUUGCAGAAAAUGCUUUUUAACUUUAUUUGACUAUUAUUUGAAGGACUUAACAUGGUGAAAUAUCAAUUUUUUGUCCUUCCCAACCUGCAUGUCAAAUAUUAGUCAAUUUAAAAAAUUUGAACCCUAGGAGGAAGGGCCAAUUAAAGUGGAUUUUGGGUCAAAACCUAAACCUUUUGGGAAUUUAAACCUUUUCAGGAUUUUCAUAAAUCAAGGUUCAAACCCAUAAGGUUAUAUUUGAUUAAUAGUGUAAAGCUAUUCAUCAAAAAAUAAUUUAAAAGUGCAAAGCUUUUGGGAGGCACAUGGGUUAGUUAAAAAGAGGCAAUUGGUAUAAAGAAAUUAUGUUGAACAUAUUACUUUUUGGUCUACUCACUAUUAUUUUUUGGUCUACUCACUAUUCCACUUUCACAAACGCCCCCCUAUAUCGAUAUAUCAAGUUCACAAACGCGUGAUGAACUGGUUUUGAUAUUUACGCAAUUUCGAAGAUAUGAUAUCCAUAAUUGAAUAGCUAGAUAAUCUAAAGUACACUAAUGAAAGCUAAGUACUCAUUUUGUUAAGUUUAUAUAGUGCAAAUUUUCCAAAAAAAGUAUUAUACUAGUGAUGAUAAUGGUUAAGUAUUAUAUAUAUACUUUUGCCAUGUCUUUGUCUAAAUGAUUCCAAGCCUUUUGUUGCUCACUUCAUAGCAAACAUAAUUAUGGGGAAGUCUAGUCCCACCAUCACCACCAAGUUGGAUCAUAAAAGAUUAUAACUCACUAUUCAAAAUAGAAAAAUAAUGGUUCACUACCAAACAAGACAUUAGCCAAAUAAUUCGAUUCAUUGGUUUCGAUGGUUAAGGUAUCUCUCUGUCGGAGAUCGAGUUUAAAAAUGAUAGAUCAAAUUGCCAGACUAGUUAGGGAAGGAAUUUUUUUGCUAAGAUGGAUAAAUACGUUGUAAAUUGUUGAAGUAUGCCUCGUGUAUUGUUUCUGUUCUUUUUUACUCUUUGUGUUGGGAUGAGGAGGUUUUUGUGUCCGGUAUUUUUUGAUUUUUAAUGAAACCACCCCUUCAAAAAAGAAAAUGUCGGUGAUAUUAAUUUCGAUGUACAUGUACAAAUUCUAGUUCUCUUGAUAGGUUUCAUUUGAGGUGACGUUUUAAUAAUUAGUAUUGUAACAAGCAGGUCUCUAUUAAGAUACAUAUAUGGUCGGAUGUUUUCCGUGAUAAAAGACAAUAGAGUGUGGGUAGCGGGUAUAUGCACGCACAAUUCGAAGGUAAUACGGUAUAUCUAUACCCAUCAAAGAACAUGUGAAAUUGGGAAGACAGGAACAAGAAAUCAAAUGAUUAGUAAAUUGGGAAGAAUUGAAGCAAAAACAUUACAAAGGAGUGGGGGAGUUGUCUACAACUCGCCUAAUUGUACACGCGCAUCUUGGAUCGAAAUUCAAAACAAACAAUAUCUUGUUUCCUUUGUUUGUUUGAUGACUUUGGCAUCCAUCGAUACGUAGAAUGAGAUUCCCGAUCGGGACUACCCAAUAAAUGUGAAUUAUCGAAUUAAUACAUUCUUUUAGCGUUCAGUGUAAUACGAUUAUCAUGUUUUAAAUAGUCAAGUGGUGUAUGAGGUCCCGAAGUGGAUCGGGUGGAGUGAUUGAACAUGUAACUAUGAUGAUAUGACAACAUUGGCCUUAAACACAAAGGGACAAACCAAAUGUGGUCCAAAUGAAAAGAAAACUGGUCAAACACAACAUCAUUUAAUAGGGCUGUGUUUGGGGGGAAGGAUUUGAAUGCAGAAAUUAUAAAAAAAAAUUAAGGAAAACAAAGGAAAAGGCCAGCAAUAGUACUUAGCAAAGGACAAUAGUGGUAGCCAACAGGCAAACAGCACCCCAUGACAAAACAAAGAAACAAACAAAAGUUUUUUCAGAUACAUCCAACGACUACAUAGGGAGGAAUUUCGCUAGGGUGCAUAUGGUCAUUUUUCGGUCGCGGUAGAUACGGUUAUUUGUGUGUUAUCUAGGUGUAGAAGUCAGUUGGGUGGUUAUCGAUUACGAUUGUGGAAAAAAAAGUUAUCAAUGUGGUUGUGAUCGGAUAAUAAACCAUCAAUUAAUCGACCAAAAUAGGUCAGUUUCGAUUAAAAUAGGUAUAAAUAUGAAGAGAGUCGGUUAAUAAAGAAUCUAAAAAAUGAAUCGAUUAACACGACCUGAUUAUCUUAGGCUAACAAAUGAUCCACCCGAAGUCGAUUGGUUAAUCAAUUUUAAUCGUUAACCGUAACCGGAUAUCCAUCCCUAACCUAUUAUCAAUACAUGUUCAGGAUAAUUGAGUUUUUUUAACCACUUUUUCCAAACGGGUUAUUUCAUUUUGAUUAUUUGUCUGUUAGUAUCGAAAUCGAGAUGCAUGGAGACUGAUGAGAAGAGCUAUAUAGGCAAUAGAGAGGAAUUUAUAGGGAAGGGCGAUAUGAUGCCGGAUGCCGCAACCCUAUUCACUAUGGCACACCUCUAUGACAAUUGGGUCAGCAUCAAUGACUACUUUGUUGUUUCCUUGUGUGUUUUGGUGUUUUGUGGUGGGGGUUUGGGGUUCUCUCUUUUGGACGAGACAACAACACCGAAAGCUGAAUCGAUAGAAUAAUGAUAAAGAACGUCAAAAAGUUAUAUGAUAAUUCGUUACAAGAUCAUGAACGUAUCGUACUAUAAUAAGUUUAGAGUCUUGCAUGCCUCCGGAAGAGUUCAUUUGUCGACGAGUAUAUUGGGGUUGCGAGUGAUUAGACGAUACAACAUAAUAAGAUAGGGGCCAAAGCGAUGCGUUGUGCCUAACAACAUAGAGACGCAAAGGAGAAAGUAGCUAGACGGUCUAAGAUUUCACAACAAAAAAGAGACACGGUCAAGCUAGUUCUGGUUGGCUCCGACAGAACAGGGUCCGAACCGCAUUAAAAGUUGGUUUGAUAAGUAGCUAAACGCCUUCUAAAGUCGGUCUAGGGUUUCAGGAACACGUUGCACAAGGAUGCUAAAGAGCAUUUGAUGCUAGUCAAAUAGUUGCCAUUGAAUAGUUCUAGUAGGGAGAGCACGAUAGCACUCUAGUUGUGUAGCCAUGCCAGAAAUUCACCCACACCCAAAGUGCCAAACUGAAUUGUCUAAAAGACUUCAUCAGCUAUACCCUUGAGUUGGAUGCUAUUCCAUCUCAAGACUCUAGCACCUAUUUCGUCAUUAGUGAAUGUUACAAACAUCCCUAAACACCCCGAGUAUUCCGUUCCGAUCACAACUACCAGCACGCAACAAGAACAAUCCCUCUCUCCGCCCAGUGCCGAAACCAAUGGUAGGCAAACCUGGUCCAUCUCACAGGAUCCCUCGACUCCAAAAUGACAAAAUCAUGUGCGGAAUCGAAGCUUUUGUCCUAACGUGUUUUCAGAUUUCGCCCAAUAACUCUAUGUGUUCUAAAGUAUACAAACUUAACACCAACUUAACUCUAUAUCUCAUAGUUCCCCACUAACUCACUCAUAUUUCCUCUUAUACCGAACGAUCCCAAACCCACAACCGACAUCUAAACCAGCCCGUUUACUCCAAAAAUAACAAAAAAGACCACCGAGCAUACUCCUAAUGACCCCAAACCGACAACGGCCAUCUAAACCCACCGUAAUAGACCCAAGAAAAACAAACCCCAAAAAAUAAUCAAAAAGACCGCAACCAUCGAGCAUACUCAAAAUUCUCGAUACUAUCGUUAAACAUUGAAUUGCUAGCUAGCCGCAGCUUAUUGACCCACAUGUUACAUGUAUACUUUGAUCCAAAUGGAAGAGGGUCACCACAUGGUCCACCGACCAUGGAAAUAUUUUGAGCAGAUCAACAAAGGAUUCAUGAAAAGUAGGGAUCUUUCAUCUUUGGCCUCGUUUGGUAUAGAGGAAAUUAUGAGGAUUUUGUCAAAACUCAGAGUAAUAAACAAACACUUGUUUGUUUAGUUUUAAUUGGCCAGUGUUUUACGAAAACACUUUUCCUCUGCCCCACAUUUCCUCUCAAAUGUGCCUUUUUCAAAUACAUGGUGUUGAGGAUGUUUUCUUCAAAACUCUGAGUUUUCGUAAACAAUGGAUAUAUAUUGUCAUUAUUACCCCCACUUCCUUUAUGCUAUAACGACUAUAACAAUCGAGGUGGGAAUAAAAAUGAGAUAUUGGUUUGAUUAGCCAAAGCGUGUAAUAUAUUAUUGCAAUUAUGUAAUGCAUAUUUGGAAAAACUAUAUGAUUAGCCAUGACAUAUUAUAAUAUAUGGUUGUAGAUAUGUACAAAUAUUAAUUCUUCUUCCCUAAUAAAUAAAAGGAGUGGUAGGUGUCGGAUUUAUUCUCAUUUAUAUUUAGUAAGAUAUGGUAUGAGUAUGGUACAAUAUUAAUACGUUCAUAGUUUCAUACAUUGUUUCAACAUAGCAAUACGUUUAAAAUUUCGGCAACAAUUAGAAAAUAUUAAAAUUUUAAAAUUAAACGGCUCUACAAUAGUACGAGAACGGAAGUUCUAAACGCAUAUAGUAUGUAUAUGUGUAUUAAUUACACAAUUUCUGAUUCCUCAAUUCCCAAUUUCCACAUUUCCUUCAUUUUCAUUCCCCCAUACCAAACGACCCCUUUGAUUUUUGUUAAGUGCUGGCAUUUGUUUAAUCUAACCAUUAUUCAACAGAGCCUCUGUUUUCUAUUUGAAUCUUGGCAUCAUUUCCCAAAAGCUUCGUCCCACUACGCUACAAAUCUCUCUACCAAGUUAUUGCGUCUCAAAAGAAGACAAAAAUGGAGAAAAUGGGUCACGAGCCCUCAAUGCAAUCAAACCAGAGAAGAUGAAUGAAAACCCAGAUGAUGAUCAGUUCUUGAACAUUAGUGUUAGCUUAAGCUUCCAAUGGGGGGAACAAAAGAAAGGGAGAGAAUGAAAAACCAGACUAACCAUGGAGGAAAAAGCAAACAAAUAUGUACAGAGAGACGUGAAAAUCGAACAGCUAAGAACAAAAAAAACCCCUUUCCCAGAACAGAGAAUCUGCAAAAAUGGGCACAAGCUUUUUCUUUUUAGCUUAACAAGAUGGUGAGAUUUGAUUUUUGGUGUUGUUGGCUCUGCUGUUUCCUCCGCCGGAGCUUUGUUGUCUGUGGAUGCCUCCUCCGCCGUUGUCUCGUUUCUGUGGGGCGGAGGAUGAUGAGAAGAACCCGAAAACCGACCCGGAUUUGGACGAACCUCGUAGGGAACAAACGGGGACGUUAAGAACAGGAGUGACCCUGACGUUUGCUGAGUAGGACCUCUCCAUUCCUUUGAUCUUGUGCCUUGGCCCACCAUUGAAGGUACUUGGACUACUGGAGCUCCUCUCCAAGCUCUCGAAUAUCAACUUGCCUGACGAAUUCAGCCGCGGACUGUCUACCGAAACCCCCCUGCUCGUCACCCCACCUGAUUCUCCUCCGCCGCCGCCGGAGGCGGCGGAUCUCCUUAUCGGACUCCUCCCCACUCUGCUUGCUCCUCCGGCGUCAGAAGCGUUAACCUCGCCUCCUCCUCUCGGCUUCACCAUUCUCAUCCUCGGCGGGUUGUUGUUUCCAGUUGGAUUGCGAUUGAGGACGAACGGAUUCGGACUCUGCAGCGUGUUGAAGUUCAAGCUGAUGUUCAGAUUCGGAUUCGGCUGCUUCUCCGAAUCGAGUGAUAGCCUCGGUAGAUCUUCGUGCUCGUGGCUUGAAGACGAGGAAGAGAGGGAUAACCUGGAGGAAGAGAUUGAAACGGACUCGCAGUCGAGAUCCUUCAGCAAUGGCAAGCUGAGCGAGCUGUCCAGCGAGGAGGAAUGGCAGCUGCUGCAGGAUUUGGAGUUCCUGUGUAGAAAAUGCCUCAUCAGUGAUCUCUGCUGCUGGUUAUUCGAAUUCGAAGAAGAUGAAGAAGACGACAGGAACGUCGCCGUUUUGAGGCUCUCUCCUCCAGCCGCUGCCGCCUUGUUGGGGGUAUUAUGGUAAAACUUCCUCAAGCCGAGCAACUCUUUCCACCGGCUCGAACAUCGAGGCGCCUUGGGAGAGAACAAGUACUGGUCAGUUAUUGUAUUAUCAGUACUGUUUCCAGAUACGUCCAUCCUCCGGCCAGAUUUCUCCCCCUCCGAUGGAAACGGCAGCUUCAUGUUCGUCAGCUGUGUAGGCACCAGUUUCCCGUCGGAGAAGAGCUCGUCCGCCGGGAGCAUUCCGACGGGAUCGUCGAGACGGAACUCGAAGUCGGGGAGAUCUUGCACUUCUUGUGCCGCCGCAGCCAGCGGCGGCGGAGGUUGUUGCUUCGGGCUCUCGUCGCGGCUGAAGGAAAUGCGGGGGCUGAGCCAGCCGUACGAGGAGUAUUUACCGCCGCCGGACGGGAACCGCUCCGGCGACAUGCUGAUGUUGUUGACGCAGGCUGAGGCCAUUUCCGAUGAUCAUGCAGAGAUGGAGAAUGAGAUUUCAGGUGUGGGUUUCUCGCCGGAGAUGAUGAGAUCUCGGCUGCGGAGGAUCUAACGAGAGAGAUGGUGUUUGGUUAGGGUUUGCGGGAGCGUACUGGAGAAAGAGAGGGUGAGAGAGAUGGCAGUUAAUAAAAAGGGGAAGCACAUGAGCCUGCGUUUAUUGUAUUGUUAGUUUUCUUUUGGCUGACAGGCUUUAUUCUGAUGUGGGUAGAGUUGGGUAUUCGGUUGCGAUUAUUCGGUCUGAUCGAGGUUUAAGGUCGACGGAUAUGGAACGGGAGUUAUUGGCUAGUCAUAUCGAAAAUUUGAAAUAAUUAGUACCGGUCGUAGAUUAGGAGUUUUUUUGCUAAGGAAAGCGAUAAAUUUCAAUAUAGUAGUUUCACGAUAUAUAUGAAUUGAAAGGUAAUUGAGUUAUUUAGCAAAGACGAAAUAAGUAUUAAUUAAUUUUUUAUAUAUCAAACACCACUUAUCUCUUCCUCCUCUUUAGUUCAAGUUAGGCUCCCUAACCGAAACAAAAUGAGUCAUCCAAAGUGGUGUCUAUCAGCUUUAAGCCACAGACUUAUGGCGAAAGCAAUCUUUCUAACGAUCUAAUCCUCCGUCCUCGACUCAUCCAGAAACACCCUGUUAUUUCUUUCCAACCAAAUAUUUCAAGUGAAGGCAUUUCUAACAGCCAACAAAUCAAUCGAUCAGUUCAUAUCUUUCCAUCCCUCGAUCACAUCCAAAGUUGACGAUGUAAUGAUCUGAUUAUAUCUAAGCAAAUGGCUCACCGAAGGUGCAUCCUGCCGGCAAAGCGUGCACCCCGUUCGGAAGACUGAAGCCUCUUCGUUGUAAAUUGUCAAUGGUGAGAAUCCGCCCAAGCACAACCAACUAGAGAAAGCACUGUAUCUUAGCGAGGACUUCUUUUUCCCAAAUGAGGCGAGCCGGAAAAUCCACCGUUCCCGAAAACGUGUUCCGUCUCAAGGUCGCCAUGAAGUUGGACACCAAAAACACCGAAGAAGAAUGGAGAGGCUAAACCACACAAGCCGGAUCAGCCGUGACCGUAUGAGGAGGAAUGGAACCGAGGAAGUCGCGGAAGACAUACCACUCCUCCAAAGCACUUCCACGGAGCUUGUAACGCAACGACAAAUCGUAACUGAUCCUGUCAUCAAAACCUACACAAAUCAGAAGCCAAAGGUCCAAAGAUUGCGCCGAAGCAGCAAUCCUUGAGGAACGAAAAGCCAAACACACACCCCUCACCCAUCAAUCAUACCAAAUUUUUUCGAGUUGAUUAUUGAACGUAAAUUCGGCACUAUCAAUGCUUGAUUCCACAGGCCGUGGGGCAAUAAAGACAGAUCAGUGGUCACAAUCUUUGGCCUAUUUUGUUCAAAGUAGUACGUAUAUAACGUGUUAAAUUUCAAACAAUUGCUCAAUUAACACUUCAAUAAAUCAAAGAGCCUUCGUUAAUGGACUCUCUUUGUGGAAAUAAUUGAGGUUUUGGUCAAUAAUUGUGUGUGUGAUCGUAUCCUUAUGGCUGGGGAUAUCUGGGCAAAUCAAUCUGCAGUUUCUGCUGCUCGCUUAUCGUUCCGGCAUGUUCGAUUCGAGAUAUUGAUCAACCAACUCUAAAAAGGCGAGUACGCGAGAUUAUUGGCGGAGCCAGAAAAUUGGUCAAUGCGGUUUGAAAUUUAUACCUAACAACAUGCGGUGGGAUUUUUUAUAAUCGAAAGUACAUAUAUCCCCACUAACAACAACAAUCAAAUCUUUAAGAAUUUUUUUUUUAACUUUUAUAUAUUAUUGGAAGGGUUUAACAUGGCGAAAUCUCAAUUUUUAGUUCAACAUAUAUAUAAAAUAUUAGCCAGUUUGAAAAUUUUAAAAUCGGCUAAUAAUUGACAUAUAUAUUGGAAAUGACUAAAAAAAUAAAGUUUUAUUAUAAUAAUCCGUAAAUAUUGACCAAAUAAAAUUAAAAAUUAAUUUUAUUUAAUGUUUUGUUAGUGUUUAAAAUUUUUAAAUUAGUUUAGAUUUUUAGCGUGUUCCCACCGGAGGCCAUGGAUAACAAAAAAAAAAACUAACCUAGGGUGUGUAUUUGUAGAGAUAAACACACAAAAGCCCAAGAUUGGGUAAAGGGGUACAUUUGAAGGCCCAUUUAAGUUGCUACUUCAAAACCAAAACCAAAACCAAAACUAUCUAAAUCGGACAAGGAAAAGCCCAAAGAAAGAUGGGCCUAGUGGAAGCAAAAUCCAAAAUGAAACCCAACAAGAAUUCCAAAUCCAACUACGAUGGAUGAUGAAGAACAGUCUCGGAUUUGCUUCCUUCCAAAUCCUUUCCUUCCUUCCUCUUCUUCUUCGAUCGUCCCACCAGCGAAAAGAAUAUAAGCGUCGAGCUGCAGCUGCUCCAAUUUCCAAUUAAUCCGCAGAGGCCAAAAACCCUAAUUUCCCCCAAAACUCGAAACCCAAAUCGAUUUGUUAUUAUUUAUUUAUUUUUUAAAAUUUAAUAAUGAUGGAGUUAAGGAGGAUGAAUCACCACCACCACCACCACCAUGGCUAAGGAACGCGACGCAGCACCAACCGCCGCCGCCGCCCUGUCCUGGGGCACGUUGGAGGAGCUCCUCCUCGCCUGCGCCGUGAACCGACACGGAACCAAGAGCUGGGACUCCGUCGCCGUCGAGGUCCUCAACCGGACAGAAACUCUGUCCUCCCUCACUUCCCAGCAGUGUAAGGACAAGUUCAAUGACCUCAGGCGACGCUUCCUGCCGAGGGUCCACCACUCCUCCGCCGCCACCGCUUCUGGGUUGGUCCCGAUGGUCGACGAGCUCCGGCGGCUCCGCGUAGAGGAGCUCCGACGUGAGGUCCAACGGCGUGACCUGUCGAUCGAGUAAAUUUUAUUUUUUUGGUGUUGAAUCAGCGGAGAUCCGAUUCUGAAUGCUCGGAUUUCGUUAAGAUCUGAGCAGUCCUGACGCUUUUUUUGUCGUUUUUUUUAAAUUUGUUUCCAGGAGUCUCGAAUUGAAGGUGAAGAGAUUGGAAGAGGAGAGGGAGAGGAGCUUGAAGGAAGAGGAGGAAGAGGAGGCAGAUCUAGCCAGGGAGGGCCGACGGCUAUCGGCCGCCGAGAAAUCCGGCGGCGGGUACGAUUCGGCCGAUGACCGGGAGAAUGGAUCGUUCAACGAAUCCAAUUCAACGAGUCAACAACAGAAAGCUGGAACGACGACGUUGAAGGAGGAGGAGGUGGAUAUAAAACCCGAAACGGAUUCGAGAAACGGAUCGGAUCUGGGGCGGGACCAUUCUGACCCGUCAGGAGAGCGGAUCAGCUCGUACAACUGUAAUUUGGACGAUAAACGAGACGAGAAAUGUCAAGCCGGAGAGAAGAAUAACGAAUUGGGCGGCGAAUCGGUGGGGGAGUCGAAGCGGGAAGAGACAAAGGAGAAGGAGAAACAGAGCAGUGACGUGCAGAGUUCUGUCAGCUUGAAAAAGAAACGGCGUCGUCGAGUUGGCAGCGGCGGCGCUACGACGGCGGGAGUUGCCGCAAGUAGCAGCGGCGAAGACCCCGAGGGUGGUGACGAGGUUUCUCCCGCCAGGAAGCGGGUUGCCGCUGUGAAAUCCGAACCGUUGGUUAGAAUCCUCGAGAUUAUCCGGUCUCAUCGGCUCGGCUCCGUUUUCGAACGGCGGCUCCGAAGCCAGGUAACUUAAACUUCCUCCCUUUUUGUAUUUAAUCAUCGUUCGUUUGAUAAUUUUUCGUAAAAAAACAUCGACAUGGCAUGGCCGUCCUUACACCAAUCAUCACACGCCACGUCAACAUUUUUAAACUUUUAAAAAUUUUAGUAGUAAAAGGUAAUUUUAUACACAGAGAGGGCGAUUUCGGUAAUUUCAUCCGUGUAAAAACGGAUACCAUUGUGCAUCGCAUGGGGCGUAACUCGUAAGGUUGUUGAGCACGAAUCGUACGGUUCAGAUGGCGCGGGAUUCGGCUGUUUUUAAGUUUUAUCUGCGUGGGGUCCACGGAAUGCUUUUUCGCCGGACGGUUAAAGACACACCUGUAAUUACCUUCAUCGGCGGGGGACAAAUGUUACCCGGCCGGCUGGAUAUUUAUAGUUGUAAGGUGGUGGACUGGUGGCCACUUCUUUUGGUUUUGGCCAUUGAUGGCUAAAUUCCCACCGUUCGACCCGCAUCGGCUGUUGACCUUUAAAACACUAUUUAAUCAUUUUGAAUUAUUAAUAAACCGUUUCCCACCCGGUCCGACCUUAAUGAGUUUUAAAAGUAUCUCUCUUUUUUUUUCAAAAUAAACAGACUAGUAACCGGUUGGUUAACCGUCUGGAGUUAAGAAACCGGUCAACUAAAUUAUGGUCGGUUUGUAGUCAAAUAGAUAUAUAAAUAUAAAAAGAGUUGGUCGAUAAAUUUUCAAAUGCUUAACCGAUUAAAUUAUUUUUUGGUUAACCAAAUAACCGACCAAAUCGAUUCUGACCCUCAACGUAAAAAGGCCUUUUUUAAUUCAUGUGGCCCAAAACAUGCUAUAGGGCCUUUUCUAAUUGGGCUAGCCGAGUUUUGGCGGGGGGUCAAACACAAAUCAGGUUCGGUGAUGAGUUAAUCGACUGAUUAAUCGAGUAAUGGUUGAAUUGAAUCUAAGUUGUGGAUAGGGUGAGUUACGGCGAGUUGAGUUUUUAUCGAUUUAGGUUCAUUUUGUGUCAGUUUCGGGUUGGCUGGAUAGUAGGUAGACUUAUCAAAUAGGCAGGUGAAUUGAAUUAAUCGGAUUAUGAGUCUGGGGUCGAUUGGGAUGCAUGUUCAUCUUAAUCUCGAAUGGUUGAAUUUCGGGUUAACCAGAUCCCAGUUCAUCUAGUGUGCAAGUCUUUUGGAUUUGUUUGGUGGGCUAAUUGGUUGAUUUGAAUUAUGAAUCGGACGGGGUCGGAAUUUAGACCGGAUCGAGUUGACCCAGACUCAGACCAGGUUUCCUGAUAAUUUCUGUUUUUUUCUUUCAGGAAUCGGAGAGAUACAAAAGCUUGAUCCGGCAGCACAUCGACCUCCGGACGGUCCAACUCCGACUCGACAAGGGAGUGUACUUAAGCUGCAUCCCUAAAUUCUACAGAGACCUCCUCCUCCUAUUCAACAACGCCAUUCUCUUCUUCCGGGAGAGUUCGCCGGAGAACAAUGCAGCUCGUGAACUCCGAUCGCUUGUCCUGCGUAACAUGAAAGACAAGCUACGAAAGCCUCCACCUUCUUCUUCAUCUAGUAAGCCUCAACCUCAACCUCAAUCGAAACCUCCGCCUACCCUGCAGCCGGCAGCGGCAACACUGGCCAACCAGAACGUGAAGCUUGAGGCGGCAGCUUCACAGAAGAAAACGAGUACUUCAACCUCGAAACCUGACAAGUCUUCCUCAACUCUGGUUUCCUGCGGGAAGCGCAACGUCUCGUUGAAAGCAGCCGCCUCGUCGGAGAAGCUGCAGCAGACGCCGUCGUCCGUUAAACUUGUUAAUAACAGCAAGCAGAAACAGAGAGCUUCGGCUGAAGAGAAAGACAAGGAGAAGCCGAAGGUGAACAGUAAAACGGCUGAAUUAGCUUCUUCUUCAGUUCGGAAGGUCGAAGAAAAGGCAAAGGAAGAUGUCGAAGACGACGAAGAAGAGGAGAUCAAGGAUGUUCGUAAGGCGAGAACUACGGUGACAAAUACGAGGGAGAGGACGACCGGAGUAAAAGGCCGAAGAAAUGCAAGGGUGGCGGUGACCACGACGGUGACUGGGAACAAGAACGGUGGAGGAGGAGAAGGUAGUAAUAAGCACAAGUAUGGCGGAAAUGAGUUGAGCUCGCACGACGCUCUGGAUUCGAAAGCGGAGAGGAAAGAGCAGACUGCGACGGUGAGGAAGAAGAGAGGGGCGGCGAGUUUUUUGAAGAGGAUGAAGCAGAACAGCGAAGCGACGAACAAUAAGAACGACGACGAUGGUUCGUCGUCGUCUUCGUUGUCCUCAUCCUCCUCCUCCGAGAAGGACGGCGAUAAGAAGACAAAGGAAGAGAAGGGUAAGGAGAAGAAAGGUAGCAAGGCGGUGCGACAAGUUUCGAACAAAGAUAUGGCGAGGGAGCGGCCGAUCACGAGAAGUUCUAGGGGCAGAGGGAGAGGAGAGAGCGGGAAAGGGAGGAGAGGUGGCGGACGGGGAGGAAGGAAGGGAGACGGUGGAGGCGGAGGAGGUAGAGGUGGUAGUGCGGUGGCUAGCGUGGAGCCAUCAGGGAAGAGAGGAAGAGAUGGUGACGGCGACGGUGGGAGUGGAGGAAGGGCUAGAAAGAGGGCAAGGAGGUGAGUUUCUUGUUGUACAAGAAAGAAGAAGUUUUCCAAAGUUUUUGGUCUUCUUCCUACACUAUGUCCUCUUUGGGCAAGAUUUAACAAAUAUUUAAAGUAGUGGAGGCAGUUUGUAUUUGUAGAAAAGGAGUGUCAUUGCAUAUAUAAUAUAGAUGUGGUAUUCAAAUUUUAUCGAAAUGUUCAAAAUUGAGGAUUAGGACAUAUUUUUAGUGAGUUGUAUAUAUCGAAAGCUCGUAGAAAAAUUUAAAGCCAGGGCUAAUAAUAGAGUAAGAAUAUUGUCUUAUCAUAUGCAAAUAUGCCAUUAUGUGUACAAGGUACGUACACAAUACUCUUUUUUUUUGGCACACAUACACAAAUCCGACGGUCAUAGGUGGAUAAAUUUGAUGAUCAACAACGAUAGAUUUUUCAAUUAACCAAUAUCGAUCUAACUCAAAAGUAAACGACAAAAAUUAUCGAUCAACAACGAUUAAAGACGACAUAAUCUAAUAAUCAACGACAUCAUAGCCCAAUAGGCCCGAGAAAAACAUAACGACCGAUUAAACAACCAGAAAUCCUGCUAUGACAAACAAUCAACAAAAUCUGGCUAACUGAAAAAAUAUAAUUUUCCAUUUUUACCCUUUAAACCGCUCUCUCCCUCAUCUCUCGAAAACUCAUCAGUCUCCCUUCCUUCUUCCUUCUUUCUCCCAACCAAUUCCACCAGACAAACAACCUCCAUCACCAAUCCACUCUCCAAUUCCAAUCCCAAUCCCCCCCGGCUCAGCUGAAUCUCCGAUGUCGAACUACACAGUUGAGUCCACCACAGUCGAGCCAACCGACGGAGCAGCCAAACUCCACACAAGGAUCUUCAAACCCAAACAAGAAGAAGAUCAUCAGCCAAGCUCCGUACCAGAAGACUUGGUGAUUGUACUUGUUCACCCGUUCACGGUCAUGGGUGGCUGUCAAGCUCUUCUCAAAGGGAUGUCGAUUGGAUUAGCUCAGAGAGGGUUUAAAGCCGUGACCUUUGACAUGAGAGGCGCCGGUAGAUCCACAGGAAGGCCGUCGCUCACUGGAUUUUCUGAAAUCAAGGAUGUGAUCGCCGUCUGCAAGUGGGUUUCUGAGAAUCUUUCCACCAAAAGGAUUUUGUUGGUCGGUUCCUCAGCAGGUGAGAAAAUUAUUAUUUUUCUUUCCUUUUGAUUUGAUCGUUGUUUUUUUGAAAAGUUCGUUUGGUGUUUUGACUUGUUAGAUCUGGAUUUGUUGAGACUUGGCUGUAGAUUGUGUUUGCUGAAUCUAGAGUGCGUGUGUUAUCGAUCUUAAGAUGAUAAAACUCAGGAGUUUCCAUGAGGAUUGCUCAAGUUGCUUGAGAAGCCAUUGUAUCAGUUUAGCUUAUGUGUUCAUGAUUUUGUUUUUGAUUCAAUGAUGAGUGCAAGCUAACUUCUUGCUGCAUAAUGAAGGAUGAAUCAAUGACGGAAUUAGGGAUAGGCGAAGCUAGGGCACUGCUGGGGUUCUUCAGAUUUCAAAGUGAUAAACUCCAUAGUAGAACUUUCAAUAUUGAAGUUUUUUAUCCAGUGCAUUUUCGAAUCUCGUCUAGGGUGUUCAUGAUUAGAUGGAAAUCCUGAUACUUGAUGAAAUCUACGAAACUUUCUUGUUUGGUUUCCUCGUUGCAUAAGGAUUCAAUGAUGAAAGAUGAAUCAAUGACAGGCUAUCAUCUCUAUUUCAGAGAUAAAAUUCUAUGUAGAACUUCCAAAAUUGAAGCUUUAUCGAGUGCAUUUUCGAAUCUCUCCCAGGGUGCGUUUGAACGCAUUCCGAAUUUGAAAUACUGCACGGAGUCUCCGACCAUACUAGUUUCGCUAUCGAUGAUGAUAGACUACAAAACUACAACAAAUUGAUGAUCUUGUGAGCUAGGGGGUGGGGGUGAUAUUAACAAUGCUACCAUAUCUUGUUGAACAGAGGCGUCAUUUUUUGUUAUAAUUCCUUCCUUCUCAGUUGACUUUAAUCAGUUUUCCGAGUUGUUGAUACGAUGAAUUAACGAACAGGUGAUUGGAUACAGGGGCGCCGAUCGCCGGUUCUUCUGUUGAUCAGAUCAAGGUAGUUGUCGGCUACGUGAGCAUAGGCUACCCUUUUGGAAUGGUGGCCUCCGUGCUAUUCGGAAGGCACCACAAGUCCAUUCUACAGUCUCCGAAACCGAAGCUCUUCAUCAUGGGAACCGAGGACGGGUUCACGAGUGUCAAACAGCUCCAGAACAAGUUGAAGUCUGCAGCUGGUCGUGUCGAGACUCAUUUUAUUGAAGGCGCCGGCCAUUUCCAAAUGGAAGGUCCCGUAUUUGACGCGCAGAUGGCUGACCUCAUCGCCUUGUUUGCAGCAUCUUUGUGACAGAAGGAGGGCUGCAGUCUGGCCGGAAAAUUUUUGGAAAACAAGUAAGCGUUUUUCGAGAUUAAUUUGUACAAAGACUUAGCAAAAUAACCGGACAAACUUGCAAGGGCACAAAAGGCUAAUCUUUGAAUGAAUAGUUUAACAAAUCUGUAACUACUGCAGAUCUUUCGUUCUGCGAGAUUAGAGAGCACACUGUGUAUUGUACAGUAUGGUGAAACUACAGGUCAUAAGAUCGAUUAUUGAACACUAAGCUGCCAUUAUUCCCGUCCCGGGCACCUAGUUCUGUUAAAUUAGGGCACUCUAUUGUACAAUGUGGUAAAACUACAGGGUCAUAAGAUCCAACUUCAAGCUCUCCCUUUAUUCCCCGACCUGGGCUGGGACCUGGAACUGCAGUUGUUUCAACCUUGAGCUUGAUCCAGCGAUCGUCCAGGGAAAAAACUAUGUUCUUGCCUCAUCUGCUUAAGAAAAACAGAACAUAAAGAAUGACAGAUCGCAUCGUUUCGUCAUCAAUAACCGAAUAUUGAAUUAUUCAAUCUUUUGGUUGGAUGAUUUCAAAUGGAAAGUUCGUGUAUAACAAGUUAUUCGAGCGUAAAAGAAACCGUAUGAACCUACAAGGAUUACAGAUCACCAUGAAGGGUGGGGAAAGGAACACUCAAGGCUGCUACUUUGAUGCAUUACCAGUACAGGUUAAAAUCCAAAUUAUCCAAAUUACACUUAUAGAUAUUGAUACAACAAGAAGCAUCUUUUUAUUGAACUCCAUCUAAUAUGAACAUAUGGUUAUAUGAGUAUUUAUGUAUUACCACUUUCACCAUCUGAAGCAUCUUCGAGUCUCGCAAUUGCGUCUACAAGAGCAUGUUCAUGAUCCUGCAUCGAAAGAUGGAAACAUUAAUCCUCCUUGUGCAGUAUGCACACACGAAAGCAGUAGUAAAGGUUACGAAAAGUCUCUUACUUCGAGCACUUUCUUUGCUUUCUCAAUCUCUACUGGGUCGGGAAAGUUGGCACCAAAGACCUUUUCGACCUGUUUGAAACGAACCGUUCAAGUAACAGCAAGCAGCGAAAAUGGUGGAUUACUUGAACAAUAAUUCCCUAUACCUCCUUGAUUAAAGUAUCAGUAUGAAGUAUCUCGAUGUCGCCCGCUGCCCUUUUACCAGCGCCAUUUUGUGAUAGCGGCGGGACCUCCUUUUUCGAGCCUUUCUUCGUCCCUCUACCCCUUCCGGCAGCACCGGCGCCAGCACGCAUCAUUGACUUCUUAUUCUCCCUGCCAGGUCCAGGGCGGCCACCUUUACGAGAAUUGGAAGGUUCGUCGCCUUCCCAUUUGAUAUCCCCAGGAGGUAUCUGUAGUUCACAUAUACAUAAAAAUCAGCUUGCAGCACUGUUUGGAAAUAUAGCCAGAUCUCACGUUUAGAAGAUGAGAGUAUUAAAUGAGAAAGCUUCUUGCUUUAUGAGACCCGAGUUCUGCCAAUAGUAAAGAUGAUCCCUCUGGGGUUUUUCAUGGCUAGACAGCAAUCUAGGUUGGAUCCAAGUAAUUGAAUGAGAAAACAACCAAAUUCAGUAGGCUGCUUGACUUGCAGAAUCGUACCUCUUUGAGAUCAACCCAUUCCAAUGUUUCAUCAGCAGUGUGUAUAUCAUAAACCAAAACAUGCAUCCCCUGUUAUGUGGAAACCAUUCAGGAAAAUAAGAUCUGUUGGGAAAAUUUUAGCGAGUGAAGUGUAAGACAUACAUUAGUGGCAUUGUAGUCGGUGAUCACAGCCUCGUAAAAAUUAUUAUCUUCAGGCCACCGAGUCCAAACUUUCCUUCCGAUUAACGGAUUAAAAUUGGCAGCUGUUGCAGGCUCAUUGGUCGGAAAUGCACCUAAAGAUCCUCUGUUAGCAACUUGGCCCCUGCCAGCAUUCCAGUUUGUAGAUGGGUACUGCAUGGAUUCCAUUCAGGAUUCAGCUAUAACCAUCAUACGCAUAUGAGAGGAAGCGUCUAUGAAUUAAUAGCAUUCAUGAAAGUCUACACCAACUUUGUCCUUACUACCGGAAAAAAAAAACUUCGUUGGCAAGAACAAGAUUGGGAUUUCAAAGAGUAAGGAAUUUCAAACCACUUCCAAAAUCUCACUUCAUUUUCAUAAUCAAACGGGACAUUUCGACCAUAUCACCCGGGCCCCACGAAACACUCACCAAAUCUUCCCCAAAUCUUGAAAUUAAAUGACCUCGAAAUGAACUUACAGACUGGAGCUUCUUGCUCCUAGAAGCAGGGUGAGAUCCUCGCCUUAUGGCAGAGGUAGAUGCUUGCAUUGGCGAGUGUAGUGCAGGAAGACCACCUAUGGAUAACGAACCGGCCGGCUUUGAUGUUUUCUGCUUCUUCCGUGAUCCAGAAAAGGAAGGAUUAGGAACAUGAUCCUGAGCAAGCUGAGUAGAAUUUUGCAUGCCCGGUUGAUUCCCAUUCACCAUUCUCCAUUCCCUGUUAUCAAAGAUGGUUCAGUUUUUUUCCCUAAGGAACAACAUAAAGCAACAAGAGAACAUAUUAUACCUCAUUCUUUGGACGGUAUCAUCGUUAUAGAGCCGUGACAGAAGUUCUUUAUGCUCUUCAUUUGACACUCUCAACUCUUUCCUAAGGUUUGUCAUUAAGCUGUCUUUUUCCUUCACAGAACAGCAAACAUAAAUGCUUCAGAAGGAAGAAUCCAAACAUAAGUGAUGUGACUACUAUGUAUAUCAGGUGAAUCAAUAGAUACCCAAGAGAUGACAUCUGACUGGACUUUAAAAGCGAACAGAACAGAGCUAUAUGCUUCUAGCUCAAUAGUGUGAAUUUGAGCUUCCAUAUCACUGUGCAUCCUUGCCAGGGGAGCAGGUCUUCCGUUCCCUGCGGUUCGCACACCAGACUGGAAUCUAUUUCGAUGUGAUGGCAGGUCAUCAUCUGUCCCUGAAAGUUAUUAUAACCAUAACAAACAAAUAAACACAGCUUCCACAAUGUCCAAGACAGAAGCUUAUACAUUCAUAUAACCAGAAAAAAUAUGGAAUGAUAGAAAACAGUAAAACUCUGCAUGUUUCAGCUUUGAAAGCUCUAUACAAGUGAUUUCUAACAGUACUCUUGUCAGUCAAAAGCCUGACUUACCACUGCUAUCAGAAUGUUCAUACAUAUUCCUUCAAACACAAUGAAGUCAGCAACUCUGAAACGAAACACUUCCAGGAAACCUGCACGAAGACAGCAAAACUAUGCGUUAACUGCAAAUUUCCUGGAAACCAUCUAAACAAUGUACCACAAGUAAAGAACAAAGAAGCGUAGGGAAAAAUGUUCACAAAAUAUGAUCAUAAGCAACAAAAUCAACCAUAACGAACAGCCAUUAUAAUUCUUCAACAAGCACAGUUGUACAAUUCUGGAAGAAGAAAAGAUACUGAAUUCACAACUCACCUUAGUCAGGUUCCAAAUCCUAAAACCACCACCGAAAGCAGAAGGAAGCAGCUGAAUUCCCCCCAAGUUGGAACCAGCAAAGAUCUCCAAACUUCUAGCUUCACUCAAGUUAAGCACCACGAAUUCAAUUUUUCAAAAGAAUUGGGGCCGAGAAUACCCUAGCAGAGGAAAAAGUCAAACUUCCAGAGAAUCAAACAUAUCGUACGCUAAAAUUCCUUCAGCCAUCUCAGCCAGACUAACUAAAAUCGUCGAAUUCCAACUUCCGGUAGACUUGCACCAGAAGGGUUCAAUUUUCGUGUUGUUCCGCACUUCUCCGCCGGGGAUAAUGAUUCCAAGGGGAUCGUUUUUGAGGGGCAGAGGAAUCUUCUGAUAUCAGAGAUUCAAUGGUGAGCUUAAAGAGAGGAAGAUUUGAGCGGUAUGAGUAGGAGGGAAGCAGGGGCGGACUUCAAAUGAAGCUUAUUGCGCUUACUUUACCGGCAGUUAAUAAUCACGUUUUGGAUCCGCGGCGGCUCUUUCUCCUCUUGUUCGUCUCCGAUAAAGAAAACGGAUUCUCCGAUCACCCGAUUAGUUUCUUCCUUACGACUUCAAAAGACGGGCCGACCUGAUCCAUAGCCCAUGGGCUUGAUUAGUUUUUGACUCGUUAUCAACAAACUUUUCCAUUAAUUACAAAUUUGCAAUAAUUUUCUAAAAAAUAUGAUAUAAAUAAAUUUAUGUUCGAAUGAAACGAGUCAAAUAUCUACUAGAUCUCGUAAAAUUGUAGCUUGUAUAUCUUCGUCACAAUCGUAUAAGUGUGACUGUCUUCCAGGGAAUCAAACAAUCAUACCCGUAAUAAACUUGUGACCGGCAUGUACGUGACAUUCAUCAAUCGACUUUUGACAAGCGUUUGACACACAUCUCGACUUAUGUAGGUAGUUAGGCCUCGUCAAGUUAGUGCUUAAUACACAUCCAUUUGAGUACAUAUUUAGAAUGUAUUUGCUUGCUAUCUUCAUCUCGCAGACAUCUCGUAUCGAAAUUCAGAAUACUACAAUAACCAUUUCAAAUAGUAAUUAAAAAAGUAGACAUUUUGCUGACAAAAAAAAACAGAAGGACAAAAUCUUUCUCCAUCCCAACAUUGCUGAGCAAAAAAGAACCCAGAAGAAAUCAAGAACACCAUCAAUGGAGGAGCACUACAGCUGAGACAGAGUAAUAUACAUAAAGCAAUACCCAAGUCUUGGGAAUCUUUUAAGGUUACAAAAGGAAGAAACCUGGGCUACAUCCACAAAUCCAAUGGUCUAGUAAGAAUUAGCAAAUAGCCAUUUUUCUGGGUUUUUUUUCUUCAUCACUUGUGACUAGUUCUAGAAUUAGAGCAUAUUCAUAUCAAUCUAUGGUACACAUGGGGUAGUUUUGUUUGGUGGCUGGGUACUAACACAACUAACCUGAUCAUCAACUCCCAAAAAGAUGAAAAAAAACACUAUCCUCCCUGACCAUCUGGACCUCUACUUUCUCCACCAAGUUCACUGUAUCUCUUUCCCCCAACUUUGUUCUUGAUCCAUUGACCUCCCCCUGGAAAACUGCCUCCCUCUCUCAUCUGCCAACACAAAAGCAAGAAAUCACAAAUUGCAACAGAGGAGGAAAAGAACCAACUUCAUAUAUAGCUUUUAUACUCGAUCCAGAAAGAAGAUUGGACGUUGUUCUGGUUCGGUCUCCAUUUUUGUAUUCCUCAAAGCAAGGCCAUAGCCGAUAGGUGAUCGAAGGGUUUUGUGCAAAUAAUGGAAUGGUAAGGUUUUACAUGCUUUUGAAAAAACCCAGAAAACCAAAAGCUACUUUGAGGGUGAAGAAACCAUGUAUGGGGACUGUUAUAUCAUAGGAGGGAAUUGAGAGUUUAUGUAUAAACUACAAAACAUUGAACAUGGAUAUGGUCUUAUCGAUAUAUUAGUUAUUAUUAUUACCACUUACACCAUCUGAAGCAUCUUCCAGCCUUGAAAUUGCAUCGAUGAGAGCUUGUUCAUGUUCCUGCAUUGAAAGACGUGACAUAAAAUCCCAGUGACAGUACGUGCGAUAACAAAAUGGUGUUCUCUCUUGAGCAGAGGAACGAAAAUAUGUUAAUGCUUUCUUACUUUGAGCACUUUCUUUGCUUUCUCGAUUUCCAUUGGGUCAGGAAGGCUAGCACCAAAAACUUUCUCCACCUGCUUGAAACAGACACAUGUUGGUUGGUGAUAACAGGUAGCGAACCUUAUAACUAUAUCCAGCUAAUGCUCAGCGUGGAAAUAUUACCUCCUUAAUUAGAGUCUCCGUGUGAAGGAUCUCAAUGUCACCUAAGGUUUUUUUGCCAGUGCCGUUCUGUGAUAGAGGGAAAUCCCUCUUUGGACCCUUUGUGUUCCCUCUUCCACGUCCAGCCCCAGCAGCAGCGGAGCCACCACGCAUCAAGGGCUUCUUAUUGCCCCGACCGGGACCGGGUCCAGGCCGGCCACUUUUACUGAAAUGGGUAGGAUCGUCACCUUCCCAUUUGAUGUCUUCUGCAGGUAUCUAUUAUUGACAAGCAGUUGAUAUUAGUUUUUAACAUUUAAAAAGUGUGAACUGGGAAGACAAAGAUCAGAUGAGAAAAUAUAUACUUGACCAUGAAUUAAUUAUUUAGGUGCCAAAAACAAGCGCAUUCCGUUCAGAUACUUCAUGAAGUGAAAAUGGAAUCAACUAUUGAAUGCAAAAAAUAUACAACAUGAAGGUUCUUCUACCUCUUUCAGAUCGACCCAUUCCCAUGUUUCCUCCCGUGUGUUCAUAUCGUAAACCAAAGCAUGUCUUCCCUGUCAAGUGUGAACCAUUUCGCAAAAGGUGAGAAAAAAGAGCUGCAAGAAAGUUCCUAAGAAGACAGCAUAUAAAAAGUGAAAUGUGGGAGCAUACUUCGUCUGCCUUGUAGUCUGUUAUGAGAGCCUCGUAGAAGUUAUUAUCUUCCGGCCAUCGAGUCCAAACUUUUCUUCCAAUCAAUGGAUCGAAAGUGGCAGGUGCAGCAGCCUCAUGGGCUGCAAACUGACCCGAUGAAGCUCUAUUAGCAACUUGGCCCCUUCCAGUUUCAGGCAUACCUGUAGAAGGGUACUGCAAGGACUGCAUUCAGGAUGCAUCCCAAAUAGUAAGCAUAUGUUGGACAAGCAAGGAAGCCAAUUAAUUUCAAACGAAACCCAAAACCAACAUACUGGCUGGGGCUUCUUCCUAGAUGCAGGAGGUGGAGGUCCACGCCUCAGGGCUGAUGUAGAUGCUUGCAUGGGUGGGUGCAGUGUGGGAGAAGGGGCACCCAUGGAUGAUAACGAAGCAACCGACUGUGAGGUUUUCUGCUUCUUGCGGGAUGCUGAAACAGAGGGACUAGGCGCACGAUCAUGGCCAGGCUGGGUGUUGUUUGGCAUGCCUGAUUGAGAUCCACUAGUCUUUCUCCAUUCCCUAUAAUGAAUCACGAUUUAGUUUUUCAUGAUAACAAGAAAAAACAAAAAUUCAGCCAGCAGAUAUACGAGUGAGACAUUGAGACCUUAUCCUCCGAAUCAUGUCGUCAUUGUUAACCCUGGAUAAGUGUUCCCUAUGCUCCUCGUCUGACACUCUCAACUCCUUUCUGAGUUCUGUUAUUAAGCUUUCUUUUUCCUUCGGAAAACAAUAAAAAAAUAACAUCUAAGCUUUGCCCACUGCAAGGUAACCAUGAUACGUACAAGAAGGACAAGAGUAGAUACCCAGGUAAUAGCAUCUGAUUGAGCUUUGAAUGCCCGCAGCACAUAUCUAUAUGCUUCUUGUUCGAUAUUGUGAAUUUGAAUUUCCAUAUCACUUAUCCUUGGCAUGGGAGCGGAGGGAGGCACUGUCGCCCUUUCACUGCAGCUCUUCCAUUCCCAGCAGGUCGCAUUCCACUUCGGAAUCUAUUUUGUAGUUGUGGAGGGACGUCAUCGUCUGUAUCUACAAUUGGCCAGAUAACAACCAUAUAAAGUGCAAGCUUCAUAAAAAAAAGGAUUACCUUCGAAUAUUGACACUAUUACUUGUAUCACACAAACAGGUAACUACGAAACCCUAUAAAAACUAUGCAAGUACUUCUUGCCGAGAUGCUUGAGCAACAUACUACCAUAUUCUUGAAAGAAGCAGAAUAUGGCACUAAAAUCACAACCAAGAUGCCAUCAAAACUCAAAAGCACCGAAUGCACAAAAAGCUUUCCAAUUUGUGAAUCCUUGCAAAGUCAGUUGAUAAAAUGAUGGACAAAGUCAGGUUUAGAAGCUAACUUACCACUACUAUCAUAGUCCAUACUCCUCAUUGUGUGCUUUCCCACUUGACACUUAGUAAGCACGCACCAACUGCAAAACCAAUAGUUCCUACAUAAUAUUAGUAAAAGUAAAGAAAAAAACAAUGCCUUAAGUGCACUCAUAGAGGAACCAUUAACAGUCAUGAAGAAACACAACUAAUGUAAUCGAAAUGCAAAAUAACAGCAUCAAUAUCUAGCCAUGACCCCCAAAAUGUCUCACAACAAACUUGAGCAAUCUCAUCACUAGUCAAAUAGCGGUAAACAAAACCAAAAUGGAGAAUCCUUCUCCCAGAAGUUCAAAGCUUCAUUUCUAUUCCAACAGCAUUAUUCAUUUCGUUCACCAGUAACAAUGGGAUAGCUGCAGCUACCAAACUUAAGUAAGUGUUUCCACUAUCCAAACCCUAGAAGAAGCAUGGCUGUCGAGAAAUCAGCAAAAUCUCGAAGUAGCAGCAAGUAACCACACUUGAAAAGAGAGAUUACCCACCAAAAUUUCUACCUCCAGCCUACUCAAGGGAGCUCAACAAUGACGAAUUGUUGAUGUGUCAAUCCCAGGUAGAAAAUGUCGGAACAUCCAGCUCCUCGAGAAAUCCAGCAAAGAUCAGAACCCAAAAAAAAAGAUCCCUCAGACAACUUAACACUUUUCGCAAAUUACGCCAAAGUGGGCUCCUGGAAACAGCAUUAGAUAGACGCCGCCCGAAACACUCCGACGAAGCACCCAACGCCGUUCGGCGGCGAAAUUGUUCUUCCCGAGGGAACUUCCCUCCGAUUGAUCUUGAGGCGGAAUCACGGGAAUCGUACAAGAUUCGAUGAUGCUAUAACCCGGAGAUUGAUUUUGAUUGAACUAUGAAGCGACAAAAGGGCGUUCAACCCAGAAGGGCAAAGAAGGAGAAGAGCAAACGCGGACUUGAAACAAUUAUUGUGGCGCCUCCUUUGCCUACCCAGUUCAUAAUCACAUUUGAGUUCCGCGACGGCCGUUCUUUGGUCGGAAAGAAAGGAAACAAGCGCAGGGAAAGAAACGAAACUAGCCGCAGGUGAGAAAUGGUAGCUUGGGCGAUUGGGUGGGCUUAACCUAACCAAGACUACUUAAAAUCCAGGCCCAAUAUCCUUUCUAGUUUCUAGCCUGUAAAUUUCGAGUGGAUUAUGCAUUUCGGUUAGAGAGAGGAUUGUCGAUCGGUUUUUUUAAACCCAGGUGAAUCAACAUUUAUCGUUUAUUCAAAAUCAAAAGAAGUUCUGACAGACUAACUAAGUUAUACAUAACGAAAUGAGACAACAAAGUAUCAAAAGUAUAAAUAUAAUAGAUUGUCAAUGGAUAAAUGAUGACUAAAGUCAAUUAACCAGUUUGGCAAGUAUCUCACGGUUACCAGCAAGUGACAAUUAUGAGUGAGCAUUGGGUGGGCGGAUAAACAUAAUGGAUCGAUGGCUUUAUGUGCAUCCACCUGUUUUUCGGAUGUGGGUGCGGCCGAAUAGGUCAUGACAUCGGUUAAUGAUUUUAUGUGGAUGUUAGGUUGGUAACAAUUAUAAAAAAUUCUUCAUAUUUGAUUAAAAUACUCAAAAUAAAGAGUUGAUAACAAUUAUUUAUAUUGUGUAGAUGACAUUUAGAAUAAAGUAGUAACUAGUAAGGAUUUUUAAGUAAGUUAAUGAAUAAAUCAUUCAUCUUUUAAAAGAAUCCAUUUUUUUUUGUUAGGAUAGGUUGUGACGGAUGAGUUAGACGGUUGAUCGGACUAAAUACUUAUAUUGUCAAUAGCGAUUUAAGAAAAAGUAUUGUUGUGUAAUUUUAUUAUUUUUUAAUCGUAGUUGGUUUGUCACACUUAAUUUAAUUGCACCAGUAUUCUCCGAUAUUUUAUCCCAAGCAAGUAGCAAUUGUAUAUGAACCUGGUUAUUUUGGUCGAACCCGAAAAUCGGACAAAUGAUCAAGGCCACGACACGUCGUUCGUUCCCGUAUCUCAAUGGCGAAAAAACAAAAAGGUCACCGCUCGUCUUUUAUACUCGACAACGGCAAAACGAUGCUGCUGCUUUCUCAUUUAUCUCCGAAGUCCCAACUCCGUUCUCUCCCCCGCCCCAAAUUCCCAUUCUACCCUCUCUCUUCUCCGAAAUCCCAACUCUAUCCUCCCCCGCCUCGCUCACCCUUCGCAUGCCACGUUAGCUCCUCCUCCUUCAUGGACUCAACAGCCGCGCCGUUGUCCGUCGACUCCGUGACGGACGAUCUCAAGAACCAGAGCUUACAAGGGAAGGAUUGUCGGACAGAGAGUAAUACUACUGUUAAGUUGAAGCUCGAAGAUCUGAAUUGGGACCACUCGUUCGUCAAUGAAUUGCCCGGCGAUCCGAGGACCGAUCGACUUCCUCGUCAGGUAAUAUCGUAGCGAGUAGCUGGUCUGACAUAGCGGUGGAUUGAAAUUAGUGGAAAUGAUGGUUAGGGAUUUGUUUCGUAGAGCUUGUGGCGAACUAGUUUUUGAUAGAAAUGUGAGGUGUGACGAACCAGUAGACCUGCUUCCAGAUACAUAAUCAAGUUAGCUUGUCUUUUAUUGACUAUCGAAUUCAAUAGCGAGUAGCUGGUAUGGGCGUAUGGCGGUGGAUUCGAUUAGUUAUAAGGAUGGUUAGGAAUUGAAUUGUAUGCUAGUGCACGAACUAGUGUAAUCAAGUUAGCUUGUGGGUUGUUUCGGUUGCAGGUUUUGCACGCUUGCUACACGAAAGUUAGCCCUUCAGCGGAAGUGGAAAAUCCGCAACUCGUUGCGUGGUCCGACUCAGUUGCGCGGCUGCUUGAUUUGGACUUUGAAGAGUAAGUAUCACUUGUGCUGAAUGGUGGGAGUUAUUUCUGAACGUUGAAUAAGAUUCUCUGUAACGUCUUGGGAAUGAAGUCAACUCAUUUGCGAGACUGACAAUUAUCUAUAUGCUGGAUUGCAGAUUUGAAAGGCCAGAUUUCCCUCGUUUUCUUUCAGGGGCAUCUCCUUUGGUUGGAUCGUAAGUGGUUUAUCUGGAUAAUGAAGUUAGAGUUCAGUCUUCCCCUUAUGAAUUGUGUCCUUAACGAAUGAAGCCAUUUCUGCAGGGUACCCUUUGCUCAGAACUAUGGGGGGCAUCAGUUUGGAACCUGGGCAGGCCAGUUAGGUGACGGUCGGGCAAUAUCUCUAGGGGAGAUUCUGAAUUCCAGAGGUGAACGAUGGGAAUUGCAGCUGAAGGGUGCCGGAAAGACUCCGUACAGCCGCUUUGCCGAUGGCCUUGCAGUGUUGCGCAGUAGCGUCCGGGAGUUCCUUUGUAGUGAAGCAAUGCACCACUUGGGUAUCCCAAGUACUCGUGCACUUUCUCUUGUGACAACUGGGAAAUUGGUUACUAGGGAUAUGUUUUACGAGUAAGUUUGCUGCUAAAAUAAACCUUUGCCUUUCUCUCUAUAAUUUAACAUCCGUGGAGGUAUAAACUCUGGUCAGAUUGGUUUGGAACAUUUCAUCCCAUUAAUAAACUCGUUCUUGUUUUCAGUGGAAAUGCGAAGGAGGAACCUGGGGCGAUCGUUUGUAGAGUAGCUCCAUCAUUUCUUCGCUUUGGUUCAUAUCAACUGCAUGCUUCUAGAGGGAAAGAGGAUCUCGAAAUUGUUCGGGCCUUGGCGGACUAUGCUAUAAAGCAUCAUUUCCCUCACAUUGAGAAUAUGGAUAGAAGUGAGACCCUGUCCUUUACUACAGGAGAAGAUGAAGAUUCCGUCGUGGAUCUUACCUCAAAUAAAUAUGCAGGUUUAAUGUUUGACUGUCGGUGUUUCUGAUUAUAUUUCAGUUAUUUUCUAUCUAGCUGUGGUUAUUUUUUGGUUGAAUGUUAUAUAUAUUGGUUAACAUGGAGCUAUUUAACUUGUUCUCUGCAUUUAGCUGUAUGAUCCUAGCUUUGUGACUUGCGAAAACUGUUCCAUUUCAAUUCUCCCAAUGUAUUUGGUCCUUACUCAUCCAUAUCGUACUUUCAGUGACGAUUUUCCCUUUGCAGACAUCUAAUACUGGCUUAGUUAUAUACACCAUCUGCUACAUAUUUACUUACGAAGCUACGUUGUUAUUUUUCAGCAUGGAUGGUGGAGAUAGCGGAACGUACUGCUUAUGUGGCUUCCAGAUGGCAAGGGGUCGGUUUUACUCACGGAGUUCUAAACACCGACAAUAUGAGCAUACUCGGUCUCACAAUCGAUUAUGGUCCCUUUGGAUUCUUGGAUGCUUUUGAUCCAAGUUUCACUCCUAAUACAACUGAUUUACCUGGGAGAAGGUACUGUUUCGCUAAUCAACCUGAUAUUGGCCUAUGGAACAUUGCUCAGUUCGGAGCGACUCUAACUGCUGCUGGUUUGGUUAGUGAUAAGGAGGCAAAUUAUGCCAUGGAAAGGUAAGAUGAUAUCUUCAUCUUAACAGAGAGAAUUAUUUCCUAUGAAACAAUCUUUCGGUUUACUGAUUAUUCUCUGUGAUCUCAUCUCAGGUAUGGCACCAAGUUCAUGGACGAGUAUCAAUGUAUAAUGACGAAAAAACUUGGCCUCCCUAAAUACAACAAGCAGUUGCUAGGUAAACUCCUGAAUAACAUGGCUGUGGAUAAAGUCGAUUACACCAAUUUUUUCCGUACGCUUUCAAACAUCAAGGCGGAUCCGAAUAUCCCGGAAGACGAACUAUUAGUUCCGCUGAAAGCCGUCCUUUUGGAUAUCGGCAAGGAGCGUAAAGAGGCAUGGACUACCUGGGUUCAGACCUACAUACAAGAGGUACAAAAAUACAGUUUAUCGUUUUGGCUCGAUCCUAAAUGAACUUUCUAACAUUUUCCUUUCGAUGCAGCUUGCUGCUAGUGGAACCCCAGACGAGGAGAGGAAGCCCCAGAUGGAUUCCGUAAAUCCGAAAUACAUCCUCCGCAACUACUUAUGCCAGAUGGCGAUCGAUGCAGCCGAAGGUGGGGACUUCUCGGAGGUAAGAAGGCUGCUGAAGUUAGUAGAGCGGCCGUACGACGAGCAGCCUGGCAUGGAGAAGUAUGCUCGGUUGCCACCGGCUUGGGCUUAUCGGCCAGGCGUCUGUAUGCUGUCCUGCUCUUCUUGAGUUUUGCUUGCUAGUGUGGGGAGGAGUUGUAGGCUUUUUAUUUGUACAUAUAGAUAACUUGAACUUCUCAGGAAAUACCCAGACCGAAAUGGAUAAGCCAAUCCUUAGUCGUUAGUUAGUAUGCGAGCUGGAAGUUUGGGUAUCGGAUAUUCUCGAUCCAGACCCAAAUCCGAACGGGGUUCGGCUUCAACAUUAUCAUAUUAUGCUACCCAUCGGUAUUGAUUUCCCGUUUGUGAUAUGGGCGGGUACCCGAACUACCCGUUAUUAACCAUACCUAAUUUUUACUUCUAAAACUAACAUCACCUAAAUAAUUUUGUAUAAAAAAAUACGCACAUUCUGCCGGCUGCACAUACCUACAUACGUGAAAUUAUUGGCUUCGUAACUGCAAGUGUGAGUAUUGCUGAUGUCGGUAGUGACACCGAAAGUGAUAGUGAAAGUGGUGUGUAGCGAGGUUGUAAUCUUGCUUUCUCAUUUUGGUACGUGGAAAGUAAAUAGUUUAUGUAUUUGGAAUUUACAAGUUAGUCAUUCGAUGCAUGAGUGGAAUUUCGUAUUUUUAUUGUUGAUUUGACUUUAAUUCAGGUAUUGUGGGUAUCCUAUCCAAAACUCAAAAUUAUCCGUACGGGUAAACAUCGAACGAGUUCGGAGUUUGGCUUGGGUUUUACUGCACGGAUACCGGCUCAAUACGGGUAAGGUACCCGAACCCGAUUUCCAGCUCUGUGUCUGUCUUGCGGGCCGGGCCUGCAAUCUACGCGGCAAAAUUUUAUCCGGCUCUGUCCAAAAUCCGACCGCCUGAACAACCAGAUCAAGAUCGAUUCAAAAAAAUAGGGCGUACCAGCCGACCGGAGAGGCCAGACAGCCGACGAACUCCGAUAGUUCUUCUACUUUGCUUCGCUAAUCCAAAGAGAAACAAUCGGUUGUUUCUGAAUUUCAUCCGCCGACGUCAUCAGCCGUCGGUUGCCGGACUCUGUGGUGUUCUAAAAUCUGUCCGUUUGGAUAACGGAAUUUGCCGGGUAACUGUUCGGCGAAAUGCGUCUGUGAGCUUAGUUUUGCAGUCUUGCAGAAAGAGAGAGAGAAUGAGGUUGCCGCGGAGUCUGCAUGUCUGGAAGAUGGGAACAGUCAACUACUUGGAAUCACUGAAGCUGCAGGAGAAGUUGGUAUCCGAAAGGAAAGCACACAAGAUAUCCGACACACUUCUCUGCGUGCAGCAUCCUCCAACGUACACUGUAGGGAAGCGAAGAACGGAUCACAAUCUGCUCAUUUCCGAAUCUGAGCUAGCAAGCUUAGGAGCUCAGCUUCAGUACACUGAAAGAGGUGGAGACAUAACGUACCAUGGCCCUGGUCAGGCAGUUCUGUACCCGAUCGUUUCCCUCCGCGAGAUCGGACUCGGGGCUAGGAAGUACGUAGAGAAGCUUGAGCUGACCAUGAUCGAGCUGGCAUCACUCUACGGAGUGAAGGCAUCUGCGGGCGGCCAACAAGGGGAGACUGGAGUCUGGGUUGGAGCCGGCAAAAUUGGCGCGAUUGGAGUCCGUAUCUCGAGCGGAAUUACUUCUCACGGACUGGCGUUCAAUAUUGACCCGGAUUUGAGUUACUUCAGCCACAUUGUGCCGUGUGGGAUUGCGGAUAAGCGAGUUACUUCUCUGAGGAAGGAGCUAGGUAUUGUGCUUCCUACUGAAGAAGUUGUUCAUGAUCAGUUGGUUUCGUGUUUUGCUGGACUUUUUGGUUUUAGCAAUCUUAUCUGGGAGGAAAAUGCUUCGUGUUCAAAGACCAAAGAUUUGUGAUUUAUGCGUUUGGAUAAACCAUCUGAGCUCUGUACCUUCUGAUUGAUUGAUUGAUCUAUUGUAAGGAAUGUGUUGCCAUUUUCCUGUGUCUGUCAAUGUUUCUCGUUCAAGUGUUUCCAAUGUGCUAUUACUUUGGUCCUUCUAACAGAAAUGUGUAUAAUCCUUUCCUAGAAGGUGUGAUAACAUUUCUGCACAGGAAUCAAGCUUUUGUCAAAGUAUUGUAAGUACUGUACGAAUUCUUGAAGUAUUUCAGGGAAAGCAUACUGCUAAUUCUGCAGAAUGCCUUAUCUAUUUUCCUACUAGGUCAUCAGUGGCAAUCCACGUUCUAUAAUGAAUUCAUCUUUGUGCUCUGGGAAACCGGCAUCCUUGAUAGAAACUUUACUACAAGUACACGUAGGAAUAUGGAAUGCUGAACUGAACUUACUUAGGCUAGGACCAACAUUCUGAAGAAAAGUAAUCCUACGUGCUUUGAAGCAAAGAUUAUUGUUCUGUAGAGAAUCUGCUGGUUGAUCCAUAUCUUGAGAGCAAGCUAAGCCAGCUAACUUUAGCUGGAUUUAUUUAGUCUCAGUGAAGUUACAAAAGUAAUUAUUGGUUGAAAAUUAAUAAAAGGGGGAAGGACAGACAAAAAGGGUGAAUUAUUUGUUGUCAUGUGACUUGGCACAUGAUACUUUUCAGUUGUAUAUUUUGUUAAGCCUGCAGAUAAGUAAGGAAAUAUGAUACUCAAUUCAUCAUCACAUGUUCAGCUGCUUCCAGGCUCCAACCAAAUAAAGAUCAAAGGCAUACCACUAGUCAAGCAAGUGGGGAGGGAAAUCGUCCAAAAUGUAUUAUCUAGGAGAAUUCUAUGACUAGAGCGAGUCAAGUAAUGAUACUAUCAAAUCUGAUUGCAUGUUACUACACACAUGGAACACUGCAAUCACUUCCUUUAUAUUUUAGAUUAAAUAUAUUUAGUAGACUGGAUCUGAGUAUGUCUUAGAGAAUGUGAACCAUUGUUGUUGACCUUACUCGUACUCUUUUUAGAUCUACACCUUUUAACUGUGACGUUAUGUGGUUACAUCAAUUUUACCAUCCAUGCUUUGUGUUAUUUGACUGCUCUAAGCUCUAUAACAUGUGACGACAGGUAAUGAUUAGGAGAGAUUGUCUAUAAAUGUACUUUUUGAGACUGGCAACUCACAGCUAUAUAUGUAUUUAACAGCAUUCCUUCUCUGGAAAGAUUCAUAUCUUGAUCCCAAAAAAAACACUCUCAUUUACUUCAUUUCUUCAGAAAUACCAGUAUGAAAUCCACCCUAAGAACCUUAUUUUCUCUUGUCGCCUUUCUUCUUGUUCAUUUGCUUUUGUUCUCUCCAUUUUCUCUCAGCAGAGAGAUAAAAAUCCUUCCUGUUCCUGAAUCCGUUUCUAGGCGAUUUCUAGUUUCUGCCAACUUGUUUUCAUCACAUAAGAGCAAGUUCAGUGAUACUGGUAGAGGUCCGAAGAAAGGUCUGGAUACGAGUCUGAGGAAGGCACCACCAAGCUAUUCAAAUCCCACUCAGAACAAGUAAUCUUAGUCAUCAGCAAUACUAGAAGCUUAGUUUCCGUAUAGCUUAUUGUUGGAUACGUCAGAAAGAUGAGAGUUUUUGUCACAGAUUGUAUGUCUUUUUUGGACAUCAUACUUUUUAUUGGUUCCCUCAUGUCCAAUUUGUUUAUUGUUUAGUAUUUCUUUGUUUUGAGAUUAGAUUAGCACAUACUCUGUAAGUGUAAUCUACAUUAAACAUGUAAAUUUAGGUGUCUAUAUCAGAGAUGAAUACAUUCUUGGGUUAAUCUAUGUUUGUUUAUACACUUCUGUGUAAACAUCUCCACUUCAAUAAACUUCCAACUUAUGACUUGUUACUUUGUGUUAAAUCUUUGUUUCCUUCCUUUAUGAGUAGCUUUUGUAAUGUCCGGCCAUGGAGGAGUAGAAAGCUGUGCCUUAACUUGUGUAAUGCCUUCAUGUUUGUUCUUUCUGCCGAAGAUGGAAAAAAAAUCCUCGAGGAUUUAAUGAUCUUGCGGGGCGACGAAUAGAAACACGGAGGGGACUGUCUUCUCAGGGUACCUGAUACCGGGCUUCUUCAGUCCACGUGUUGGCAAUGCACAAAAAUUACAGUCCAAAUGCAUUCAAUGACCAAAAAGAUUUUAGUAACUGACAUUUUUUGUUUUCUGUUGAGCAAUAUGACCAGUGAAUAUAUUCUGCAGAGGUUUUUUUCAUUUCUUUUGUUCUUCAUAGUUCAUUCAUUCUGGUCCAAACAUGAGAAUUCGGAAUAGUAGGCCUCAGUUCCCAUUUGUUUAUCCCUCAGUGGAGCUGAAUGCUCUCACAUCAUCCCGGGCUCACUCGAUUCGAGGUAUGUGUUUGUUCUGUCGUGUCUUUUGUUCAAUAAACAGGGCGGAAAUCCCCGAUGAUCGUCUUCUUGAUAAGCAAAAUUCAGGUCCCUUAAUGGAGAAUCUCGAAUCACCAACAGUUGCUGAUGCGGAAAGACAGGAAAGUGGCAGGGAGUUUAUGCCAGAAAUGCAGAAACUAGUAAUUGCUCUUCUUUUUUUGGUCUUGUUUUCCUAUAUUUUCAGUACAAUUCAGUGUUCUUUCGAGUCAAUUUUAUGAUUUUUAUCUCUUUGACAAUUAUUACGAGUCAGAUACGUGAAAAGUAUUGGCAUUUACGCUCCCGAUCAUCGUUUCUGCGACCUAUGUUUUGUUUUAGGAAUCUCAAAGACAUCAUGCAACUGGUAACCGAGGAAGACUGCCAAAAAUCAAACACAUCAUGCAACUGAAGGAAGACCUGCCAAAAAUCAAACACAUCAUGCAACUGAAGGGAGACCUGCCAAAAAAAUCUAGGGUUCAUAAAAGGUAAAUUAUAAUUCUGUCUUCUAGAUAUCUUUCAACAUGUUGAUCUUAUUAACAAAAUAAUGAAUUCGCAGGAAAAACUGUAGCCCUGAGUGUUCUAGACCUAUAGUCUUGGCGUUGAGUGCUGUGCCUCCAUCAGGUGAACUACAAAAUUCAUUUGUGACUCUGUUCGAUCUAUUUUUUGUUUCGCUGUAUCGCUUUUUUUUCUCGAUCUUAACCCCAAAUAUGAUGCUAGUUGCAUUUUUCCAACUAGCUAAGCUAGAUAUACAAGCUGAUAAUCUUUUUUGAAUACUUUAUCAGUUGCCAAAAAAUGCUUCUCGAAGAUGAAGAGGGCUCCUUUUGUUAGCGAACAUGAUCGUAAUAAUCAGGGAACGGAGUCAACCAGCCGCGUCUGGAGAAGUGCUCCUUGUGUUGUUAGUGAAGUUGAUCGUAAUAAUCAGGGAACGGAGUCCACCAGUCGCGGUUGGAAAACUGCUCCGGUUGUUAGUGAACCUGAUUGUAAUAAUCAGAGAACGGAGCCCACAAGUCGCUAUGGAAAACUGCCGUAAAUGAAGAUAAAGGCAAGGUUGCAGAAACCAAGACCGGACCAGAAACGUCACCCAAGAAAGACGUUAGUGAACAUGAUCGUAUCUUCAGCUUCGAACCGUCCUCCAGUUUAUUAAUCGACUGCGCCAAGGAUGGAAUUGAAGAAGAUCAAAAAUUGUUUCUGGAAGCAGUAUAUAUGCUAUGUAAGUAUCAAGUUCCUAAGAAACAUAUUGUCUAUUGUCAAGUUUCGAUGGAUAAUAUUGUGUACUAAUCAAUUGCAGGCAGCAAGUGAAGCCGAAGAAAAAGAGGGGAAGGCCAAGGAAGGCGGUGCCUGCAAGUGAUUCCAACCAGGACUGGACGAGUUAACCAGUUCUGUAGAAUAGAUCAGCUAGCCUGCUGGUUCGCAGUACCCCUCCGGUUCUGUUUCGGGUUUGCAGUGAAGUUGUGUGGGGUUCUCUUUUGUUAUCCGGGUUGGAUACUUUAGUUUUGAACUAUGCAUGGCUUUCCAGCUGAACAAAAUUGGUUAGUUGUAAAGAAACAGUUCUCAAUGCAGUUGAGUUUUCUGCUGAUGCUGCUUUGUUAUAUAUCCAUGGCUGUUAGUUUCCCAUACUUCUGUCCAUGAGAAUCUGGACUCGAGGGUCGUUCCGGUUUGGCCAAUUACGAGAAGGGUAGUGUUUGGUUCGCAACUGGAUCAUGCGGGUUUGCAUGAGUCUUCCUUACCACGGUAAUAGAUAAGAAGUACAUAAUCAGUUUUCUCAUUUUCUUUAGAUUAUAAUUAGUAAUUACAGUGCAUUCCAAACCCGUGUAGCAGCCAGAAACCCCAUAUCAGAUACCCACAGAUAGCCCGAAACCCCAAUGUCGAACAGUACAGGAAAAAAUGUCAGUUACCUUAACUCGUUUUGGUCAUUGAAUGCAUUUAGACUAGCAUUAUUGUGCAUUCCGAACACAUGGACUCAAGAAACCCGGUAUAGUAUCUGAGAGACGGCGCCUCUAUGUCUCUAUGUAUCAGAAAGUCGCCUUCUUCGGCGUCGUCAAGUUAACCUUCCCCGUCGCUCCAAAGGUCCGGUAAGCUUUCAUUUCUCUUCUUUCACUCCAUUUCGUCGGAAAAUGAAUCCGUUUCUUCUUAAUUAGGUUUUGCAACAUUUGCGGGUUUAGGGUUUAACGAUCCUGUUCCAUUUCAGACUGGUAUUGCACGCUGAAGGUCGUCGGUGAGUCUAAGGAAGGCACCACCAAGCUAUUCAAAUCCCACCCAGAACAAGUAAUCUUAGUCUACAGCAAUCCUCUGAGGCAAGAAGCUUCCUUUCGGUUUCGGUAUAGCUUUUUAUUGUUGGAUACGUCAGAAAGAUGAGACUUUUAUCACAGAUUUGUAUGCCAUUUGUUUAUUGUUUAGUAUUUCUUUGUUUGAGAUUAGAUUAGCAGAGUCUCUGCAAGUGUAAUCUCUACAUUAGACAUGUAAAUCUAGGCGUCUAUAUCAGACAGUUCAGUUUCGGUAGAGAAGAUUAAUAUAUUCUUGGUUGAUCUAUGUUUCUAUAUACAUUUCUGUGUAAAACAUCUCCACUUCAAUAAACUUCCAAAUUAUAACUAGUUACUUUGUGUUAAAUGUUUGUUUCCUUCCUUUACGAGAUAGCUUUUGUAAUGUCUGGCCAUGGAGGAGUAGAAACCUGUGCCUUUUAAGGUCUGUAAUGUUUUCAUGUUCAUCUGCUUUAGCUAGAGAAAGCUGUUGCUCUGGAAAGCUGCGUCAAGACCUCAUUUGCGACAUCCAAUGGAGCAAGCAUUACCAAGUAUAGAUCACAUCCUUCUUUAUGUUCUUUCUGGCGAAGAUGGAGAAAAAGACGGGAGGAUUUAGUGAUCUUGGGUGACGACGAAUAGAAACACGGAGGGACGGUUUUCUCAGGGUAUCUGAUACCGGGAUGUGUGCAGUAUGCACUGUAAUGAUAGUCCAAAUGCAUUCAAUGACCAGAAAAGUUUAUCGAACCGGGAAUAAAAAUUAUCGAACCGCUGGUGAAAACAUUGUAGGUAAGGUAAAAAGUAAGAACACUAAUCCCAGACGAAGUGGGGGGGGAAAAUGGAGGGGAUAAACUCCAUAGUCGACGCCAGAGCUCGCACUCAUCAGAAGGUCACCUUCUUCGGCGUCGUCGUCGAGUUGACGCUCCCCCGUCCCUCCAAAGGCUCCGGUAAGGUUUUGUCUUCUUUCUCUCACUUCAUUUCAUCGGAAAAUUGAAUCCGUUUUUUUUUUUCUAAACUAGAUUUCGUAACAAUUUGGGGUUUUAGGGUUUAACGAUCACUGUUUUUAUUGGAUUUCAGAUUGUUAUUGCACACUGAAAGUAGUCGAUGAGACGUAUCAAGAAGGUUUUGUGGUCAAUGUGUUUGCAAGGUCUGCUCAUGAGCUUCCUCUGGUUGCAGCACUCGGCGAUAUUGUCCAGUUCCGUCGUGUUAUGGUACGAUCUGAUUUCUGAUGUGGAUUUUAAGUUCUUGCUGUGUAGUUGUCAACUGUGAUUGAUGGAAUGCAGAAUGUAUCAUGGAAUCACUGUGGAUUUUUGGUUUUGAACAUUCCAUUUAAAUCGGAAUUAUAUUCUUAUGCAGGUGAAAGAACACGUUGGGGAAAUAAAUGCAGUAUUCUACAAAGAUAGUUCAUCUUUUGCUCUGUAUCAAAGGCAGCAGCAUGCCCAAGGUUUCAAUCCUUAUCAGUCUUCUGAGAAUUUUCGUUGCCCAGGGCCACGAGAUUCGGAAUCUAUAGCAAGGUUGACGACAUGGUUUGUAAACUUUGCGCCCGAUGAAGGUAAAUUUUACAAUAUAUAGAAAGUUUGAAUUUGGUUAUGGAUUAAUCGAAGCUUAAUUUUAUGUUACUUGAUAGGGUUGCCAACUACCUUAUCAGCCUUGACCGGGAUCACCGAACAAGCUCACCUCUGUUUCAAGGUUCGUUGCAGUUCAUCAUGGUUUUGAGUUACUUGAUCUCUACCGACGAAUAUUCAAAAUUGUCUCGUUUUUCAUCACGUGAAGGUACUCUGUGUGCACGAGUAUAUACAGGGUAAGUGGGUGGCCCUUGUUUGGGACGGAACUGAUUGUCCAUCCAACGCAGUUGAACCAAUGUAAGUCGAUUAUAGGUGUGAGAUAGCAUGAAGCUCUUCAAUUAUUUGUUUCUUAUAAGCCGAAAGAUGAAUUCAUUGUAUUUUGUAGGCUGGAAGAUGAAAGCGACAAUCCAAUGCCUCUAACCAUAGAACCAGUGCCUUUACCAAUCGAUCUGCUCCGUACAUUUCCUACCAUUGGAACGAUAUUAAGGGUCAUGAUUGAAGACGACUCAAAGACACCUGCUAUCCGCUUACUCAAUCCCGGGAAUUGGGUGAAGCUAUACAACAUGACUAUUAAAGUCCAGGCAGGAUUAUGGUAUGGGUCGUUAACACCGUUCGUAAAGUUACAUUAUACAUCAGGCAACAACCCUUUUGUGUUGGAACGUGAAAGGUAUGGUGCAAAUUCUUGUUUUGUUCGUAUCAUUCGAACUACAAUCCGGUUAUGUGAUACUUUCUUUGCAAUCAUUACUCGUAAGGUUUCAUCAAGAUCGAUUGUCGGAGAUGCAAUGUGUGCCAUCUUCAUCUAUUAUUGGUUCUUCACGGAUGACAGGUUUUUGCUUUCUUCACUUGUUGCUUUUGCAUAACUGGUUUUCAAUAAUGAUUUCUACACUUACAUGGUGUUUUCCAUUCUCAGAAAUCAAUAAUGACAAUGCUCGUACUGGUACAUUGAUGGACGUCAUCACUAGUUCUGAGGUAAAAUGAUCUUAUGUGUUAUUCGGCUCGGUUAUCUGCCAUAUCACUACUUAAAUCGAUGAUCAACUGCAGAUGACCGCAAAAUUCAAGUGUGUAGCUCGAGUGAUCGCUAUGAAACCAUGGCAUUUGAAGGAUAUCGUGUGUCCUCUGCUCCUCAGGCUGACUCUAGAGGAUCCAACUGCUAGAAUCCAUGCCAUCGUGGACAAAUUAGAUGGGGUGAGUGAAUGGCACUGAUUUGAACUGGUCCUGACCGGUUACUCAUUUCAGUUUGUUUUUUUUUCUCCAGAGGAAGUUUUUCUGGGAACAUCCAUCGCCAGAGCCAUUGGCAUGGAAGCUAGAGAGACUCCUUGGCGUAACCACAGAAGAGGACGGGUCGAGAAUAGAAUCACCACGAGAUGCACCCUGGAUAGACGUGUGCCUCGAGUGGUAUUACCGUGACGGAACGAAAGAGUACCGGAUCUUCGACACCAAGAUGUUGGUGUAAGCAGGCAGCCGUUAGCAGGAACCCUCCCUUCGACCUGAAGAUUUAGCAUGUAUAUUGUAGUUAGGAUCUCGGGCCGGGUUGUAUUUUGUGUAGGACUUGUUGCUGUGACAUCUUGUUUAGUUAGGAUCUUGGAUCAGUAACCCUGUACUUCAAUGCCAAAACAAUGAGAUAUAGCCAUUUGCAACAUUCACAAAUAUGUUAAUCUCUUAUUUUACUUAACUACAUAUAUGGUAAAUAUUAGCGUCAAGCAUCCUUCGUAACCGUCACGGUGUAAGGGGUCGGACACGGAGGAUUCGGAACCUCGGUCACACCUUCGAGCAUCUGCUUCAUCGUAGGCCUUACAUUGGGAUCUUCCUGAAUGCACCAUGUGGCAAUCUUCACAUACUUCUCCAGCUUAUCCGCGUCGUUCAUCGCCUCCAUAUCGUAGUCGACCAGAUCGCCAAAGGCUCCCUCGCAGUAGCGAUCGUAACCCCAGUAGGUCAGGAUCGCCCUGUCGGUGGGGCUCUCGUUGGCAUCCACGCUUUUCCUGCAGCUAAUGAUCUCCAGAAGCAACACCCCAAAGCUGUAAACAUCAACUUUCGUCGUAACGGGGGUGUUCCUAAACCAUUCGGGCGCCACGUAACCCUUGGUCCCCCGAAUGGCAGUCUGGGUCUGGGUUUGGUUCAACACCAGGAGCUUCGCCAGCCCGAAAUCAGAGAUCCUCGCGGUGUAGUGGUCGUCGAGGAGUAUGUUUUGCGGCUUGAUGUCGCAGUGGAUUACCUGGUAUGAGAUUGUGAAUAGUCGGUAAAAAAACCGACCGGUUGAGCAAGUUCGUGAAUCAGUCACGAAACUAAAUUUAUUUUUCUGAAGGCAAUGCCCCGAACGUCUUAAAAAAAAGUGUUACCUGAGUGGUGCAUUCUUCGGGUAGGUACAGAAUCCCCCUCGCGAUUUCUAACGCAAUCUGAAUCCUCUUCCCCCAACUCGGCUUCACCUCCCCAAACAGGUAGUCCGCCAACGUCCCGUUGCUGAGGAACUCGUAAACCAGCAGCUGCCGGUCUUUCCCUUCCUCGCAGUACCCGACGAGUCGAACCAGGUUCCUGUGAUGGGUCGCCGAUUACGCUAACCUCGUUCUUGAAUUCCUUCCCAGCACUGUCCUGUCCGAAAGAGUUCAGCUUCUUGACAGCUACAAGAGCAGGAGAGUCGCCGUUGGCGUACCAGACGAUUGUCCGGUCGGGGAUUCUGGCGUAGUAGAUGCAGAGGAGGAAGAAGGUGUUGUUUCCGGCGAGGGGGGGAAAUCCGAAGCGAAAUCGCCAGAGGGGGAGAGCCAUUGGGUUGGGUUUUGGGUGUCGGCGGUGAGUGUAUCGCCGACGGUGAUGUUUUGAGCGACGGCGGAGGCUGGGAGGAGAAGGAGGAGGAGGGGUGGGAAGAAUAGGAAAGGGUGGAGUAUUGGAGAUGAUGAUGAUGCAGUAGCCAUUGCUAAGCUGCAAAUUGUGAAAAAUGAAGCUCUGUUGUGAGAAUAAUGGAGCGGUAUUGAUGUAAAGAAAGUGGAAGAGCGGUCACCGGAGAUAUUAACGGCUUGGGGUCAACGGCAAAGUCUUCUUGAGUGGACGACUAAUCAACGCUGCAUGGGACCCACAUUACCGUAGGAAAAAAAAUCUACAGAGAAGAUUUAAUUCCAUGAAAACGUAAUGUGUGGUUUAAAUAUUCGAGAUGUGGAAAUUCUAUCAGCUAGUUUGGCGAGUAAAUCGAUUUUGUUUUGUCAGAGUAGAUUGAAAUUCUUGAUGUCGAUUUUGUGAUGUGUACUGGAUUUGAACUCGAGACUUUCGAGUCACCAGACAUACAGCUCUGCCACUUUUGAUGUUAAUUUCGUACGGUAUAAUUCCAGCACGUAAUUGCAACUUGACUAAGAAAUGUUGGAGUCUAUGCUGGACUAUUCAGCACCCCUUUAAUAAGCCAAAUGUCCCAUCUCAUGUCACUGCUACGCACCUCAGAUUGCACCUAGUGACUCAACCCCAAGCCAUGUCUCGACAAACGGCACGAGACAAAACGACAUGCAAUUAUAAGCCAUUUCUUUAAACUUUUGACCUUCUCACAUCGUAAACUCCGCCGGCGGCCAUCUCUUUCCGGCCUAACUUUUAGCUUCAUUCCCCCCCGCGGUCAUCAUCAACAUGGCCGGCGAAAGUUCAGACUAUAAUCAAGUGUUUAUCUCAGAAUAAACAAAUUAGUCCACUGAAAGCAAUCGGCGUUAAGAGCAUCUUUGACAAAUUGAGAAUUUUUUCAUGUUUAUAAACACAAAGCCUUAUCAAAAUGGUUAGAUCUUGUUUAAUUUUGCUUCUUUCUCUUAACAUCAAAUCCGCUGUUAAUCUGCGAUGACGAUGAUUUCACUAAAAUAAGAUGGCAACGUUUGAGAGUAUCCAAAAACAUUUAAAAAAUGUAAUAUCGACAGGUCUAAAUAUCAAAUGCUACUAAGGAGAGUAAUUCAUCGAGAAAGGAUUCAUCCGGAAUACCCCUCCUCUCAGGGGUGGUUGAUGGUUUUUGUAUCCUCGCUUCAAGUUUCACCGGUUGUUUUUUACUUUUUUUUUAUUUCCGUUGCAGUGUUCUUAUUAAAUUUUUGUGGAUUGUUUUGAUUUCUAAUCAGGUAGUUUUAGGUUUUUAAUUACUGUUAUAAGCAUUUAUUCAAUGUUUUCUUUUUUAGAAUGACUGAUAACAUAAAUGUAUUAGUAUCCGCUAAUUUNNNNNNNNNNNNNNNNNNNNNNNNNNNNNNNCUUUAAUUAGUUCAAGUGGAAUCGUUCUAGGUUUUAAGUGUAAAGUGUGUUUGAUAAUUUAAAGGUCUCCGUUCGAAUUUUAUAAAAUAAAUAUAUUAUUAUAUUUAUUUUAUAUUAACCGAAAAUUUUGACCUAUCAUGAAAAAAAUAUUAAAAAUCUUAAUAACAAAAAUUUAAUUAAAACCAAAUCUUGAUUAUAAUGAAUAACCCCGUAGCCCCAAAUUUCAUUUGAUGACUCGAAUUUUCUCAUGGCUAACUUCCCCUUCUCCGUACUCCUUCUAUGGCUUCCAUUACUCGCCAUAGUCGACUCCCAGUCCGCCCCCGCCGGCUACCGCAACGUAACGUUAGGCUCUUCCCUCACCACCGCGUCCAACGACUACUGGCUCUCGCCGUCCGGCGACUUUGCGUUUGGAUUCCAACGAGCUGCCGAGAACAGUGACGAUGGUAACGGAUUUUUAUUGGCCAUUUGGUUCGACCGUAUCCCACAGCGGACCGUGGUCUGGUCGGCCAACAGGAACAACUUGGUGCCUGAUGGGUCGACGGUCAAACUCACGAAAGAUGGCAGCUUGAUCCUGGCCGACCCGUCGAGCAAGCAGGUCUGGAAUCCCAAUGCGAUUGGCAUCUCUGGAGUUUCCUAUGGUGCGUUGCUUGAUACGGGGAAUUUUGUACUGGCUGAUCGAAACUCCGUCGAUCUGUGGGGGAGUUUCGAUCAGCCUACGGACACGAUGUUACCUACUCAGACUCUGAAAAAAGGUAUGGGGUUGUUUUUUAGCCAUAGAUAGUCCUAUAGGUAGUUCGGAAUAACUAGAUGGCACAUACCAAAUAGCAUCAAAGUUGAAAAAUUUACGGAGAAAAAUGGACGGUUCCAAUACCUGAUCAACGAACAACGAAUUUUUACUCUGAAAUCCUGACACUGAACAAUCACAAUUCCUGACAGGUGCACAACUAAUAUCCAAAUAUUCAAGCACAAACUACUCCACCGGAAGAUUUAAGCUCAGUCUCCAGAGCGACGGCAACUUGGUUCUCUAUACAGUCUUCUACCCACAAUCAGGAAGCAACUACGCUUACUGGGCAACCGCCACCGGCGACGGAAACGCCGUCGUAUUCAACCGGACAGGUUCCCUCUUCCUAACCACCACCAACGGAACAAUCCUCAACGCCCUGUUCAACAACCGAGAAUCAACCAAAGAUUUCCACCACCGCGUAACAAUCGACCACGACGGAGUCUUCCGGCGAUACAUCCACCCGAAAUCCACCUCCAAUUCAUCAAACUGGCCGAUGGAAUGGACGGCGUUAGAUUCGGAGCCAUCGAACAUCUGCACGCAGAUCUUUGGAACCACCGGCAGCGGAGCCUGCGGCUUCAAUUCCUAUUGCCAGAUGGAAGACGGCCAGCUGCCGCAAUGCAACUGCCCGCAGGGCUACACCUAUCUGGACUCUUCGGAUCGGAGCAAAGGCUGCGUGAAGAACUUCGUCCCGCAGAACUGUCUCUUAAACGAGAACGAGAAAUUCGACCUAGUGGAGAUGAUCAACGCCGAUUUCCCUCAGGGAGAUUACGGAUUCUUGGGGUCGAUCUCCGAGGACGCUUGCCGUGAUUCUUGUUUGAGCGAUUGCCUCUGUGACGCGGUGACUUUUAACGGCGGAUCUUGCUGGACGAAGAGAGCUCCUCUGUCUAACGGAAAUGUCGAUACGAAGAACGGAGGGAAAACUCUUAUCAAAGUUAGACGAGUGAAUUCGACGACUGAUCAAACUUCUGAUCUUACGCAGGGGAGGAAAGAUCGGUCGAUGAAUCUCAUCGUUACUGCUGGAUGGAUUCUGUUAGGCGGAUCGGUGUUUGUUAAUCUCUUGUUUCUCUACGCCAGCUGUCCAUGGCGGAAGAACAAUCAUCAACGUUUCAUCAGGCCAGUUCGCGACGACGGCACAAAUCUGAUGAGCUUUGCGUAUAGAGAGAUGGAAUUGGCUACCGGUGGAUUCAAGCAGAUCCUGGGGAGCGGAUCGUCGGGGACGGUUUACAAAGGCGUUUUGAAUCGAAGUACGAAUUCGGAACGGUUAGUUGCAGUCAAGGUGCUCGACAAAAUGCCUAAAAGAAAAAAUGGCCAGUAUGAUAUUAGGGUGUUCGCAACCGAAUUGAAGUUGAUCAGCGGGACGAACCAUAAAAGUUUGGUUAAACUGGUCGGGUUCUGCAACGAAGGCGAUCACUGUCUGCUCGUGUAUGAGUACAUGAGCAACGGAUCGUUGGCCGAUUCCUUGUUUAAUCAGCCAACGAUCGACUGGUACACGAGGACUCAUAUAGCCUACUCGGUAGCGAGAGGACUCGUGUACCUACACGAGGAAUGCACCACACAGAUAAUCCACUGCGACAUCAAGCCGCAGAACAUCCUCCUCGACUCUACAAUGACAGCCCGAAUAUCCGAUUUCGGGCUUUCCAAGCUGAUGCAGCCCGACCAGACCAAGACAGUGACCGCUAUCCGCGGCACGAAGGGGUAUCUGGCGCCGGAAUGGUUCCGUAACGUGGCGAUAACGGCAAAAGUCGACGUGCACAGCUUCGGGAUCGUGCUGCUGGAGCUGGUGUGCUGCAGGAAGAACCGCAUGAUGGAGGUCGGCAAUGAAGAGGAGAUGGUGCUGGUGGAUUGGGCUUACGAAUGUUACAGUAAGGGGAAGCUUUACAAGCUCGUGGAGAAGGACGAGUCGGCAAUGGCGGAUAUUGGGAGAGUUGAGAGGUUUGUGAAAGUUGCUAUGUGGUGUAUUCAGGAGGAUCCAUCGUUGAGACCUGGGAUGAAGAAGGUUGCUCUUAUGCUUGAAGGUGCUGUCGCUGUCUCCGAGCCGCCCGAUCCAAACUCCUUCAUCGGUGCCGUUUGAUCGUAGGGAGAGGAUCGCGCCGGACUGGUACCGGAAUUCGGAAUAGUGUAAUGCGGUUUGAUUCUCUCGACAUCAUACGAGGAGGGGGGCCGGAGAUGUAUUACGCGAUUGAUUUCAGAAUUCGGAAUAGUUGACUCUCAAUAUGGUGAUUCGGGGCGUAUGAAAGAAAAAAUGAUGUGAUGAUAUGAUGUAGUUUUGUGUUAGAGGGGCGUAAAUAUUCAUGACAUUUUGUGAAAUUAUACAAACGAGUGAUUUGGCGAGUCUAACGGUUCAAAGUUUUUGAGGUUGAGCUCCGAUGUUUGGAUUUCGAGCUCUGAUGCGAGGUUGAGUUGAAAUAACAUAUGUGAAAUCGUAUGUGAGGUUUAAAAUUCCAUCCAAAUUGUAUACACAUUUACGUUAUAUCAUACUACUUAUUUAUACUUUGUGCAUAUGAUGUGUAUGUAUAUAUAAGAUCCACCAAUUUUUUGUGAAAUUGGAACACAAAACUAUAACAAAAAUCGUAAAACGGUAAGAUUUUAACCGUAAAAAAGUGGGCAAAAAAGUAAUUAGCCAUCAUUGUGAACAAAUGUCUGCUUGAGUUACACAGUACACUACACACUAGAGUACAAUUACAGAAGAGAUUUUUCCUCGCACCUCAAGUACCCCUGGGAUUCAUUCAAAUUCCGGAUAUUGCCACUCAACCUCGCACACAAAAACUCCACUCUCUUUGAGAGAUUUACAUUUUUAGAAACGGAACCCACCAGACGGCCACAGAGUCAGAGCUCUGCUCAGACACUCCAAUUCGUCUUCUGCAAAUCGUUCAAUGCAAAACCUCAAUACAUUCCAAUCUCAGUUUAUCUUAGAUCACUGGUUUUGAAGCAUGCAAACAAGCUUCCUUCAAUACCAGGUUGGUUUCCAUGGUUUGCCACCCUUUCCUUCUUCCCUUUACUGAUGAAUGGUGAUGAAAUUUGGGUUUGCUUUUGUUGCAUGUUGAUGAAAUUUGGGAUCUUUAGGGUUCCCCAGCUGUGAAAUUUGGUAACUUUUGUUUGAGUUUCUUAGUUUGGAAGUCUGGAUUCUUCUUAGGUGAGCUGGCUGCUGUUUUCUGCUGUGAAUUCGAGCUUCACAAAGGCUUCCUUCUUUUGUGGCUGAGAAUUUGGAUAUGUGAGUCCUAAUGCUAACUAGAUUAGAUCAUGCAUUGAGGUCUUAUCAUUUACCACUUGGAUUAUGGUGAAGUUUCAAUCUUUUCUCUUAGUAAGAUGUUUGUGUUAGGGUUCGACUGAGAAAUCUGAUGAUCCUUUACUUGUAGUUCUAAGAAGAUUGGAAUGAGUAAUGUCUCUUUUGUCUGGCUUGUGCAGGGAGGUGUUUAUCUGUAUGAGCUUUCUUAUUCUGUUUAUAUAGUAAGGAUCAAAGCUAUGAGGAGAGGUAGAGGAAAGGGGGAAAAGUUGACUGUGAGCAAUCAUGACGAUGGUGGAAGUGGAGAAGAAGAAGAACUGAAGAUUCCUGCACAGAAGAGAAGAGGGAGGCCACAGAAGCCCCUGAAGGAUGACAUCGACGACGAAGAAGUCAAGAAGAUCGAAGACAAUGAGGAUGGUGUGCUUAAGAAUGGGAAAGGUCCAACAGAGAAUGGCAAGAAGAGGAGACGGAACUCGCAGCAGGCGAAGGAGAAACCGGAUUCGGUCAAGGAGGAAGCCACCAAUGGUGUAGUAGUAAUAGGAGGAGGAACAAAGUCUACUACUAAUACUGACAACGACUCGACCAAGGCUAUUAACGGGUUUAGGCAGAACGGAAGCAGGCGGAAGAGCAAGCCUCAUCGUGCUGCUGAGGCAGGCGUGGAGUGUAGGCGAUCGGGGGUAAUGAUAUAGGAGCCUGGACUGCCGCUUUUCGUUUUUUCGAAUACUGUUAGUUGAAGUUCUCUCUUUUGCUGAUUCUGCCUGUAGUUUUUUGAUUGAUGGUUAUGCCUUUUAAAUGCAAUCAAUGGUGUUCUUUUGUGAUCGAGCUUGAGUAGGUAGAUGUUGUCUGGUAGGGCCGCUAGUAGUACACUGUGUGCGACGGGGUAAAGGCCCUUCUCACCUCCUACGAGUCGUCCUGCGAAAAUUGACUCCAAUCCACCCGAUUCAUAAGUUACGAGACUAAUCCGCAACAUUUAAAAGUUUCAAAAACCAAUACGCAACCCCAACUCGAAGUUAUGGGAUGAAAUAGUUAUAUUUCAAACUCCACAAAUUGGCCACAUUGUCACUCAACCUCACACUAGAAAGAGAGGGAGAAAGAGAAGAGAGAGGCGACCAAGUCUCACACUCACUCGCUGGACUCUCUCAUCUCUUUUGAGAUUACGUUCACAAUCACAAACGGCAGCAGACCAGAGUGAACUCAGCCUGCAGCCACAAACCCCAAUCAACAGCUAUAUAUAGAUUCCUUUCCUUCUUUUAGAUUCCUUCAUUCUUUUUCUUCUUCUUCUUCUUAUGUACUCUGUUGAGCCCCCUUCUUCCUUUGCUUGUUGCACCAAAAAACCUUAAUAUAUUCCAAUCUCAGCCGUUUCUUGAUCUGGGUGUUACCUAUUCCUUAUUAGAUCAUUGAUUUUACCGUUAAAGGUCUUUGCUUUUUUGUUUCUGUGGGUUCCCCAGAAUUUGCUCUUUGGCACACAGAUUCAAAAGUAACAGUCCCUCAUUUUCAGUAUGCAAAGCAGCUUCUUCCAGUAUAAGGUUUGUUGCAUUUCCCUUCCUUCCAAGGAAGGGUUCAACUCAAGAUCAUUUCUUAAGCUUUCCCUCUUCCUAUAGAGUGGUUUCGAUAUGUUCUAUGCUUCCAAUAUGAGUUGAAGUUUGCCAUAGUUUCUCUGGAUCUUAGGUUUUAGAAAAGCCCUGGUAUGUAUGUUGAGGUUUCCUCUUAUCAAAUUGGGAAACUUUCCGUUUUUGAGUAAGCAUAGGAUUUUCUCUUAGCUAGCAUGUAACCAAAAUGUUGAAAGUUCUUCAUCUUUGUGGAUCUUGACAAGAACUGAUCUUGUUGGUAGUCAGAAUUCGAGGUUUGAAUCGUUGUCCAAUUUCAAAGGUUUAAACUUUGGUUAUCAAUCUCCAAUAGGGUGAAGUUCUCACCUGUCAAAUUUGUUGAUCUAUAGCUAUAAGCUUGACUUGCAUGGAAUAGAAUCUAGUUCUGUGAAGAUUGUUUAAUGUCUCUUGUUCAAUAGAUUGGCAGGAAAGUAGUUCAUCUAUGCUUGCUGAGAAUUUUAGGAUCUCUCUCAGCUGACAUGUAACCAAAAUGUUGCAAGUUUUGCCCUUUAUGGAUCUUGACAAGGCUGAACUUUGAGUUCAGAGCCAAGACUUUAUCUUGUAGUAGUCAGAAUUUGAGGGUUUGAUCAUUGUUUUGUGUAUGGCUGGUUUGAUUCAACUGUGGAAUUUGAUGGUCCUUUAGUUAUAUUUUGACUUUGCAUGGAAUGUAGUUCUUCUAUGAAGAUGGUUUUGAAUGAAUGUAUAUUUGUCUAUGGAUUUGCUUUUCACCAAAGGCAUAUGAUUUUCUCUUAUUAGUUAACAUGUUACCAAAACGUUGAAAAGUUCUUCUCUCUAUGGAUCUUGACAAGAACUGAUUUUUGUGAUAGUCAGAAUUUGAGAUUUUGAAUCAUUAUCCAGCUUCAAAGGUGUAAACUUUGGUUAUUAAUCUCCAACAGACUGAAGUUCCACCUUACAAAUUGGAUGAUCUGUAGCUAUAGCUUGACUUGCAUGGAAUUGUAGCUCUGUGAAGAUGGUUUAAUCAAUGUAUCUUGUUCCAUGGAUUGGCAGGAAAUUUGUUCAUAAAAAAAGAAGAAAGAGGUGAAGUUAUGGGUAGAGGUAGAGGAAAGGGAAAGAAAUUGACUGUGAGCAAUCAUGAAGAUGGUGGAAGUGGAGAAGAAGAAGAAGAAGAGAAGAUUCCUGCACAGAAGAGAAGAGGGAGACCACAGAAGCCAUUGAAAGACGACGAGGAAAUGGAGAAGUUCGAAGACGAGGAAGAAGUUGUAACGGAGAAUGCGAAAAGUCCAGCGAAGAGGAGGCGGAACUCGAAGGAGAAGCAAGAUUCGGUCAAGGAAGAAGCGAGGUCUACAAGUACCGAUGACUCGAGCAGCAAGUCGUACGGGUUCAGGAAGAACGGGAGCAGGAGGAAAAGCAAGCCUCACCGAGCUGCUGAGGCAGGCGUCGAUUGCAUUCGACCAGGCUUGAUGACAUAAGAGAUUACAAUGUGAGUUUGAGGCCCUAGAGAAGAAUAAAGUCUAAUCUCUUCUUUGCUUUCAUUUUGUGCUUAUUAUUGUUCAAGUAGGCAACUUUCAGUACUGUUUAGAAACCUUUCUCUCUGCCUGUAAUUUUUCGAGUUGGUGAUGUCGUUAUGGCUUCAAUGAUACAUUGAGUUCAUGAUCACCAUUUGAACCAUGGUGUUUAAGAAAGGUUGAGGCUUUGCUUAUUGGUCCAGUAGGCAACUAAGAGUACUGUUAGAGUCCUUCUCUCUGCCUGUAAUUUUUCGAGUUGGUCAUGUUUGCACUGUGUGUAUCGAUAGACCGAAAUGAUACAUUUGAUCACCAUUGAACCAAGUCAAUGGCGGUUCCUUGAAGCAUAAGAGAUUAGGAUUGGUUAGAGAAUUUGGUUGUGAUUAGCUGAGAUUGAAAGUUUGGUGAAAGGGGUUUUUGGGGUUUUCUUGUGCUUUUGGGGGUUAUCUUGUUUCACACUCAAAGGAGGUUGUUGCAAGCAAUAGGGGUUUUGGUUGGUGCUUUGUUCCCGACAUUGACUCGCUGAUCCGAGUAUUGCCCUGUAUUGGUUGCGACCGUCUGGUUCAACAUUGAUCCAAAUCCCUAGCACUCGCAAAUGAAAUGUAAUAUAGUUGUCGUUGAGUGACCUAAGAAGAGAGGGUAUUUGAGGAGAGGAAAAUCGGGAAACAUAUUGGGGGAAUAUUUCUCCUUCUGUAGAGUCUGACCGUCUGUCCUCCCUCGUAUUUCGAGUGGAGGACAGUUAUGCACAGGUCAAUCCGGGUGGGGUCCGGCCUGCGGGCGGCUGGCUGUGAUUUGCCAAUGAGAGGAAACAGAAGGCUGCCCAGUGAAACGUGUGAAGAUGCGCCUUUUUCUGUGCUCAGACUCAGACACAGAUUGCUUUUGUUUGCUGCAAGUUCUUAUGCUUUUGUUAUGUUCCUUCUGUGGGGUCCAUAUUUAGAUGUGGGUUCCACCAUGUUUGACUGUUUUUUUUUCUUUACUCAGUGGUUUAAAAACUGUUUCGAUAUAGACGGCUGGUCGGUUUGAUUGAUUCGAUCUUGAACAACUAACUAAAACAAUUUGUUACAACUAAGGUUUUUCUAUAGCAUAGAUGGCUUCCGACGGAAUAAAUUGAUAUAACAAGCAAAGCUAAGAAUUUUUCCAAACCAUUACAUAGAUCUCGACACGAUCCAUGAGAUAUGAGGGAAUCUGUCUCGCUACUUGAUGGGUAAUUCUAUUACCUGCAAAUACAAGCAAGGACAAAGUCUCAAAAAAAACAAAGACUUCUAAAAUGAUUACGCCUCCUGCUACGUGACGAAUGCUCUGAUAUAGUAGUCUAUAAAGCACCAGCUCCGCACCGCUUUCCAUCAACAUCCACCUGUCAAAUCCCGUCCAAAACAUCAAGUACAUAUCUGAAGACCCAACCUAACAUGUAAUGGACCAUGUUGGAGAGCCAACGCGUCCGAUAAUAUGCCAUACUGAUCGGGACAAACGCAAGUCUCUACCCCAGUCUCUUGAAUUUUGGGUUAGGUCAUAGGCUAAGGCUAUUUAGAUUUGAGUUGAAUCAUGGUCAUUAAUCAGAAUCAUUUUCACAUUGGUUAAUCAUGAAUCAAACUAUAACUAGAAUAUAAAUUUUGAUUUGGUAGAUAAUUUUAUAAUCUAAUAGUUAUUUGCUUAGUUAGUAAAAAUCCAUUUAAUAUUCGUAUAAUAUACGUAUACGUAUUAUAUGCGUUUAAAACUUUCAUUUUCUUAUUGUUGUAGAGCCGUUUAAUUUUUCACUGUUUAAUGCUUCACGUACUAAACAAGUACUAAAAUAUAUUGCACGUUUAAUAUAUAUAUUUUAAGGUAUCAAAUAGAUAUUUUAAUAAUUUCAAUUUAUAUUCACUUAUAAAUUUUUAAUAUUUUCUAAUUGUUACCAAAUUUUUAAACGUAUUGCUAUGUUGAAAAUAUGCCAUUAAUAAAAAAUAUUUACUAUUUUGGUAGAAUAACUCUUAUUGUAUUGGUUAUCACUAUGAUAAGGAUUUUAUGAAAAGUGAAUCGACGAAUAGAGAGAUUUUCGAAAACACUCUUGCUAAACUCAUAGAUUUUCUGAAAAAUAGAAGAAUCUCGUAGCCAUUAUUGAUAUAAUGAUCAACACAAUAUAAAUUAUUUUAAUAAAACAUUAAUUUUUUUGUAUUUUUAUUAAUGAUAUAAUAAUUAUUUUACAGAUUAUGCGAAAUAAAAUACGAACGGUAUACAGAAAUCGGCAUUUUUCAUGCUCAUGUUUAUGAUGUUAAGAUUAGGUGGAGAUUGUUAAGUUGAAUGUCUUCUCUCUCUGCUCAUAUUCAUCCAUUCUGCAUGGUCCAACAAACCAAAAAAAAUGUAUAUGGAUAAUCCCCAAUUUACCCUUCGCUUCUCCCUAUAAAUACCAGCACGUAGAAGAAGCUUACAAAUCAUAAACCAAGGAGUGAACCAAAAGGAAAACAGUAAAAACAAAAAUGGCGGCGUCAUUAGCAAUAUUUACUACAACCAUUUUCACCCUCUUCGCCGCCGGCUCAUCAAGUUUUAACCUCUCUUCUCAGACGGCCGCCGGCCAAACGACGGCGUUCAAUCGGAGUAUUUUCCCGGACGGGUUUGUCUUCGGCACGGCUUCGUCUGCUUACCAGGUGAUCUCAUCACCGGAAAAUGUUCGGUUUGCGAGUUAGUCACUCUUAUUUUUUUCGUUAAUUUCGGGUUUGAUUUGUUUUGACAGUAUGAAGGUGCGGCCUUCGAAGGUGGUAGAGGGCCUAGCAUCUGGGAUACCUUCAGUGCCAUUAAAGGUAUUUUUCGAGAUAUGAGAUUGAAUGUACUUUCAUCGUUGCGAUAUAAAUUUUGAAAUUACCGAUAUGGUAAAUAAGUGGACGUGUGCUAGAUAUUUUUAUCGACUCUUAUGUCUCAAUGAUAAGAUGGAAUUUACUCUUAUCAUUAAGGCAUAACAGUAAUUAAAAACACUUGAUGUUUUUUUCCCGUACAUUUCGAACCGUUCUAGUAUUAUAUUACCCUGCAAAUGUCCAUGUUGUAAGUGGGUAUGUACGCUGGAUAUUUUCAUCGACUCUUAUCAUGUAAUUUCAUCGCUUGGUGUGAUUGACAGGUAAGAUCAGCGAUGGUAGCAACGGGACCGUGGCGAUCGAUGAGUACCAUCGUUACAAGGUACGAUAAUAAUAACGUGACAUGUUCUUUAAAACGAAUGUAAUAACCCUUAAACUUCUCGCUGAUCCGGUACGAUUUUUUGUGCAGGAGGAUGUCCAGAUUAUGAAGGAAAUGGGGUUAGAUGCUUUCAGAUUCUCGAUCUCUUGGCCUCGAAUAUUACCUAGUAAGUACACUUUUAGAAACACAGAUACUGAACAUCCCCCGAUCGAAUUUCGAGCUAAUUAACUUGAUGUGAUUGUUGAAUAAUGAUGAUUAGAUGGAAAAACCAGCGGAGGUGUGAACAGAGAAGGAGUUGCUUACUACAACAACCUUAUCAAUGAGCUUCUGGCCAAUGGUACGUACAUUUCGAAUUCUAUACAAUUAUAUUGGAUACGUUUUUCUUUACAUAAUGUGAUUAUAUAUGUUGCAGGGAUCACGCCAUUUGUGACACUGUUCCAUUGGGACCUACCACAACCCUUGGAAGACGAGUACGGUGGACUUCUGAGCUCGAAAGUGGCGAGUGAUUUCGGGGACUAUGUUGACGUUUGCUUCAAUGAAUUCGGAGACCGGGUUAAGCACUGGAUCACGUUGAAUGAGCCUCUCGGCGUCAGCCACUAUGGUUAUACGACCGGGGAAUUCGCGCCCGGCCACUGCUCGAAAUCGAUCAACAGCGCCUGCGAAAAAGGCGACUCGAGUACCGAGCCCUAUCUAGUCACGCAUAACCAGCUUCUUUCUCAUGCCACUGCCGUGAAUGUGUACAGGCAGAAGUACCAGGUCAUUUGAUUUUUUUUAUAAUAACUUGUCCAAUUCCGUUUAUGCCCUUAAUACUUGCAUUAAUUGCACUCUAACGAUCUUGUGAUUACAAAUGAAUGCAGGCAAAGCAAAAUGGCAGUAUUGGAAUUACACUGGUCUCGUCGUGGUUCGUCCCCUACUCCAAUUCCGAACAGGACAUUAGUGCCCGUCAACGGGCUCUCGACUUCUCGCUCGGAUGGUACCACGUUAUAUUGUGCCUUUUUCGGAUCGCACCCCUUCGAAAUUCGAUGUUGAUUUUUCGAUGUCUCAUAAUCGUGGUGUGUGGCUGUAGGUUUUUGCACCCGUUGACUUAUGGCGAUUACCCAGAGUCAAUGAGAACAUUGGUCGGAAACCGGUUACCCAAGUUCUCGAAGGAGGAAACCGAACUGAUCACCGGUUCGUUGGAUUUUCUCGGGUUGAAUUAUUACACGACCAACUAUGCAGCCAGCAGCCCACCCUACAAUUCUAUCAAUGCCACUUAUCAGACCGAUUCUCGAGCCAAGCUUUUGAGUAUGCACAAAUUAAUUAACCUAAUUUACUUAAUUAAUUUCAUCUUAAACUAACUAAUCAAUUAUUCUUUCGUGAUUAAGCCGAGAGGAAUGGACAACCCAUUGGUCAAAAAGUGAGUAAAAUUAACUCGAAAUAUUCCAUGACGAUUCUCUAUAUGGUAUCAGAACUCAAACCGAAAUUCGAAAUUAAUUCAAAUCUCUUUUAUCGACAGGCGGGUUCCACUUGGCUGUACAUCUAUCCAGAAGGAAUCCAAGAUCUUGUGCUAUAUGCAACGAGGAACUACAAAAAUCCACUCAUUUACAUCACUGAAAAUGGUACGAUGACCAUUUUGAUACUCAAUACUUUAUUUUUUUACAAUUUGCACCCUUUUUAAUCAAUUACGAGUUGUUAAUGUGAUAAAAAUUAGGUGUUAGUGAGGAAAACAACGACAAGUUAAGUUUGGAUCAUGCUCUUGCUGAUGAAACAAGGAUUAAUUUCUACCAUCGACAUCUUGAGUACCUCAAGAGAGCAAUGGAGUGAGUUUUUCGUAGCGUCGCGACAGUACAUUCGUUGCAUUUUACUGAUCGAUGUAGUUUUUAUGUUCUUAUUUUUGUGUUUGGUUUUUGUCGCAGGAGCGGAGCGAAUGUGAAAGGGUACUUUGCGUGGUCGCUGUUCGACAAUUUCGAGUGGAGUUCUGGAUAUUCGUCUCGGUUCGGGAUCGUUUACGUGGACUACAAGGACGGGUUGAAAAGAUACCCGAAACAUUCGGCUCGUUGGUUCCGCAGCUUUCUCAAGAAACAAUGAUCAUAUAUAGGGAUCAUUAGUGAGUUCCCACGGAUUUGCAAGUACCAAUUUGUAAUAAAUUACUUCAGUAGGUGAUCGAACAAGUACUAUUCUCAGUCGGAAUGUGUUUACACGUUGUGCUUAAGGGUAUGUUGGUCUUUGAAUAAAUAAAAUUGGUUACUGAUCUUGAUUCGAAAAAUACAAAAAUUCGGAUACCACAGAAAAUUGAUUGUAGUGUGAUUAGUUUUGUUGGCCCGCCGUUCAAUGGCACGUGAAACUCUUUGUUAUCCAACGAACAGACAUAUGUUUUCAGUUUCUUAAUAUAUCGCUUAAACUCUAGUAUUUUUCUAUCUUUUUGUAGAUAUCUUCAACUAAAAAAAGUACCAUACCAUGGUUCGAUUAGGUGAAAAACACGUUUUUCGGUACAACCGAUCUUGUGAUAUUUGAUAUCAUCGAAUAGCUAGUUAUUCAUCCUCCGAAAUACAAAAAUAUCUCGAAUAACUAGCUAUUGAGUGAUAAUGUUAUACGUACCAAAAAUACCCGAAGCCAAAUCAAACGUUAAAGAAAAACCUUGUAACGGAAAAUGGAGAAGGCAUGAAAAGAAGACAUAGCUGCCAUGCAUGCAUGCAACGUACGCAGGCCAUAGAGGGGAUGAAAGACGUUGCUCAUACCGUACCGUAAACCAGUGACGGUAUCGGGAUUGGAGCGAUGGGUAAUCCGGUGUUUAUAUAACUAGUUAUUAAGGCUCCUCUGUGACCGGCGGGCAACUCUCAGUCGAGUGGUGCAAUCGUGUAAAGAUGGCGACGGACUGGUAUGUGUACGGGUUUGGUAUAUUCAUUACAUGUUCGUUUAUUCGUCGGGUUUUACCAUACUCAUCCGUUUUGUCUAAACGAACAUAGUAUGAAAACCAUCCCCGCUCAUUUACGGAUUUCGGGUUUACUCGUUUAAUCGAGUAAUACCGGAUACUAAUACUAAAACUUGCCGGAUACUAAUACUAAAACUAAAUUUUUUAUAAAAAAAAAGAAAAAAA
rnacentral:lncRNA from 1 species